AGGACAGAACUUGUUGGGACUUAACUACCCUUCACCUUGACGCCAGCCUCUCAUUUCUGGGCAAUGUUAUAUUGACUGGACUCCUACGCCACCCUUUCUCCUCCUUACAGAGAGAGAGAGUGAAGCCUGUUAAGACACUGUGGGAGUCCCUUGGGUUUGCUCACCUUGUUCUCUGUGGCAUGCUUCUCCUUUUCAACUUUCGUCAAGGUCAGCUCCAGGUCAUCAAUGUCUCUCUUGAGAGAGGAGCAUUUAUCUUCCAGAUUCCUCUUCUUGGCAACCAAUUCAGAAUUCAUCUCCUCUUCCUCUUCCAAUCUCUCCGUCAGCUCCUUGACUUUUGCUUCCAGUAGGAUCUUGCUUUUGAUGAGUCCUUCACACCGUUCCUCAGCGUCCAUCAGAUUUUCUGUUUCCUGAAAGAACCAGGUCAUUUUAUGUUUUGAUUGGCCUCUUUGAAAAUGCUACAAAGAAAGGGUAUCACCCUCUAAAAGCUUAUUAUCUACACCUAAGCCAAGAAAUGGGUCAUGCACACACAUGCACGCACAUGUGCACACACUGCACACACACGUGUACAUAAACUUAGAUAUCACCCAUAAACACAUUUUUUCUUUUUAGAUGGAGUUUCUCUCUGUGGCCCAGGCUGGAGUGUAGCGGCAUGAUCUUUGCUCACUGCAACCUCUGCCUCCCAGGUUCUAGCGAUUCCCUGCCUCAGCCUCCCGAGUUGCUGGGAUUACAGGCAUGUGCUACCAUGCCUGGCUAAUCUUUGUAUUUUUUUGUAGAGAUGGGAUUUCACCAUGUUGGCCAGGCUGGUCUCCAAACGCCUGACCUCAGGUGAUCCUUCCGCCUCGGCCUCCCAAAGUGCUGGGAUUACAGGCAUGAGUCACUGCACCUGGUCCAUAUACAUGUUUUUUUUUUUUUUUUUUUUUUUUAACUAGCAAGAACAUUGCUUAUAGAAAUUUGCAUAUAAUAAUUUGUUCAUUUAUUUCUUUAGAGACAAGGGCUUGCUCUGUUGCCCAAGCUAAAGUGCAGUGGUGUGAGUGUAGCCCACUGCAUCCUCACACUCCUGUGCUCAAGUGAUCCUCCCACCUCAGCCUCCCAAGUAGCUGGAACUACAAGGUAUGUGCCACCAUGACUGGCUUCUUUUUUGGUGUGUGUACAGAUGGGGCCUCCAUGUGUUUCCCAGCUUGUCUCAAACUUUGAGCCUCAAGUGAUCCUCCUGCCUCAGCCUCCCAAAGUGCUGGGACUACAAGUGUGAGCCACCAUGCCUGGCCUCACUUAUAAUAAUUUCAAACAGAGGAGUUUGUGAAAUUACAAGUUCAUUUUAAAGAAUGAAGCCUCUAGAAAUUUGCCACAUUUGAACAGCUGGUUAUCUCACUCUUCCUGCUACCACCAGUUGGAAAAUGACUCAUCUACUCUAUGUUAUCUCAAGCUGACAAAAUAGUUUCAAAACAUUACUAUCUUUUAACUUUCAUUAAAUUUAUUUUUAAAUAUAUGGAUUUAUUUAUUUUCUAGAGAUAAGGUAUCACUAUGUUGCCCAGGCUGGUCUCGAGCUUCUGAGCUCAAGUGAUCCUCCUGCCUUGGCUUCUAAAAGUGUUGGGAUUAUAGGCAUGAGCCACCAGGCCUGGUCCUUUCAACAGAAAAGUUCUACCUAUGUCUCCUUAGCUGUGUCUCCUCGAACCACAGAACAGAAAAUUAAAAACACCCAAGAAUUCGUGAUUGAAUACAUAUGUCCCAGAAGAUGCUGCAGUGAGUCUCUUGGACAGACCAAGAUCAGCUACUUCUGUUCUAAAUCGGGCUAUAUCUUCCCAUAUAAGAAUAUUUAUUUAUAUAUUUGUUUAUUUAUUGAGACGGAGUCUCACUCUGUUGCCAGGCUGGAGUGCAGUGGCGCGAUCUCGGCUCACUGCAACCUCUGCCUCCUGGGUUCAAGUGAUUCUCCUGCCUCAGCCUCCUGAGUAGCUGGGACUACAGGUGCCCACCACCAUGCCCAGCUAAUUUUUGUAUUUUUAGAAGAGAGGGGGUUUCACCAUGUUGGCCAGGAUGGUUUCGAUCUCUUGAUCUCAUGAUCCGCCCGCCUCGGCCUCCCAAAGUGCUGGGAUUACAGGCGUGAGCCACCACGCCCGGCCCAUAUAAGAGUAUUUUAAGACACACACUGCAGGGUAAUGCAUGGGAGGAGACUGGCAAGCCUGCAUGCUAAUGUUUGCUGAACAUCUAUAAACAUGAGCUGUGUGCCAGGCAUUUUACAGGCAUUAACCACUCUGAUUUUUCAAUAGCUGGAUGAGGUGAGUACUCUGACUAUGCCCAUUUUACAGACGAGAUAACAGAAGCACAAAGAGGAUAUGUAGCUCAUCCAAGGUCACACAGCUAUCAGGUGGAGCAUCUGGGAUAGAAACCCAGUUAUCUUGUUCCAAGAGCUGUUCUCUUGUCCGCUGUACCUGGGAAAGUGCUCCUAUUAACUCACUAUAGUGAUUGGGAAAGUGAAAAGGGGAGCGGAAAAUGCUCUGUAUAAAAACAAAAGGUAAAAGUAUUUGGGGAUUUAUUAAAAAGGGAAAAUUAUAAAUGCCUUCACUCUGUGAAAGAGACAAUUAUACUGCCCCAUUUCUUUUCUUUUUCUUUCUUUCUUUCUUUUUUCUUUUUUUUUGAGACGGAGUCUUGCUCUGUUGCCAGGCUGGAGUGCAGUGGCACGAUCUCGGCUCACUGCAACCUCCACCUCCUGGGUUCAAGUGAUUCUCCUGCCUCAGCCUCCUGAGUAGCUGGCACUACCAGCGUGUGCCACCACACCUGGCUAAUUUUUUUUUUUUUGUAUUUUUAGUAGAGACGGAGUUUCACCAUGUUAGCCAAGAUGGCCUUAAUCUCCUGACCUUGUGAUCUGCCCGCCUCGGUCUCCCACAGUGCUGGGAUUACAGGUGUGAGCCACCGCGUCCAGCCUAUACUGCCCCAUUUCUUUGAUAAAACUAUGUAUCUUUAAAGCACUUUUUUUUUUUGAGAUCGGGGUCUCACUGUGUUGCCCAGGCUGGAGUGCAGUGGCAUGUUCUCAGCUCACUGCAACCUCGACUACCUGGGCUCAGGUGAUUCUCCCACCUCAGCCUUCUGAGUAUCUUGGACUAGAGACAUGCACCACCAUGCCUACUAGUUUUUUUUUUUUUUUUUUUUUUUUUUUUUUUUUUUUUUGAGACGGAGUCUCGCUCUGUCGCCCAGGCUGGAGUGCAGUGGCGCGAUCUCAGCUCACUGCAAGCUCCGCCUCCCAGGUUCACGCCAUUCUCCUGCCUCAGCCUCCCAAGUAGCUGGGACUACAGGCGCCCGCCACUACGCCCGGCUAAUUUUUUGUAUUUUUAGUAGAGACGGGGUUUCACCGUUUUAGCCGGGAUGGUCUCGAUCUCCUGACCUCGUGAUCCUCCCGCCUCGGCCUCCCAAAGUGCUGGGAUUACAGGCGUGAGCCACCGCGCCCGGCCGCCUGCUAGUUUUUAAAAAUUUUUUUACAGAGAUGGGGUUUUGCCAUGAUACCCAGGCUGGUCUUGAACUCCUGGGCUCAAGCGAUCCUCCCACCUCAGCCUCCCAAAGUGUUGGGCUUACAGGCAUGAGCUACCACGCCCGGCCUAAAGCACUUUUUACAUAUUAUUGUAAAUAAUAUAUAGAAAAUUACUCUUGCUACUUUGAAUUGGGUUAUUUAAUUUUGAUUAUUUUUAUUUUUAUUGAUUUUUAAAAGCUGUGGUGCAUAUACAUAUGACACAUAUAUAUCCCUCAUGCCCACAGCAAAAUAUAUCUAACUCUGCGAUGACGGGGAGAAAUCAGGGAGAGCACAAAUUCUCUUUGCAGACAUAAUUUCCGGCAUUCACUGCUUUGCUAAGCCCGGGACCAGGCAUCCUUUUACGAGCAAGGUGGUGCUGCAAUACUCCACAUGACCACUGGGUGGCACCACUGUCUCUCGAAUAGACACCUGAUGGCGCCCUCAAUGUUCCUCCCCCUUUUCUGUCCUCCAGAGUCUGUGUUUUGCGUUCUCAAGUAGAAGGUACUUACAGACUGGACCUGCAAUUGGAGGUCAUUCUUCUCCUGCAGGAGGGAGACCAUUUUCUCCUCCAGCUCCUUCCGGCGAGCCUCAGAUCGGGCCAGUUCUUCCUUGGUCCUCUCAAAGUCUUCCUUCAUGGUGGCCAUCUCCUUCUCGGCCUCUGCACUCUUCAGCAGGGGCUUGAUUUUGAAGAACAGGUUCAUCCAGGGCCAGUGCUUGACGUUCAUAAAAGAGCGGAUGUUGUACUGGAUGCAGAAGAUGGAGUCCCUGUACACCCAUUAGGACUCAAAUUAAUAAAUCCAGCAAGGUCUGGUCUCUGCACCCCCAACCUGUCCCCGACGGACCCCAUCCUCCGUCUUUCUCGGUUAGGUGGGAAGGAGGUGCAGCCAAGCUUGGCAGAUCCUCUGGAUCCAGAGUAGGUCUGCAAAUGAGGGGCAGAGGAAACAGAGGUACGUGCACAGGUUGGAAGGUAGGAGAGGGCGUGGAGCUACCUGCGGGCUCCUGGUCACCUGGCUGCCCUUCCCACCACCCUACUGAGAGUGCCCUGCCUGAGGGCGUCCGUGACCUCCUAAUGCUCAAUGCAAGGAAUAGCUUUCAUUCCUAUUCUAUUGGGUCUUUCUCCCAUGUUUGAUGUAUUAAUCAGCUCUUAACUUUUGAAACUUUCUCUGCCUUAAAUUCCAUCCACAUUUUCCCUGUUUCACUGCAUUUUGCCAUAUGGGGUUCCUCUUCCUGCUGGAGAAACCCAGGACUUGUCCUUGGUCAUUUCCCAGUCUCUUGCCCUGGUAGAGUUGAUCUGUCUUCCCAAUUUCUUUCUUUUCUAUUCGUUUUUUUUUUUUUUUUUGAGAUGGAGUCUUGCUCUGUUGCCCAAGCUAGAGUGCAAUGGUGCAAUCUCGGCUCACUGCAACCUCCGCCUCCUAGGUUCAAGCAAUUCUUCUGGCUCAGCCUCCCAAGUAGCUGGGAUUACAGGUAUGCGCCACCACGCCUGGCUAAUUUUUGUAUUUUUAGUAAAGACUGGGUUUCACCAUGUUGGUCAGGCUGGUCUUGAACUCCUGACCUCAGGUGAUCUGCCCGCCUUGGCCUCCCAAAGUGCUAGGGUUACAAGCGUGAGCCACCACAACCAGCCUGUAUUCCUAAUUUCUGCUGCUGUUUUCAUCCCAGUGUCACCCACAUGAUCUCCUCCCCUUCACCCUCCACAGCUUUAUAUUUACAUAGCUUAUGGAUUCCUGAACACUGGCUUCUCUUUCCCUUCUUGAGAUUCUUUUCAUCUCCGUGCUGGCUUCCAUGUGCUUCACCAAGCUCGAUGCCUGGGAGUGAUUCCUGACGCAUACAUGGUGGCGGUUCAUUAUGGCUCUGACAGUUAGAGCCACACAGGGGAUCAGGGAACCAGGGAGAACAGGCUCCCUCCCACACUCCCCUCUCCCUCCAAUCCCUGCAGGUGACUAGUCAUCAAUGCUGCUAUUCCUUCUCUUGAAUUAUCAAAGGAAAAAGACUUAAACAUUCCUUUAAUCCAUGCCCUCCUCUCUCACCCAUCAACUAUGUCCUACUUCAGGUCCUUGUCAUCCCUUACUUGGACUUCUACCACACUGUGGCCUUGCCCCGUCAUAGCCUUUGUGUUCACUCUCCUAGCUGCCAGAGUGAUGCAAUCCUACCCCUUGUCUCUGCACACACCUUCUACAGCUCUCCAUCAAUGACAGGGUGCAGCCUGGGUUUCUGAAUGUGACACAUAGGGACCUCCACUACCUGCCUCUUGCUCUCUAUUCCAAUGACAGCCACCUGCUUGUCGGGCUUCCUCCCAGACCACCCACUCUCAGGUUGUGUAGAGCUUGCUUCAGAAAGUGCUUUCGUCAGCUGGGCGCAGUGGCUUACGCCUGUAAUCCCAGCAAUGUGGGAGGCCAAGGCGGGCGGAUCACCUGAGGUCAGGAGUUCAAGACCAGCCUGGCCAACAUGGUGAAACCCCAUCUCUAAAACAAAACAAAACAAACAAACAAAAAACAAAAUAGCCGGGCGUGGUGGUGCAUGCCUGUAAUCCCAGCUACUAGGGAGGCUGAGGCGGGAGAAUCGCUUGAACCUGGAAGCUGGAGAUUGCAGUGAGCCGAGAUUGUGCCACUGCACUCCAGCCUGGAUGACAGAGCAAGACUCUGUCUAAAAAAAAAAAAAAAGGAAAAAAGAAAGUGCUUUCUUCUUGCUGACACCUUCAUGCCAACUCCAACCCCCUAAUCAGGCUGGGGGCUUAUUCUUGCCAGUUCCCUAUCCCCCGACUAUAACUCGAACAUUGAGCUUGUCACAGGCAUUAAAACCAGCCAUACAUGCGUCUGCUUCCCACUCCUUUGUGACCCUGUGAGGGAGGGUUCAUUUCUGUCUCCCCAGCGCCAUGCAGAGCACCCAGCCCAGGAUUGCCGCUCAGUAGAUGUGGGUUAAACAAAUGAAGGAAAGAGAGCAAGCACAUGGAAAUCCCAAGACUAAAAGCAGGAAGUGACAAUCAGCUGCUAAGCAGAGAGGGCAGGAUAAGGUGGAGGUGAGGGUCUGUGUCACCUCCUCUCCAUCAUCUUCUUGAACUCCACCCGCAUCAGGUACCCCCUGCACACCGCCUGCGUGCUUGUCAUCAGCGUCACCAGCUUCUCAUCUCUCAUCUCCUCCAAAAGUCCCAGGAGCCCAGCUUUGAAAAACACCUGCAUUAAAAGACAGAGGAGCCUUGAUCUUUUUCCCCAGCAGGCGUUCAGCCGGGCCCUUGAGGGGGCCUGUUUCUGCUCAACUCUGAGGCUCAACUCUCAGAGCACGGCAGGGGCAGCAAUUCUGUUUCCAGGACUUGCUUCUCGGUGGCUCUGGUCUCCUCAGUGGCUCCUCCUGGGCAGUGAGGCAGCCUGGUCCAGAGUCUGUUCCAAGCUGGUCAUGGUGGCUCAUGCCUGUAAUCCCAGCUCUUUGGGAGGCCGAGGCAGGUGAUCAUUUGAGGUCAGGAGUUCGAGACCAGCCUGGCCAACAUGGUGAAACCCUAUCUCUACUAAAAAUACAAAAAUUAUCCGGGCGUGGUGGUGGGGACCUGUAAUCCCAGAUACUCAGGAGGCUGAGGCAGGAGCAUCACUUGAGCCUGGGAGGUGGAGGUUGCAGUGAGCAGAGAUUGCACCAUUGCACUCCAGCCUGGGUGACAGAGCAAGACUCUGUCUCAAAACAAAACAAACAAACAAAACAACAACAACAACGACAAAAACAACGUGUGUUCCAGGCCCCACCAACCCACAGAGAUCAGUUCUGACAGAGCUCACAUACAGGAAACAAAGAUGAGUCCAGAAAGAAACCAUGGGACGCAAUUGUGCCCAGAUCAGAGAGAUUCACAGAUGCGUUGGCUUCACCCUCUUCUUCUGUCCAUCUGGGAAGGUUGGUCCCAUGCUCAGGCCCACUUCGCCCACUCCCUCCAUAACAUUCCAGGGAAACUAAGCACCCUCUGGGGCCAGCAGGCUCUUCCUUGCUGGAGACCCCCAGCCUGCCCGUUUCUGAGAUGUGGAUCUUUGGAGGCAGGCCAGGAUUUGAAGCUGACCUUUGCCACUUACUAUCUAUCCAUGUGUGACCUUGAGUAAGUUUCUCGACCUCCCAAGAACCUGAUGAGUAAGUGCCACCCUUAUCACCAUCACUCCCACCUCGCUGGUUAGUGAGGAGUCAGUGAAGUACGUGCAGGAGGCUUCUCACAGGGCUGAUACUCACGUGCUCAAUAAAUGGCAGCUAGUUUGUCUUUGUUUUUGUUUUUUUGAGACAGGGCUUCACUUUGUUGCCCAGGCUGGAGUGCAGUAGUAUGAUCAAUCGCACUGCAGCCUCCAUCUCCUGGCCUCAAGAAAUCCUACUUCAGCCUCCCAAAAGCAUGGGAUUAAAGGCAUGAACCACUGCGCCCCGCUUGGUAGCUGAUUUUAUUGUUUAUAGUCAUUCUCCUCAAGGCCUCAGUGUCCCUGGAGUCCUCUCUAUGUUCUCCUCUCUCUUCAGCUCUUUCUUACCUCUGGGACACUAGAGUUCCCCAUUGGCUUUUCCUAUCCUUGCUGCAUGGUGGGGCUCAGGCUUCCAAUCUAAGCUUUCAGCCACUUACAAACCAACAGGGAGACAAGCUCUGUCUACCUAGACACAGAGCUCCCCUUACCUGGGCGACUGGGCAAGGACGGUCAGGUGGACCAAAAGGAGAAGGGGACCCUUUUUCUGAUCAGCUAAGAAGCAGCCCAGGGCUGUGGGGUUACUAGGGGAGUCCCAGCCUUGCCUGUGCUCACCUUGGUGUUGCCGAACCUGAACUGCUCCCGGUCCACAUCGAUGGAGUUGAGGAGCUUCUCUGAGGCAUUUUUGCUGUCAAUGAACUGCCCUUCAGGGAUAGCACUGGCAUUGAGGAUCCGGUACCUAAGGAGAGAGGACAUUUCCCAAAUGGAUUCCAAUCCCCGAAAGGCUUCAUAGCUGAGACCAGCCUUCUAGAAUCUUCUCCUGCUCAAGCCUUAGGAGGAAGUGGAAUACUGUACAGCUGGUCUGGGAGAUGGGAAUAGCUAGGGACUGAUUCUAGCAAGGGGGCUUGAAUCAGCCCCCUUGGGAGAGAAGCAAGGUGGGUGGGAGAGAAGCAUGAAAGAAGGGAGCCCAGCUGAGUGCAUGGCGGGAAGUUUGCUUUCAGAGGAAAUGGUUCUUCUCUGGCUUAAAAGAGGCCUUGAAAUCAACCGUGACCUGUAGGCCGUGGUUCUCCUACUUCUGGAAGGUCCUCUCCUGUCCUCCAUCCUGGACAAGGCCCGGACUUGUGCAACCCAAUGGUGGCUCAGAGGAGAGAGUUAGUCUAGAGCUGCGGGCCUCAGCUGGGUGUGAUUUGGCAAUGUCUAGAGAGUUUUGAUUGUCACAGCUCAGUGGGGAGGGGUGUGGUUUGCUACCACAUCUCUUGAGUAGAGGGCAGGGUUACUGCUAAAAUCCUCCCACACCCAGCACAGCCUCCACAAUAAAGGAUGAUCUAGCCUGAGUGUCCAUAGUACAGAAGUUGAGACAUCCUGGUCUAGAGUCACAAUCAGGCUAGAGGGUCUGGGAUCUGAAUUUGGAACCACUUGGGCUGGCCCACUCACUGUGGGCAUGGGAUCAGUUCCUCUAGCAAGAGAUGAAGUCUGUGGAAACUCUGGGGGACUUGGGAGCUCACCAAAUACCCAGGUCAAGAAAUGUCUUAGGGAAAUGCAAAAGGUGCCCUCGGAAGGAGAGAGAUGCACAGGAGAGAGGGAACCUACCGCUGCUUGAAGUCAGCAUAGAGGAUCCGGCUGGGGAAUCCCUUCCUGCAAAUCCGGAUGCCCUCGAGGACCCCGUUACAGCGCAGCUGGUGCAUGACCAAGUAGUGGUCCAUCACACCUGGAGAGAGAACGUCCCGGGGGUGUGCCUGUGACCCCUUCAUUUGUUGUUGAUGGUCUGAGGCACCAUGAGACCCUCCAACACAUCCACACUUGAGUGGGAGAGUCAGUGAGUGGGAGAGUCAGUGCCAGCUCCAAGGUAGAGGGCUGGGGGUGGCUAGAGCCUGCCUGCAGGUCCCGCAGUGAAAUAAUCCCACCCUCUUGGGGAGAUGCUAGCACCCCAUAACCGUGGCAGUAAGAGCCAAAGCAUUGUGCUUUCUGUCCUCAGCCCUGACUCUGCAGCAAGGCUGCAAAAGCUGCAGAGUGAGUACAGGGUGCACUUGGGCUUCCCAUGGGAUAACCCGAGAUGUCUUCUUGCAUCUACACAAAGAUGGGGAUGGAAAAAUCUGCAGGCUGUGGCUGCAGAAGAGUAACCCAGCAAAGAAGAGGAGGCCGGCUGGGCGCGGUGGCUCAUGCCUAUAAUCCCAGCACUUUGGGAGGCCGAGGUGGGUGUAUCGCCUGAGGUCAGGAGCUCGAGACCAGCCUGGCCAACAUGGUGAAACCCAGUCUCUACAGAAAAAUACAAAAAUUAGCCAGAUGUGGUGGCACACACUUGUAAUCCCAGCUACUUGGGAGGCUGAGGCAGCAGAAUCACUUGAACACAGGAGGCGGGGGUUGCAGUGAGCUGAGAUUGAGCCACUGCACUCCAGUCUAGGCAAGAAGAGUGAAACUGCACCUCAAAAAAAAAAAAAGAAGAGGCCGUGGGAGGGGACCCAGAAGGGGGUUGAAGGUAGGGCGGCGGUCAUCUGCUGACCACUCAGCCCCUGCUAUAGGAAUUGGGGGAGAAAUGGAGCUUGGCUGGAAGGAGAGGAGCUAGAGGGGCAAGCCCCUUUGGGGAGGUAAUGUGGGUGCUCGUGGUAACCAGCCUGGGUCAGGCACAAAUCAAACUAGGAUGGAGAAAAUUCUGUCUCAGGUCUGCGUGAGGGGUUAGAGGACAGGGGCUACGGCAACCUGAUGGCUUCUCUUUGUGGGCUCCCUAAGUUGCCGGGGUGGGAGUGGUGGGGCCAAGGCUGGCUUUGACUUAACCUUAGGGAAGCUUCUAGAAUGCCCACGUGGUUCCCUGGUAGCUGUGGGGAGACAUCACUAUACAAUUAGAUGAUUUUUAAGGCUUUGGUAGAGCUGCACUGUCAGAUACCGUAGUGACCAGCCACAUGUGGCUAUUUACAUUUAAAUUCAUUAAAAUUAAAAAUUAAUUAACAUUUUAAAACUUUUCAUGUAAAUGUAAACAUUUCAUGUAACGGUGGCCACCCUAUUGAACAGUGCAGACAUGGGGCAUUUAAUCAUUUCUGAAAGUCCUAUCAGGUGGUGAUUCUCUAGAGAAAACAUGGUUGAGAGCAAGGAGAAAAUGUCUCAGACAUUCAGAGAACUGGCCAGGUGCAGUGGCUCAUGCCUGUAAUCACCGCACUUGGGAGGUCGAGGUGGGUGGAUCACCUGAGGUCAGGAGUUCAAGACCAGCCUGGCCAACAUGGUGAAACUCCAUCUCUACUAAAAAUACAAAAAUUAGCCGGGCGUGGUGGCAGGUGCCUGUAGUCUCAGCUACUCGGGAGGCUGCGUCAAGAGAAUCGCUUGAACCCAGGAGGCGGAGGUUGCAGUGAGCCGAGAUUGUGCCACUGCACUCCAACCUGGGUGACAGAGCAAGACUCAGUCUCAAAUAAAUAAAUAAAUAAAUAAAUACAAUAAUUAAAAAAUUCAUAGAACCGCCGAUGUGGAGAGAACCUUAGCAAUGGUCUAAUUCGACUCCCAUGAGCUCUCAGAUGAUGAUUCUGAGUGGUUAAGAUCCCAGCUAUGCUGUUUACUAGCUUCGCGGACUUGGCCUGUCUCUGCCUCAAUUUCUUUAUUUGUAAAAUAAGGAUAAUAAUGUAGGUUGAGCAUCCCGAUUCAGAAAACUCAAAACCUGAAAACUUUUGAGCUCCAACCUGAUGCCACAAGUGGAGAAUUCCACGACUGACCUCAUGAGGCAGGUCGCAGCCAAAACUGUUUCACGUACAAAAUUAUUUAAAAUAUUGUAUAAAAUUACCUUAGGGCUAUGUGUAUAAGACCCAUAUGAAACAGAUGAAUUUUGUGUUUAGACUUGGUCCCAUCCCCAAGAUAGCUCAUUAGGCACAUACAAAUAUUCCAAUAUCCACAGAAAUUUAAAAUUCACAACACUCGUGGUCCCAAGCAUUUCAGAUAAAGGGAUAAUCAACCUGUAGUAUCUGCUUCAUCAGGUGGUUGAGGAUUACAUGAGUUAAGAUGAGUACAGGCCCGGUGCGAUGGCUCACGCUUGUAAUCCCAGCACUUUGGGAGGCCGAGGUGGGCGGAUCGCCUGAGGUCAGGAGUUCGAGACCACCCUGGCCAACAUGGUGAAACCUCUUCUCUACUAAAAAUAUGAAAACGUAGCUGGGUGUGGUGGUGCGUCCCUGUAAAUCCCAGUUACUCGGGAGGCUGAGGCAGGAGGAUUGCUUAAACUGGGGAGGCAGAGGUUGCAGUGAGCUGAGAUGGCGCCACUGCACUCCAGCCUGAGCGACAGAGUGAGACCCUGUCUUGAAAAAAAAAGAGAGAGAGAGAAAAGAUGAGUACAAAGGUUAAAAUGGUGAAAGCAGGCAUGAUUAACACUUGCUUUAACCAUGUGGCUGAGGCCUCUUUCUUCUUAAGCACCGGGAGCAGAGAGAAAAAGGCAUAGUUACAAGAGAAUUGAAGCUUCUAGAGCCAGAAGAAAGCUGAAAGGACCAUCAUUUUACAGUGGGGAGGCCAGAGAUGCCACCAUGCUUGCCAGGCUGUCCAUCCUGUUAGGGGUCGUGUCCGACUUGGACUGGGAGAUCUUUUCUAAUUCCCGCAGAGGCAUCCUAUGGGGUGGCGGGGCACUGGGGGAGACUGAGGCCCAGAGAGGUGAAGGGCUUUGCAAAGCUGUAGCAGAGCCGAGACGCCACUCUUCUCUCUCACAGGGCCCCUCUGGUUUGUGCAGACUCAGAAUCCUGAGCUGAGUUCUCUUAGGGCUUGCUUUGUUUUUCCUUAAACCCGGCCUGAGAUGUUUUCUAUCAGGUCCACGUAAAGGGCCUCCUUUGCUUUUGUACCAAUGCGUAAAACUUCUAAAAAUUCCCCUGAGCUAUUCUCUCAUCCUUCUGCUCCAGCCGCUGAAGGGUUUUUCCUCUUUAUUUCUCCAAGUGUAUCACUUCCAUCCCACUCCUUUCUCCAGCCAUCUUGGCCUCUGUGGGCAGUGGUAUUAGCCAUGCUUUUGAAAUAUGCUGUAUCUUAUGAUGAUCCGGCAUCAUGGGGCCUCCUCGCUGGCUCAGGAGAGACUGCCCUUCCCGGGGCUAGCCAUUCCAGGAGAUGGCAAAAAAGCCUCCUGCAAGCACGUCUUUCACAUGCAAACCAGCCAUCCAAAGCCCUUAACCCCCGACCCCUACCUUUAUCAGGCUCUCACAGGGCUCUUACACUCUGGGCCAAUACUUCCCUGUCCUGGUCACCUCAGGGCCCCAGGUACCGGCCAACUUGAGAAAGUCCCUACAUUUUGAAGCCUGCUGAAACCAUUCAAACUUGGCAAUGCUGAACCUGCUUGGCCUGUUCAUGCUACCUCGCCUGCUCCAUCCCAUGGGAAUGACCCUCGAGGCUCUGGCCUGUGAUUUCUCCUUACUCCCCCAACCCCAAACCUAGCUCUGGUGCUUCCCCUCGUGGCCCUCUGUGGCAGGCCCCCUCCUCUUGAGCACUGUGUCUUUUUUUUUUUUUUGAGAAGGAGUCUCCCUCUGUCACUGAGGCUGGAGUGCAGUGGUGCAGUCUCGGCUCACUGCACCCACCGCCUCCUGGGUACAAGCAAUUCUGCUUCAGCCUCCCAAGUAGCUGGGAUUACAGGCAUGCACCACCACGCCAGGCUAAUUUUUGUAUUUUUAGUUGAGACAGGGUUUCGCCAUGUUAGGCUGGUCUCAAACUCCUGACCUCAGGUGAUCCACCCACCUCAGCCUCCCAAAAUGUCGGGAUUACAGGCGUGAGCCACCAUGCCCGGGCGUGACUGUCUUUUUAAUGGUAACCAUCUUCUGGUCUGUUGGCCUCACCAUCCCUUAACAAUAAUAAAACCUACAUUUAAAAACAGCAGCAAGCCAGCUUUUGGUGAGUCAGCAGCACAGACUUAGCAGGCUCCAGGUUUGCUGCAAGAGGAGAACGAGAGGAGUAGAGGCUGGAGCCUGCUCCCGAGGGGCCCUUGUUCAGCAGGCGAGCAGAGGACCUGUGCCCGUGAAGUCCUAGAGGAUUUGGGAGAACAACUAGCAAGCCCCGUAUGUGCCUGUGGGUGGGGAGGGACUUGAGAUUUGAUCAUGGAUCGUGACUCCCAGCCCCUGCUCUAGGUGCCCUGGGGUAAGGCAUGGAAAUCUCCAUAGUCUCUAGUCUUCUAGAAAAUAAAGAGGGCACACUAGCUGCUUUCUAAGGUGUCACCAGGCUUCUGUAUUCGUGUUGGGCUAUUCCCAGAAAUUGACAUGAAAACAGAGAGGUAGGUGCCAGAGCUAAGGAGAAGCAAAUGCAACAGGAAAGGACAGACAUUUCAGCAACAUUUACCUUCCCAAAGAAAAUGUAGGGCCGGGCGCGGUGGCUCACGCCUGUAAUCCCAGCACUUUGGAAGGCUGAGGUGGGCAUAUCACGAGGUCAGGAGAUCGAGACCAUCCUGGCUAACAUGGUGAAACCCCAUCUCUACUAAAAGUACAAAAAUUAGCUGGGCAUGAUGAUGUGUGCCUGUAGUCCCAGCUACUCAGGAGGCUGAGGCAGGAGAAUAGCUUGAACCAGGGAGUUGGAGGUUGCAGUGAGCCGAGAUCGUGCCACUACACUCCGGCCUGGCGACAGAGCGAGAGUCUGUCUCAAAAAAGAAAAAAAAGUAAGCCAGUGGAUUACCAAAAGCAUUCCUCCCAGAGGCACAGUUUGAAGCCAUCCCCCACCACCUUGCAGGCCAUCUGCUUAGAGAGGAGUCAGGCCACAAGCAUGUUUGAUUUAUGCAAACAUGUACUCAACGACGACAGUAACAGAAAUGGAUAUUUUCCAAGACCUACUACAAGCCAAUGAUUUCGUGUGAUUCUUAACCAAAGAAACCACUCUUCCCAACACUGGAGAAGCCGGCUCAUUGGUCAGGAGGCUGCAGGAUGCCCCAGAUAAUGCAUAUAUCACAAUGAUGUAGUUGGUUAUUGCUUUUGACUUAGACUUUAGAACCUAACUUUCAUGGAAGAUGCAGUUUCACUAACUAUAACACACCUGGCUAUUGGGGAUUUAAAGUUUAUAGUUCUGAGUGAUAAUAAUAAUAAUAAUAAUUAGCAUCCAACAUUUGCUGGGUGUUCACAAUGUGCUCAGCCCUGUUGUAAAUGCUUGACUUGCACUUACUCAUUGAACCCUCACGACAACCCUCUAAGGUGGGUUAAAUGAGCUAAUAUUUGCAAAGUGAGUAACCACUUUAUGAGUGCUUAUUAAAGAAGUAAAUAAUAGAUUAAAAUGCCACUUUUAUCCUUGUUUUUUUUUUUUUUUUGUUUGUUUUUUUUGAGACGGAGUUUCGCUCUGUCGCCCAGGCUGGAAUGCAGUGGCACGAUCUCGGCUCACUGCAAGCUCCGUCUCCCGGGUUCACGCCAUUCUCCUGCCUCGGCCUCCCGAAUAGCUGGGACUACAGGCGCCCGCCACCACGCCCAGCUAAUUUGUUUGCAUUUUUAGUAGAGACGGGGUUUCACCAUGUUAGCCAGGAUGGUCUCGAUCUCCUGACCUCGUGAUCCACCCGACUCGGCCUCCCAAAGUGCUGGGAUUACAGGCGUGAGCCACUGUGCCCGGCCUAUCCUUGUUUUAUGGACAAGAAAGCUGAGGCAGAAAGUGCUCAAAUACUCUGCUUAGGAUCACGUGGUAAUAGGUGAACUUUUCCCCCCCAACCCCCCGACAACGUAUACCUCUGUUCACUCAUAAUGUUGCAGAGGCAGAAUGUUUAAUCCUGAGCUGGGAGGCCCGUGUUGGGCAUAGAACAGCUCAGCUGGUGAGUUAGCUACCCCAUAGCCACAGCUCCGUGUGACAGUUUGUUUUCCUUUUUGUGACAAAUGACACUGAAAAAGCUAGACUCCAAGAAUAUUCGCAAAUCAGGAUGAAGUGACAGUUAAAGGAGUCCUCUAUUGCACAGGGUUCUAUAUUUAUAUAUAGUCUGUAUUGCACAGGGUUCUGUAUUUAUAUAUAGUCUCUGAUUCUCAGUUUUCUCAUUUAUAAACUGGAGAUCAAUACGCGUAUCUUGCAGAGAACUGUUGCAAGGAUUCGAGGUAAUAUAACAAAGUGAUUGACAUGCAGUAUGGCUUCAAACAGUUGUUAUUGAUGCUAUUUUGAUUAUGGGAUACCCAAGAUGAUUAUUUGCCAAAUGUAGUGGUAUUUAACUUUGGGGUAAACAGAGCCUUUAUCUUAUGAAAGCUGUGGCUCUGAUGUGCCUAUAUACAUACACACAAUAUUUUGAAUAUGAUUUCGUAGUAGGGGUGCCAGAUAAGAUACAGAUGCCCUGCUGAAUGUGAAUUUCAGAUAAACAAUGAAUACUUUUUUAGAGGAAGUAUAUUCCAAAUAUUGCAUAGGUCACACUUAGACAUUUUUCAUUGUUUAACUGAAAUUGAAAUUUAAUAACAUUUAAUAUGGCAUUUGGUUUUUAGCAUUUUUGUGGUUACAUAAUAGUUGAACAUAUUUAUGGGGUACACAUGAUAUUUUGAUACAAGCGUGAAAUGUGCAAAGAUCAUAUCUGCAUAAUUGGGAUAUCUGUCACCUCAAACAUUUAUCAUUUCUUUGUGUUGGGUACAUCCGGUAUUUUUAUCUGCUAAAUCUGGCAACCCUAUUUCAGAGACUACUUUCAGAAGUGAUACAGACCAUCACUCUUUCCAAACGCACACCCACAGAAUUUUGCAUUUAUCUCAGGGCGUCCUGUUCUGUUCAAAUACUUGGCAAGAUCUGCUGGUACUCACCAGGAGUCUUGGUCUCAUUGGGAAUCAGACAUCGUACAAAGUGAGGGUGGGUGCUCCUUAAGUUAGUCAUCAAUUUGUUUAAAUUUUCCUGGGACAUAAACCAAAACAAGCACAUUUAGCAACUGCCAUUUCACUGGGGAGAAAAACAAGUGAAUAUGGAAGCUGCCAAAACACCAACCCUGAACACGGCCGACACGGUCUGGAAAGAGGAGCCCUUCUUCUUCCCGCCCUUCUUGCUUCCUCCGGAGUCGCCUGGAGACAGACACAGAAGAGCGUGUUAGAUGCAUCCCAGAGGACCCAGCAGUGGGCUUCCUGAACCACCUGUUCCCAGCCCCGAGUUCUGGUUUCCUUUUGACAUAAGAGACUUGAGGUUUUGUUUGUUUGUUUUAGACGGAGUGUUGCUCUGUUGUCCAGGCUGGAGUGCAAUGGCACCAUCUCAACUCACUGCAACCUCCACCUCCCGGGUUCAAGCCAUUCUCUUGCCUCAGCCUCCCAAGUAGCUGAGACUACAGGCGUGUGCUACCAUGCCUGGCUAAUUUUUGUAUUUUUAGUAGAGAUGAGAUUUCACCAUGUUGGCCAGGCUAGUCUCGAACUCCUGACUUUGGCCUCCCAAAGUCCUGGGAUUAUAGGCAUGAGCCACCUUGCCUGGCCUGUUUGUUUUUAAAAUGCCCCCAAACUACCCAGGAUUAAGAACCCUCAGCUUUAUCAUUGUGGGAAUGGGGUGGGAAUGGGGUGUGGAUAGCAUUUAACUGGGAGUAUAACUUAAACUCUCAGUAGAAAAGGGGAGUCCUUUCCUUUAGAAAUCAGAGCUGAAAGCAAACUGAAUAAUUUGCAAGAUUGAGAUGUCCCUCUUAAUGUUUGUAGUUUCUUUUUUUUUUUCAUUCUUUUUGUUGUUGUUGUUUGUUUGUUUUAAGAUGGAGUCUCGCUGCGAUGCCCAGGCUGGAGUGCAAUGGUGCAAUCUUGGCUCACUGCAACCUUCGUUUCCCAGGUUUAAGCAAUUCUCCUGCCUCAGCCUCCCAAGUAUCUGGGACUACAGGCGAGCGUCACCAUGCCUGGCUAAUUUUUGUAUUUUUAGUAGAGAUGUUUAGUAGAGAGUUUCACCAUAUUGGCCAGGCUGGUCUUGAACUCCUGACCUCAAGGGAUCCGCCCACCUUGGCCUCUCAAAGUGCUGGGAUUACAGGCGUGAGCCACCGUGCCUGGCAAUGUUUGUAGUUUCUUUCAUGAAUUUACCUCCUUUUAUUCUUUAAUCCCUGCUUAUCUCUAAAGAGUAAGUAACUGAAAGUAAUAAAACGGAAUUUUCUCAACAAUAUUUUAUAAGUUGAUUUCUUUUUCUUUCCUACAGGAAACAACCCAAUUUGCCAUCUUAAUUUGGAGUCUACUUUUUCUGAAUGACUCAGUUUUCUCUGAUACUUAAUCAAGAUGCAGCCUUGGGGGAAAAUGUCAUGUCCCAGUCUCCCCCAUGUUCCUUUCCCUUCAUCCCACUUUGUCCCCGGGGUCUAGCAUGACUGUGUGUUUGGAUUGGGGAAGUGAAGGCAGGAAAGUCGCUUCCCCAAAUCCGCAUCCACACAGGGUCUUAUGUUAGAGUUGAUGUUAUCUCUAGGCGAGGUUAUGCAAUGUAGUUACAGAGACAUUGUGAUUAGAUUCAAAGAAAAUGAUUUUCAUCAUUGAAGUUUACGCAUGUGCCCAUUUCCUAUUUAUUACAUUCCCUGGCCCAGAGGACAUUAGGCUUUCAUUUUUAAAAAAUGAUCUCAUUAUCUAAUGAAUAAUUAUAUUUCAUAUAUUUUAUUAAUUUAUUAAAUGUAUGCAUUUAAAAUGGCAUAUAAUGUUAAAACUCUAUGUUGGCUACUAUUUAAAAGUAUAUUUACUGGUAAUCUUAAAAAGUGUUACUGGCUUGUGUUACUUAUUUAUUUGUUUGAGAUAGGGUCUCACUCUGUCAUCCGGGCUGGAGUACAGUGGCCCAAUCAUGGCUCGCUGCAAUUUCAGCCACCCAAUCUCAUGUGAUCCUCCCAGCUCAGGUUCCCAAGUAGCUGGACUACAGGUGUGCACCACCACUUUUGGCUAAUUAUUUUAUUUUAUCUUAUUUUAUUUUGUUUUAGAGACAGGAUCUCUAUGUUGCCCACACUGGUCUUGAACUCCUGGCCUCAAAUGAUCCUUCUGCCUCAGCGUCCCAAAGUGUUGGGAUUACAGGUGUAAGCCACCACGCCUGGCCCCUGUGUAACCACUCUGGAAAAGAGUUCAGAAGUUACUCAAAAUUUUGAACACAGUUAUCAUAUGACCCAGCAACUCUACUCCUAGGUACCGUAUAUAUAUACCGUGUAUACCCAAAAGAAUUGCCAAUAUAUAUUCACAUAUAAACUUCUAUACAAAUGUUCAUAGCAACAUCAUGCACAGUAGCCAGAAAGUUCAUCGGCUGAUGAAUGUGCAGACAAAAUGUGAUAUAUUCAUACAAUGAACUAUUAUUUGUCCAUAAGAAAGAACAAAGUCCUGAUACAUGCUACAACAGGGCCAGACCUUGAGAACAGUAACCUGAAAGAAGCCAGACACAAAAGAGCAUCCAGUAUAUAAUUCCAUUCACAUGAAAUGCCCAGAUAGGCAAAUCUACAGGGACAGAAAGUUGAUGAGUGGUUGCCAGAGGCUAGGGAUAGAAAUCUGCUCAUGGGGACAGGCAUGAUGGCUCGUGCCUAUAAUCCCAGCACUUUGGGAGGUCGAGGCGGGUGGAUCACAAGGUCAGGAGAUCGAGACCAUCCUGGCCACCAUGAUGGAACCCUGUCUCUACUAAAAAUACAAAAAAUUAGCCGGGCGUGGUGGCGUGCGCCUGUAGUCCCAGCUACUUGGGAGGCUGAGGCAGGGGAAUCGCUUGAACCCAGGAGGCAGAGCCUGCAGUGAGCCGAGAUUGCACCACUGCACUCCAGCCUGGAGAAAGAGCAAGACUCUGUCUCAAAAAAAAAAAAAAAAAAAAAAAUCUGCUCAUGGGUUACGGGGGUGUGAAAAAUGUUCUCAAAUUCCACAGUGGUGAUGGUCACACAACAUUGUGAAUAUCCUAAAAACCACUAAAUUUUUUUUUUUUUAAUAGAGUCUCACUCUGUCACCCAGGCUGGAGGGCAGUGAUGCAAACUCCAUUCACUGUAACCUCUGCUUCCUAGGUUAAAGCAAUUCUCCGGCCUCAGCUGCCUGAGUAUCUGGGACUACAGGUAUGUGCCACCACACUCGGCUAAUUUUUGUAUUUUUAGUAGAGAUGGGGUUUCACCAUGUUGGCCAGGCUGGUCUCAAACUCCUGACCUCAAGUGAUCGGCCCCCGCCUUGGCCUCCCAAAGAGCUGGGAUUACAGGCCUGAGCCACCAUGCCUGGCCAAAACCACUAAAUAGAUUUAAGGGUGAAUUUUAUUAUAUGUGAAUUAUACCUCAGUAGAAAACUAUUAAACAAUGUGAUGUUGACUAUCUUGGCCACUGAGAGGUCCUGUUUACCUCCAUAGAGCCCAGUCUCUUACAGAAGAGGAAGAAUAAGAGCAGGAGGAAGAAAAAUGGAGCUGAAAGAGAAACAUCAUACUCAGCUGAAGCUCAUGUCUGAUUACUGGUUCUUCACAAGCAGCUCUGGGUUAGGAGUCAUUACAUAGAACGUCCCACAGAGGGAAAGAAAUGAUAGAAUUUUACCUGUCUCUGCACCAGCAUAGUUGGAAAAAAGGAAGGAGAGAAGCUUCAGCGAAGACUUCUGGUACAGCCCCACCACAGUCUCGUUCAGGGGGUCCUUGUUUUUGUCCAGCCAGCCGGCGAUGUUGUAGUCCACGGUGCCGGCAUAGUGCACCAGCGAGAAGUGAGCCUCAGCCUUGCCUUUGGCAGGCUUGGGCUUCUGGAAGUUGUUGGAUUUUCCAAGAUGCUGGUCAUACAGCUUGUUCUUGAAGGAGGUGUCUGUUGCCUUGGGGAACAUGCACUCCUCUUCCAGGAUGGAGAAGAUGCCCAUAGGCUGGAAAGAGGAUAACAGAGUCUACAUAUAAUAGUGCAUACCCAUGCUUCAUGGUCUGGAGAAGCCAAAAAACCUUCUUUGGUGCUUUCACUCUGGUACCAGGAAUGCUGGCAUGUACGCUCGGUGAGAGCAAGACUCUUGGUCUGUUUGGGGGAUGACCAGAAAGUGCUAGGCAUAGAGUAUGUGCUUAAUUAAUAUUUGCUGAACAAAAGAAUAUAGGAUAAAAUUAUGUGUGUAUAAACCUAGCAUACUUUUUUCAAUAGGUGUACAAAAAAGUAAAGUUUCAUAUAUAGCCAUAAAGUAAUGUGAGUAAUAUUUUGAACAAUAAUGUCCCAAUUUCUCAGUAGCCACCUUAGGAAGAUAUACUCAUUCCAACAUGAGCAGUGCUCAAAUAUUAUGGGAAUUCCUUUUUAAAAAGUUAAUGUCGGCCGGGCGUGGUGGUUCACGUCUGUAAUCCCAGUACUUUGGGAGGCUGAGGUGGGUGGAUCACAAGGUCAGGAGUUUGAGACCAGCCUGGCCAACAUGGUGAAACCCCGUCUCUACAAAAAAAAGAAAAAAAAAAUUAUCUGGGCGUGGUGGCGGGCACCUGUAGUCCCAACUAUUCAGGAGGUGGAGGCAGGAGGAUCGCUUGAACCUGGGAGGUGGAGGUUGCAGUGAUCCGAGACUGCACCACUGCACUCCAGCCUGGGUGACAGAGCAAGACUCCGUCUCAAAAAAAAAAAAAAAAAAAAAAGUUAAUAUCUAUUCCUGUUUUCAUAUUAACAUCCCUCCAAGAGCCACACUGCUCCAUGGUUCCGCCUCCUUGGGUCUUUGGGUAAGUCAAAUAGGUAAGAAAUGCCACAGUCCUUACUGGGGUUCCAUCACAUUCUUGGAGAUAACUGAGCCCUUGGAUUUUAAUGACCCGUAAACCUCUUUAAGUGUCAGAACAGAUUUAGGACAUUCAUUCUCUUUGCAAAUAGGCAUUCAGUUAUCUAUCUGAAGGCUUGCAGCCUGGGGGCUAGGGGCCCCAAUCUGUGAGCAGAAAAGAAUCAGAGCAAGAAGGGGAGGGCCCCCAAUAAGGAGGAGCUGUCCCAGGCAGCAGUAUCUCUCUACCUUCUCGAUGAGCUCGAUGCAGGCAGCCAGGUCCAUUCCGAAGUCAAUGAACUCCCACUCGAUGCCUUCCUUCUUGUACUCUUCCUGCUCCAGCACGAACAUGUGGUGGUUGAAAAACUGUUGCAGUUUCUCAUUGGUGAAGUUGAUGCACAGCUGCUCCAGGCUGUUGAACUGGGUGAUUCAAAUACCAAAGAAUUUGAGUGAGCUUGGAAAAUACAUUGGAGAUUCAGCAAAGCAGACAAGAAAGUAGAAGGUCACAACUCACAUCAAAGAUCUCAAAGCCAGCAAUGUCCAAGACCCCGAUGAAGUACUGCCUGGGCUGCUUGGUGUCCAGCUGCUGGUUGAUGCGGGUGACCAUCCACAGGAACAUCUUCUCGUAGACGGCUUUGGCCAGAGCACCCACCGAAUUGGUCACCUUGAAAAAGGAUCACCCACUCAACCCUUGAGUUAGUGUUUCUAUGGCUGCAUUAAGUUGAAACAUAUGAAAUUGACUCGAAAAUCAAAAGCUGUUGGCUAGGCGUGGUGGCUCACACCUGUAAUCCCAGCACUUUGGGAGGCCAAGGCGGGCGGAUCACGAGGUCAGGAGUUCAAGACCAUCCUGGCCAACAUGGUGAAACCCCGUCUCUACUAAAAAUACAAAAAUUAGCCAGGUGUGGUGGCAGGCGCCUGUAGUCCCAGCUAUUCGGGAGGCUGAGGCAGGAGAAUCACUUGAACUUGGGAGGUGGAGGUUGCAGUGAGCCAAGAUCGUGCCACUGCACUCCAGCCUGGUGACAUAGCGAGACUCUGUCUCAAAAAAAAAAAAAAAAAAAAAACAAAAGAAAAAAAGAAAAUCAAAAGCAGUUGAAUAUUGGCAAUUUCAGAUCAUUCAAUGCAAUAUUAAAUAUUUUAUGAGGUGUUUGCCCAGCUCAUGUUGUUCACCUUUCUUUGAGAACUAUCCUAUUCACAAAGAUAUUUUUCUAACAACAUGGUUAUAGCACAUGACUCCAGCCCCUGGCCACACUUAAUUAGACCAGAGGUGAACACUUGAUCCAGAUUGGAUUAAUUGAGUAUCUCUCCUAAGAAUUUGGAAUAGGGAUCAAAAGACACUGGUCUCAGUCUCAGGGUGAGGCUGGAAACACAGAGAUAUAAACUUGGGAGCUAUGGGGUGGCCACGGGCAAGAGAGGUCCAGGAAACUUAUCUGCCUAGCAAGGACACAACAGAGGAGAGACUCAACAGCCCAUGAAUCCCAGAGGAGCUGGAGGGAGGCUGCCUGGCUCCAGAGGGCUCUUCACUUUCUAAUUCCAGGUCCUCAUGGCGUCCAAUGGGCACUUAAUGAUUUGCAUUCCUUCAGUUGCCUCUGAAGCCUAAAAAUGAACUUCCUCUUAAUGUGAAAGCUGAUUUCAUGUGCAUUUCUGAUACCUGCAACUGAAGGAGCUUUAAGAUAAUGGCUCAAAUAGCAAAAGAUCUCAAUCAACUGGAUUCAGAGCAUCUCCAUUACCUGCUGGACAUUUUGCCCUUUAGUGACAUAUUCAUUGCCAACCUUCACCCUUGGACAGCACAGGCCCUUCAGCAUUUCUGCAGAAUUCAGUCCCAUCAGGUAUCCGGCUUUGUCAGCCACUGAAGGAAGAGAAAAAAAUGGCAUCAUGCAAAAACAGUAGCUGCUAAAGUGUCCAGUCAGCCCCUGGCUUCUCCCAGAAGUGUUUUCUGUAAUUUUCUUAAAUGUUUUCAUGUUGUCAUAUCUGUACCAGGUCUGGACUUGUUCACUGAAGCUUUAAUCCCAUAUCCAGGGGCCCAUGGUUCUCAGGAACUUCCAAUUUGCCUCCUAGAUGCAGUUUUAACAAUAAGAUACUCCGUGGCCAAUUUUGACCUACUGAUAUUUCGAUUUCAUAAAAGAAUGUUGAUUACAGGCCAGGCACGGUGGUUCAUGCCUGUAAUCCCAGCGUUUUGGGAGGCUAAGGCGGGUGGAUCACCUGAGGUCAGGAGUUCGAGAUCAGCCUGGCCAAUAUGGCCCUGUCUCUACUAAAAAUACAAAAAUUAGCCAAGCAUUGUGGCAAGCGCCUGUAGUCCCAGCUACUUGGGAGGCUGAGGAAGGAGAAUCACUUGAACCUAGGAGGCAGAGGUUGCAGUGAGCCAAGAUCGUGCCAUUGAACUCCAGCCUGGGUGACAAGAGCAAGACUCCGACUCAAAAAAAAAAUUAAUUAAUUACAUAGUUAUGUUGGAGUCUGACAAUACGUUAAAAUGUUAUAUGAGUAAAGGAGCCACCACUUGGACAGUUGACAAUAUACAUGAGGCACCUUCCUAAUUUAAGCAAAGUACCAUGCUCAUAGUUGAAAGAGAAGUACAAAACUUGACCCUCCCUUCAAAUGUUUGGAGAUGGUCAAAAGCACUUGACUUUUGGCUGUUUCCUACAGUUCAUGGGUUAUAUAUUUUCAUAUAUUUCAGCAGACGUUCAUUGACUUUGAGAAGGACCUGGGGGCCUGCAUUGAGCUCAUCAAAAAGGCAGAGAAAUGCUGCUCCCCAGGGACUACUUCUUUUUUUUUUUUUUUUUUUUUUUGGAGACAGAGUUUCUCAAUGUUGCCCAGGCUGGAGUGCAGUGGCGCGAUCUCAGCUCACUGCAAGCUCCGCCUCCUGGGUUCACGCCAUUCUCCUGCCUCACCUCCCGAGUAGCUGGGAUUACAGGCACCCACCACCAGGCCCGGCUAAUUUUUUUUUAUUUUAGUAGAGAUGGGGUUUCACCAUGUUGGCCAGGAUGGUCUUGAUCUCCUGACCUUGUGAUCUGCCCACCUCCCAAAGUGCUGGGAUUACAGGUGUGAGCCACCUUGCCCAGCCCCCAGGGAUAACUUCUUGGUUGGGACCCUUGCUUCAUUGCUGGGUGGGGAGAUGAGUUAAUAAAAAUCUAGGGCAGUCUAUGUUAAGUACUUAAUCAGAGGCCAGAUGCGUGCUUUACUCUCUCCUCGAAUUAUCUCCUUUUCUUGCUUUGCCCAUUCAGGUAGAUGGUACCAUUAUUCUUCUUCUUGUCAUUUAAACUUGAAAGGGGUGAUACAUCCUUCUCUCUCUUGCCCCUGACAUUCCUUUGUUCAGACAGGCACCAAGUCCUGCUUAUUUCACUCUCAAAAUGCCUGGCCUCUCCACUGCUUCCAGCAGUUAUAGUGGCCAAGAGCCUGGGCUCUAGAGUCGGACUGCUCUAGGUUUAGGUUUAGGUUUAGGUUUUGGUUUUGCUUCUUUGUGCCUCAGUUUUGUCUGUAAAAUGGGAGACAGUGACAAUACUCAUGUUAUACGGUUGUCGUGAAGCAUGCCUGGUGACUAGUGAGCACCCAGCAAAUAUUAGCUUGGGUUGGUAUCGUCAUUGAUAUCAUUGGAGCACUGGCCUUGAUUAUAGUCCUCCACUUUCUGCUCCUAAGCACUGCACACACACAGCUGCUAGGGCUGGAAGAGGGCCUGGGACCCUACUGAGGUAUAUCAAUACGUGUAUCAAUGCAGUCCACUGUUGCUGAGGAGCCUGAUACUCUUUUUUUUUUCUUCUCAAGUUUUCCCACUUUUGGUGAGCCUGGCUGCUGACAGAUUAAUUUCAGGUUGUCUGCAUGUACUUCCCCUGCUACUUGGACAGCGGCUUCCGUGGCCUGCCAUAUAUUCUAAACCAUUCAUCCUGACACUCAAGAUCUUCCCAAACUGAUGCAAAAAUUGUUACUUUAAAAUUCUCAUUUCUUACAAAUCCACUGCUUAUAUCCUGUUCUGUAGCCAAAGUGGACCACUCACUGUGCCUCCAUCCCCAUCACAGUUCAUCCUCUGCCCCUUUGCACAUGACCCUUCCUUCCUUCUCCCUUCCCUUCCCUUCCCUUCCUUCUCCCUUCCUUCUCCCUUCCCUUCCCUUCCCUUCCUUUCCCUUCCCUUCCCUUCUCCCCCUCUCUCUCUCUUUCUCUUUCUUUCUUUCUCUUUAUUUCAUGGAGUUUCACGAUUUUCACCCAGGCUGAAGUGCAGUGGUACAAUCUUGGCUCACUGCAACCUCCACCUCCCGGGAUCAAGUGAUUCUCCUGCCUCAGUCUCCCGAGUAGCUGGGAAUACAGGCAGGCACCAUUAUGCCCAGCUAAUUUGUAUUUUUAGUAGAGAAGGGGUUUUACCAUGUUGGCCAGACUGGUCUUGACCUAUAACCUCAGAUGAUCCACCCACCUCGGCCUCCCAAAGUGCUGGGAUUACAGGCGUGAGCUGCUGUGCCCAGCCUGCUCAUGACAUUUCUUCUGCUUGAACUGAUCUCUCCCCCAAUUUUUCAGAAUCCUAUUCAUCCCUCAAAGUCCAAGUCAGUGCCCCUUCUAUCAGGAAGCCUUCCCUGAUUGCCCCAGUCAGAAGUGUUUCCUGUGUGAAGACUUGGAGUCCCCUCCACUGUGAUGGGCAGGAUUCUAGGAUGGCACCCAAGGUGUGCCCCCUGGUGUACAUGCCUUGUAUAACCUCCUUUACUUGAGUGCAGUGGAACCUGUACAACUCCCAUGAUGCGGUGACCAAUCAGUUGACUUUGAGUUAACAAAAAGGGAGAAUUAUCCCAGGCAGGCCUAGGAUAGAAGGUUGGUAAGCAUUUAUGGGACACUGAUAAGGUUAUGUAGAUUUUCCCACCCUUUAAUUUAUGGCUGCACUUCCUUUUUAUUACUUGAGAGUUUAAAGCGCACUGCUUCACAUACUGUGGGGCUGUAAUCAAAAGGCAGAAUUAUCAAGAACGAUCCAUGUUGCCAGGCUUUAAUUCAAGGAACUUGUAAGAAGCAUCGUGAGAGCUAAGAAGUCUAAUGAGCAGGACGUAUGGUGGGGAGUCAGUCACUGCUCAGCCCUUCCUGCUGCCCUGUGCUCUAGUUCCAGGCCUCUUAGGGAUGGGGCAGAGGGUGGCAGUAGGAUCAGCUAGGUGAGAGUUAUGGGGAGGAAGAACCGUUCACCAUUCUUGGUUCAGGGUCAAGUUCAACAGACGCUGGGGUGGAGGCGAUGGGAGGAACAAAACUUGGCUCCCACUUUACCAAAGGCCUCAUUUUAGGCCUGAGUAAUUAAGACUGCAUUCUGGUGGAGAGAAGAGAAGUUCACCUAACAAUAUUGUCUCAAAAAAGUCCACCUUAAAAAAAACAGGCACAUUUAGAUGGUGAAAGAUAGUGGAGUGCGUGGUGAUUAUUCAUUUACAAGAAUGAUGCUUUUUGUUUUUCAAGAAUUCACUACUCUGGGAGUCCUUGACUGAGUGAGCAGACUUCCUAGUGCAUGCUACAAUGAGCUUCAGGAAACCCAGAUUUGAUUUAUGCAGUUUUGGAAGAACAGCUCUUGAAAUGAAUGCAGUUUAUCUCACACGGCCUCGCCCGCACAUGAACAUAGAUGGACCCAAUCGCAUCCCUUUCCCAGAUGCAGUUACCUUCGGUGCCGUCUGGCUCCGCCUGCUCCUCACGCUGCUUCUGCUUGAACUUCAUGUUCCCAUAAUGCAUCACGGCUCCCGUCAGUUUGUAGAUCCCGACUUUCUCCUCUGAGCUGAAGCCCAGGAUGUCAAUGGCAUUCUGGAAAGAAAAAAAGGACAACUGUCAUAGCAGGAAUCAGGGAUCCAUAUGCAGCCUUUUCUUGGCAAAGACCUUACCUCUUUUUUGUAUAGCAUAUGAGACAGCAUUUGCCCAAAUAAGUGGAUGACAGGUGGGGAUGUGGUAAAUUAGAAACCAUUUGUUUCACGUGUUUGUGUGGGUGGGUGAAGACUAUGGGAAAAAGAUGUGAAUUGUCUGUUUCCUUCCAUCAAAUAAGAACUGAUUACAGUCGGGCGCGGUGGCUCACGCCUGUAAUCCCAGCACUUUGAGAGGCCAGGGCAGGCAGAUUACGAGGUCAGGAGUUUGAGACCAUCCUGGCCAACAUGGCGACGCUCCAUCUCUACUAAAAAUACAAAAAAUUAGCCAGGCAUGGUGGCUGGCACCUGUAGUCCCAGCUACUCAGGAUGCUGAGGCAGGAGAAUCACUUGAACCUGGGAGGCGGAGGUUGGAGUGAGCCAAGAUUGUACCAUUGCACUCCAGCCUGGGAGACAGAGUGAGACUCCAUCUCAAAAAAAAAAAAAAAGAGAACUGAUUAUGAUCUUUUCUCACUGUACAUAGAUUUGGGGGAGCAGUUUUCUGGAUGAGGCGAUUGGGAACCAUUGUAUGAUACUGAGAGCUGGGAAUGUCAUGGAGAAUGACUGGGAAAUAAUGUUUAAUGGCUUAAGAGUUUGGCAUUGUAAUCCAGGAGUUCCAGCAUUGUUCAGACUCAAGACAAUAUGCAUUAUGGAAUAUUAGAUCUGGAAGGGAAGAUCAUCAAAGAUGGCAUCAUCAUUUCCCAAAUGAGAAAGGGGCAAGCUUUUGCAGAGCUCUUUCUAUGUGCUAGACAUUGGGUAGGCAUCAUCUGUAUGUUAUUAAAUCCCCAUGAAGCCCCUUUAGCUGUGCAGGUUUUUCCAGAUUUCUGGAUGAAGAAUUGAGGGUCUAGUUGGUAAGUAGCCUGUCAUACAGGGAGGGUGUGAUAAGACUGGGACUGGAGUUAGGUCUUGGUCCCUUCAAAACCUAGGGUCAUUGCUGGUUUGGUUUUAUAAUCAUGUUGCCUGUCUUCCACCACAAAGGUUUCAACAAAAAGAAAUCCUUCUCUGGGGUACACAUAUUGAUUAUGCAGUAGGGUUUGCAGCCUGAGCCUGUAGAGUGUCCAUUGGUAGGAUUGAAACAUGUUUGGACGUGUUUGGUGAGCACGUAGGAUAGACCCAAUAGGCCAACACCAGCAGGAUGAUAUUGGAGAGUCAAGCAUUCUUGGAGUGGCACCCCCUUUAGUGGAGAAUGAGCCUAUGCCAGGAGCUGGGAUAUAUGGGGAGGAGAGAUUCCGAGGCCAUGAUGGCCAUCCCUUGAAUCCAUAUCCCAUUUCAGGGUUGCAUAUCUCUGUCCUAGGGAAGGGUCGUUGUAGGUUAAAAGAGAAAGAACUCUUUCAAAAACACUAAAAGGAGCAGGUGAAAGCGUCACUGCCUGGGGACCCUUUUGGAGAAUGUCAUCUCCAAAGGGGUGCAGGUGGAACCUGGGUAUAUGAUGGGAUGUCACUCCCAUUAUGAAGUUACCAAUCAGUUGACUUUGAGUUCAUAAAAAGGGAGACUAUACCAGGCAGGCUAUAAAAGCUCCGUGAGGCCAGGCGCGGUAGCUCACAUCUGUAAUCCCAGCACUUUGGAAGGCCGAGGUGGGUGGAUCACAAGGCUAGGAGUUCAAGACCAGCCUGGCCAACAUGGGGAAACCCCUUCUCUACUAAAAAUACAAAAAUUAGCCGAGCGUGGUGACAGGUGCCUGUCAUCCCAGCUACUUGGGAGGCUGAGGCAGAGAAUUGCUUGAACCUGGGAGGCAGAAGUUGCAGUGAGCCGAGAUCGCACCACUGCACUCCAGCCUGGGGACAGAGCGAGACUCCAUCUCAAAAAAAACAAAAAACAAAAAACCAAAAAAAGGCUCCGUGAGAGGAAGGAGCAACAGCCGCAUCUGGCAGAAGGCAUCUUGGUGAGGACAUGACUUAGGUAAGGUGACUUUUAGAAUUCCUUAGGUGGGCCUUUCUCAGUGGAUGGGGGCCUUGUAGCAGUCAUUAGCCUGGCCCUUUCUGUGCUUACAAGUUAGUGAAGACUGGGGAAACCUCAUUAAAAAUAUAUAACAACUUAAAUUAAAUUUGGUCUAAAACUGCCUCCAUACAUAGCAAACUAUAACCUAAAUUAGUAUGUAAACAAACUGCAACCUAAGAGUAUAUUCUUGUAACAAAUAGCUGAGUCUCAGCCAGUCACAGCAGCUGAGCUUCAGCCAAUCACAGCAGCUGAGCUUCAGCCAAUCACAGCAGCUGAGUCUCAGCCAAUCACAGCAGCUGAGCUUCAGCCAAUCACAGGCUGCCAAACUGAUGGGCCAUUGUGCAUAUAACACAAAUGCUUCAUCACACCACCUGCAGAUAAGGCAAAGGCAGACCUGUACCUAAUCAAGCUGUUUCUGUAUGUCACUUCCUUUUUCUGCCUAUAAAUACUGCCUGCCAUGUUGCUGGGUGGAGCUCUCUGAGCCUCUCCAGGUGCUGAGUGUGGUCCAACUCAUGAAUCAUUCUUUGCACAAAUAAACUCUGCUAAAUUUAAUUUGUCUCAAAUUUUUCUUUUAACACUAUUAGACCUAAGAUAACAAGUUUAUUUGAUCAUGAAAAUUUUUCUAUUUGUGUUAAAACAAUUAUUAUCAGCUGGAAAUGUCACCAAAUGAAGGCUAAGAAGCUGGUCAUGGGGCAGUGUCUCUAGGAUGAUGGACAAGACCCCUUUUCGCAAGCUCUUGAAGCUUUUGUAUGGGUGGAGCCAACAAGGGUGGAGAUGAAUUGCUCACAGACGGUAUACUUUAAUUAAAAAUGUAAGCUCUGUAGUUAGGCAGACCUGUGUUUAAAUACUCUGUCAUUGGGCCUGGUGCAGUGGCUCAUGCUUGUAAUCCCAGCACUUUGGGAGGCUGAGCUGGGUGGAUCACCAGAGAUCAGGAGUUUGAGACCAGCCUGGCCAACAUGGCGAAACCCCAAUUCUACUAAAAAUACACACACACAAAAUUAGCCAGGCAUGGUGGUGCAUGCCUUGUAGUUCCAGCUACUUGGGAGGCUGAGGCAAGAGAAUCUCUUGAACCCAGGAGGCGGAGGUUGCCGUGAGCUGAGAUCAUGCCAUUGCACUCCAGCCUGGGCGACAGAGCGAGACUCUGUCUGAAAAAAGAAAGAAAAGAAAAGAAGAGAAGAAAGAAGGAGAGAGAGAGGAAGGAAGGAAAGAAGGAAGGAAGGAAGGAAGGAAGGAAGGAAGGAAGGGAAAGACUCUGUCAUUGACGAAUUGUGUCUUCCAGAAAAUUAUAUAUAUUUUAAGAAUCAGCUUCCACAUUUGUAAAAUGGAGACAAUAAUGACAUAAUUUUGAGACUAUAAUGAGACAAUGCAGGUAAAGCCACUUAUCUCAGUGCCUGGCACAUGUAAGUGCUCAAUAUAUUUGGUUAUUAUUGUUAUUAAGAUUAUUAAUCCUACAGGUACUUCCCCAAAAUAAACACCACAGGCCUGACAGGUGUACUGAGGAGCUGAGUGUCUAAGGUGAGCCUAAAGUGAAAGGCAGAAAGAAAAAUGGAGAGGCUAUUACAGAGUGGGCUUGGUUUUCUGCUUUAUACAUUUUUAUAUUUUCUAAAUUUUCUUGAAGAACCAUGUAGAUGGUUUUGCAACAUGAAAACUUUCAACGAAUGUUAGGUUAAAGAUCUUAUAAAUGCAAAAAUGCAUUCCAGUUAAAAUGUUAGAGAACAGAACUGAAGGCCUGCUUUGGUGAACCUUCUGGAUUUCCAUUUUGGAAUGCUGUGAGGUGGAGCUGAGUAGGGAGGGGCCAAUCUGUGCUAAUUCUCUGAGCUCUUGAUCUCUGAGAUCUUGAGUCUAAUCACUUAGUAUCCCUGGAUUUCAGCUUUCCCAUUAGCUCACUAACGUGUCUCUCAGUUCAUAAACUCAAUAAUUCUGUGCAUAAACAGACAAAUAAAUGGCAUGCUUACAUCUGUCGCCAGCAGUUCUUCACUGUCAUCGAUACUGGCUACCGUGACCUCUCCUUGGCUCACGAAGGGGAAGUCGAAGGGGUUGGUGGAGAUCAGAAGCAGGUCUGUGAAACACAGAUAUCCCUUUAAUGGCUUAUGCAUAACUUACUCUGGGUUGUUUUUUUUUUCCCAACGUCACCGAUUUGGAACAUAAGAAAGGUAUUCCAAGAGCUUACCAAUUAGUUCUGGCUUCUUGUUUGACAUAAUUUGGUAGAAAAUAUGAUAGCUUCUCUCACUGGAUAAUUGAAACGUCACUCUGGAUUUUUCUAACAGAUCUAAGGUAACAAAAAUAACGUGAUUUCAGGCUCCCAAGAGAUGCUUUUGUGGCCAAAACACCAACGGAUUUAUAGAGUGUUUGGACUCACAAGUUUCGAUGUCUGCCGAUGCCAGCUUUCCUGUGGCUCCAAAAUGAAUCCGAAUGAACUUCCCCUGUCCAAUAACAGGUGGACAAAUGUUACGGUUAUUUGAUUUAUAUGGUUUUGUGGCUGGCCUUAGAUAGGUGCUGCCACAGAUAAAUUAUAAAUGCAAAAAUGCUAGAGAACAGAACUGAAGGCCUGCUUUGGUGAACCUUCUGGAUUUGCAUUUUGGAAUGCUGUGAGGAGGAGCUGAGUAGGGAGGGGCCAAUCUGUGCUGAUUCUCUGAGCCCUUGAUGUCUGAGAUCUUGAGUCUAAUCACUUAGUAUCCCUGGAUUUCAGUUUUCCCAUUAGCUCACUAACAUGUCUCUCAGUUCAUAAACUCAAUAAUUCUGUCCGUAAACAAACAAAUAAAUGGCAUGCUUACAUCUGUCGCCAACAAUUCUUCACUGUCAUUGAUAUUGGCCACCAUGACCUCUCCUUGGCUCAGAAGGAAGGGAUGCCAGAACAUGGGCACCUCUCCACCGGGUGCCCAGUGCUCCCAAGCUGGGUCAGCAAGGACUCAGGUAGCUCUACCCAAGCACCUGUCCCUGUUCCCACAACUCAGGGGAUGCCCACAGGCUCCUUCUCCAGCUCUCUUCUUGGGACUACUCCAUUCUUGACUGCCUGCCUGGUUUUCAUCCUGUUCUCUUAUACCUGGAUUCUUAAAUCUUCAUAACACCUUUUAAUUGUAACUGGUUGGAUUGUUCUGUCUGACUUUUUUUUUUUUUUUUUUUUUUUUUUUUUUUUUUUUUUUGCUUGUAUCUUAAUAGAUGCUACUUCUGAGAUUUCUUGCCUGAGUUUCACAUAUGGCUGACUACAGACAAAUCUGGCUCAGAGGCCCGGGCUCAGGCUCAGGCCUGGCUCCCUGGCUGCCAAAAGAACAACUCAGGGUCUAGGUGGCCCACUUUCUGGGGAGUGGGAGGUAAAAUUUCAUAUGCGUGUUUGUGUGUAUGCACCUGCUUCAUACAUUAUCUGCUUAAUUGGUCCUCAACGACACUGUGCGCAAAUUUGAGGACAAAAAAUGUUUUCUUGCUUUUUCACCCACAGUGUCUGAAAUGUGGAUGGUACUUAGUACUAGCCUCAAUAUUUUCUGAAUGAACCCCAGGAAAAGUUAGUGAAGGAUCAGUAAAGGCACAUGUGCACUGUAAGUGCUGUGUCUUCAGUAUAUUUAGCGGCUUAACAGAAGACAAUGGAAGUCAUCCCUAGCCUGCAAAUAUUUGGAGGGUGGAAAGAGGACAAAAUAAUUAGAAUGAUUGUGACUUCUGGGUCAGGGCUAAGAGUAGAGGCCCAUGAACUAAGUAAAUGGGAAUGAGAAGAGGGAGUGCCUGAAGGUAUUGUCUUUCACUUUAAGCUGGUGUCAGGCCAGUGCAAUAACUAACUUGGUCCAGGCAUGGGUAACAUACCUCUGCCAUGUAACAUGUGCCCAGAUCUUCCACAAGGAAGAGGAGUUUAUUUGGGCACUGGGGAGGAUACAGGUGCAAACUGGCAGUGCACAGGGUACAAAGAACAUAUCCAAGGAAACAAAAGUCAAGGCUCAGAGCCAUGGUCCUUGAUGGAUUACCUACUUCCUCAUUGAUAACCAUUUUAUCUUUCAGGCGACGAAAUACAAGUUUGAGACUAUCCAACUAUUAAGAUGUGUGAAGUUUUAAUGUACUUUUGCAACCAUAGGCACAAAUGAUGGCUUUGCCUCUGAGUACUUGCUCCACUGGCCAGUGAAAUGAAAUAGAGGGCUGGAUGUGUGUUUAUUUCCGAUGGGAAGUAAAUGUCUUUUUGAUUAAGCCAAACCUAAGUAAAAAGUUGAAGGAUGGCAUAUAUCCUUCAAUAUCUUCAGUAUGAAUCUAUUCCAAUAUUUUUUUCUUUUUUUUGAGACAGAGUUGCCCUCUGUUGCCCAGGCUGGAGUGCAGUGUUGCAACUUCGGCUCCCUGCAACCUCCACCUCCCGGGUUCAAGCGAUUCUCCUGCCUCAGCCUCCCAAGUAGCUGGGAUUACAGGCAUGUGCCACCAUGCCCAGCUAAUUUUUUGUAUUUUUAGUAGAGAUGGGGUUUCGUCAUGCUGGUCAGGCUCGUCUCAAACUCCUGGUCUCAAGUGAUCCGCCCCCCUCAGCCUCCCAAAGUGCUGGGAUUACAGGCGUGAGCCACCGCGCCCAGACUAUUUCAAAUUUUUGAGCUCUUCUGCCUUCACUAGGUUUUCCCUGCUCCCAGUCCCUACUGAGUUGGAAGAGGUCAAAUCUGCUAACUUAAUUCACACUAAGGUUUCCGUGGCUAGACCAAUAGAUAUGGCUUAAUGGACGUUAACAUUUUAAAAUGUUUCCACACAGAGAGACCCAUUUUAGCAUAAAGUUGAUCUCUAAUUGUGGGAUUUGAAUCAUGUGAGUGACUUCAGGAUGCUGUGAGGUGACAUUGCCUAGUUAGGGUAGGACGGCAAAUCCUCCCUCUGCCAGGACCAAGCCAACACCUUCCUCAAAGUGUAUCACAAUAUUCCAGGUGGGUAGAUUGAUCUCAAUCACUUGGGGGUAGAAAAAGGCCCCCAUAUAUUCCAGUUUAUGGGGCAGUUUUUCAUAUCCAGCAUUUCAGGAGAGGGUAUGCUUUUGGGAGGAUACUUGAAAAUUGGGCCGGAUCUUACAAAUCUUGAGGAGUUGUCAUUCCUCACAGUCUUGGCAUUUCCAAAGGCCUCCAGCAGUGGGUUGGCCUGGAUGAUCUGAUCCUCUAGGGUUCCCUAAUAAUAAACAAGAAGAGGAAAAAGAGGACUUUGGAUGGUUUUCUAAAGUAGCCCCUUGAUGACUAAAACGGUGGGUACUCUGGGCAGGUUCAGGUAGAGAUGUCGACCAGCUCCACCUGGUGGUCAGUGCAGCACCCACGCCCCCACCCCCACCAGACCUGAGGCGUCUUCAAGGUACCAUCUUAGACAGGUUCUUAUUAGCAUAGCAUUGAAGUGACUUCUGGUCAUGCCAGGUUCUAGGCAGGAAUAUUACUCCCUCCAUCAGAACAUCCAGACUGCCUUUCUGAUAACAUUUCAUUAUAAAUCAUGGAUUUUUAUAACAUGCACCUCUGUUAUUGCAUGUAAUAUGACCCACCUAAUAUAGAUAUUUGUCUUCAGAAGGAGAAAUAGAAUGUGAGCAAAGCAAGCGACCCAGGGGAUGAUACAAUAACAACAGUGGUUCUCAAAAAGGUUUUUUAUGUAGCAAAAACUUAUGAGAAUGAUUAUUCAGAAAUCCACUACAGAAAGCAGAGUUUUCACCUUCACCUCCAUGACUGCUUUAUCCUUCUGGGUCCAGAGCAAUUUAGAAACUACUGUCAAACCUAGUGGUUCUCAAAGUGUGGUCCCUGGACCAGCAGCAUGAACACUACCUGGGAAUAUAUGAGAAAUGCCAGGUAUGGUAGUUCACACUCGUAAUUAGCACUUUGGAAGGCUGAGGCAGGAGGAUUACUUGAGGCCAACGGUCUGAUACCAGCCUAGGAAAGAUAGUGAGACUCCAUCUCUACAAAAAAUUAAAAAAAAACUAGCCAGGCAUGGUGGUUCCUGUAGUCUUAGCUACUUGGAAGGCUGAAGGAUGAUCGCUUGAGCCCAGGAGUUUGAAGUCACAGUGAGCUAUGAUGGUGUGCCACUGUACUCCAGCCUGGGUGACAGAGUGAGACCCUGUCUCUCCAAAAUAAAAAGGAAAAAAAGAUGCAAACUAUGAGGUCCCACCCUAGAUCUACACAAUCAGGAAUUCUGGGCCUGGGUUCUGCCGCCCUUUGUUAAGAAUCUCUCCUGUUGAUUCUGAUGUGUACUCCAGUUUGAAAACCACUGGUGUAAACAUUCCUUCUCCAGAGGAGGAUGUGGAGUUGGUCAAGGUCCCUCAACUGUAGGUGAUGGAGCUGGUGCUAGAACUCAAGUCCAUUCUGGUGGAACCACUUCCUGCUUUGCUCCAUGUGAUACUGUGAUGUAAUAGGAAUGGUAUAUUUUGGUCUUUUUCCAGUUUCCUGGUACGCAGCUCCUAAAACCCUUGGAAUAUCUGAAGUGAUAAAUGUCUUUUUGUGUGCUAAUGAGAUGAUUGGUGGCUUCGGGGUCCUGGACAGCUCAGGAUGGGGGCUGGCUGCCAGGGAACCAACCGCGUGAUUAGAGAGUUGGAACUUUCAGCCCUAUUCCUGACCCCUGGGAAGGAAAGAAGGGCUGGAGGUUGAGUCAAUCAUCAAUGGCCAGUGAUUUAAUUAAUCAUGCUCAUGUAAUGCAACCUCUAUAAAAACCCUACACAGAAGGCUUCAGAGAGGUUCCAGGUUGAUGAACACCUAGAGGUACUGGGAGGAUGUCACCUGCAGAGACCCUGCCCCUCCCCCAUACCUUGCCCUAGACAUCUUUUCCACUUGGCUUUUCCUCUGCAUCCUUUGUAACAGCCUUUAUAACAAACUGGCAAAUGUAAGCAAAGUGUUUCUCUGAGUUCUGUGAAGCACUCUAGGUAAUUACCAAACCUGAGACGGGGGUCGUGAGCUCCUCCCAAUUAAUAGCUGCUUGCUUAGAAGUUCAGGAGGCCCGGACUGGUCCCUGGUAUCCAAAGUGGGGUCAGUUUUGCAGGACUGAGCCCUUAACUUGUGUGAUUUGAUGCUUUCUCUAGGUAGUUAGUAUCAGAAUUGAAUUGAAUUGUAGGACACCCAGUUGGUGUCUGCAGAGAAUUAGAGAAUUGUUUGGCAUGGAAAAACCCCAUACAUUUGAUGGCAGACACGUUCUGUGUGAGGAUACAGAGAGGAAAGAAAGAAUUUUUCCUAUUUGCCGUUUCUACUGAGCGCAUACCCUGCAUACACUUGGUGCUCAUCCACGCUUUAAAGUAUACUUAUUCCAGUAAGCCUCCGGAUGCAGGUGGGGCUGCUCACCUGCAUUUUGCCUGGCUGUGUCUCCUUCUUCUUGUCCCCGGUAACUGCAAUUGUUGCAAAAUACUGGAUGACACGCUUGGUGUUCACAGUCUUCCCAGCCCCGGAUUCUCCGCUGCCAAUUUAAAAGUAAACGGGAUAAAGGAGAGUGGAAGGGAGGGCACUGGUUUCCAAGUCAUGAUGGUACAAAGAGGUGUUACUCACGUGAUGAGGAUAGACUGGUUGUCUCGAUCUAGAAAUGCAGAGGGAAGCAAAACAAAACAAAUAAACAACAAACAGAAUGUUAAAAUAAAGUAACAUUGGGGGUGGUUGGAGAACAUAGGCUCUAGUUAAUGUCUUUGCCAUUAACCACUGGUAUGAUUUGGGCAUGUCUAAUCUUCUUUGGGACAAUUUAGGCAGAUUUCUCAAAUGUGGGAUGUGCAACAUGACCAGCCUGGGAGGUGAAUGAUUCUCUACUCACUGUAGUGAAUCCCACAGUGUAGAAGUUACUCAUGUUUAUAGAUCUUUAACUCCCUGCUAGUCCUUUCCCAUCGCCCUUUUCCAUAAAGAAAGCAAGUGUCAGGUUCAGAGCUUGUGGGGCCACAGCUUUUCAUCAGCAUUUAUAGAUGCUGGUUGGUUUCAUUGCAUUUUUCUUUUACCUUUACCUUCUACUUGUGAAAAGUGAUACUGGUUUUUCAUUUACAAUAGAGCAUGGAUUGAACUGUGUCCUCCUAAAAUUCACAUAUUGAAUUUCUAACCCCUAGUACCUCAGAAUAUGACCUUAUUUGGAAAUAAGAUGUAAACAAGAUGCAGGGGUAAUUACUCAAGAUGAGGUCAUGCUGGAGUAGGGCAAGCCCCUGAUCUAAUAUGACUGGUAUCCUUAUAAACAGAAGAAAUUUGGAGACACACAAGCACAUGGGGAGAAUGCCAUAUGAAGAUUAAGGCAGGGAUCAGGGUGAUGCUUCUACAAAUAAAAAACAACAAAGAUUUCUGCUAGCAAACCAUAGAAGCUAGGAGAGAGAGACAUGGGCCAGAUUCUCUCUCAGCGUCCUCAGACUAACCAAUCCUGAUGACACCUUGACUUCGGACUUCAAUCCUCUAGAACUGUGGGAAAGUACAUUUCUAUUGUGUAAGCCCCCCAGUCUGUGAUACUGGAGCAGCCAUAGCAAACUAAUAGAAAUUGUGGUAUUAGUCUUCCCUUUAAAAUUAAUGUAACAUGAACUAAUUUCAAGAAAAAUAUUAAGUUUGCAGACAUGGCAAGGAUUGUGAUUGUGAGACAGAAAUGACAGAAGUUUGGACACCAUUGCAUUAGAUGAUUUUUAAGCAUCUACAGGUCUCAGAUUCAGAUGCUAGACUCUUUUUUUUUUUUUUUUGAGACGGAGUUUUGCUCUUUUUGCCCAGGCUGAAGUGCAGUGGCGAGAUCUCAGCUCACCGCAACCUCCUCCUCCCAGGUGCAAGCAAUUGUCCUGCCUCAGCCUCCUGAGUAGCUGGGAUUACAGGCACCCACUACCAUGACUGGCUAAUUUUUUUGUAUUUUUACUAGAGAGAGGGUUUCAUCAUGUUGGCCAGGCUGGCCCCGAACUCCUGACCUCAGGUGAUCCACCUGCCUCGGCCUCCCAAAGUGCUGGGAUUACAGGUGUGAGCCACCGCACCCAGCCUUGCUUCUACUUCUAGCAUCUGUUCCAAGUCAAGUCAGGUGAAGGUUGAACAGACAGACUUGAUAUUAGGCAUCAUGGCAUGACAGUGUUACCAUGUCCUUACUCCCCAGGUCAUUCUGGAAAUUAAAGGAGGUGAAGGGGAGCCUGAGUUUGGGGAAGAACGCAGGAACACUGCUUUACCCAUUUCUCCAACGUAGCAUUCCCUGAGUGGCUACUGAUAUGGUUUCUCUUCAAAGUACACCUGGAUUGGGGGUUCCCUGGGGACAAAGGUAGGGCAUCUCCUUGUGUUCCACAUUCUCCCAAAUAAGCAAGAGCUCAGUGUAGCUUCAGCCAUAAUCACAGGCCUUGUCAUGCACUGUGACUGGCAAUGGAAGAUGUUGUACCCUUUGCUUUUCAUCCCCAAAUCAUCUGACUCUCCGAAGAUCCUUUGAUUAUUGCACCAUUCAGAUGGCCAACGCCCAUCAAAAGCUUGAAAAAUUAACUAAGGAUGGCUUCAAAAAAUAUGAAUCAAAGAAAUUACUCACCAGUCAGCAUGAACUGAUAGGCAUUGUCAGAGAUGGAGAAGAUGUGGGGCGGGGCCUCCUGGCGCUUUUUGCCUCUGUAGGCAGCCACCACCUCGGGCUUGUACACCGGCAGCCACUUGUAGGGGUUGACGGUGACACAGAAGAGGCCUGAGUAGGUCUGGGAAGAUCAGAACAUUUAUCAUUUGGAUCUCGUUUUUACUCAGAGAGAGACAUGAAAUAAAAAGGUGUUUACAGACACUCACGUAGAUCAUCCAGGCUGCAUAGCGCUCUUUGAGGUUGUACAGAACAGCAGGUUCAUGCAGGUGAGUCAUCAUGGCCAUGUCCUCGAUCUUGUCAAAUUUGGGAGGGUUCAUGGGGAAGACCUGGUCAUUGUUCAGAGUGAGCAUCUGGGUAUUGAGAGGAAAAGCAGGUAAUAAAUUGGUGAGCCAAGUGCCCACAUUGCACUUUACUGGUGUGGUGGAAGUAGUGAGAUAUUGUGGAGGAAUUACCGCAUUGUGAUGGAUAAUUUCAUGGAUCAUUUCCAUGCCCCAACAUGAUCCAUAAAUAACAGUUCUUGAAGAAUCUGAUUCUGGUCAAACUAUGUAACCAAUUCUGGUCUGAUGCCCCUCAGUCAUCCUGCUGUCGUGUGUACCAGGAGUGGGUUACAGGUGUGCAGAGCUUUGGAGCCCUUUGCCUCUGUUUACCCUAUUUGUUGUGAGUGCUGUGAUGAGACAAAGGUUGGAAGGUUACAAAGAACUGCUCCAAAGUGUUCUGUGUUUUUCCACCUCAAAAUCUCUGCUCAUGAGGUUUCCUUCAGCUGGAAUGUCUUCAUGAAAAUUUUGUUUAGAAACCUUCAAAGCUCAGCUCUAGCACCAACUCUUCCACGACCCAUCUCCUCUCUCCCCUAUUGCUUCAAGGCUCCCAUAAUUAUUUGUACCUCUGCUCUAAUAGUUCAGACAUUUGGGGGUGCAUCAUGGUUCUUUGCUGAAUAUUUUCAGAAUAUUAUUUAAUUUUUUUUCCCUCUGUUUUUUUCCCACCUCUCUCCCCCAUUCAAGCUGGCUCUGCACUCCAUGGCUCAGGAGAGACAGAAAAUAGGGCAAGAACAGCUACUAGGGAGGCUGAGGCAGGAGAAUGGCGUGAAUCCGGGAGGCGGAGCUUGCAGUGAGCCGAGAUCACGCCACUGCACUCCAGCCUGGGCGACACAGUGAGACUCCGUCUCAAAAAAAAAAAAAAAAAAAAAUAGGGCAAGAAAAGAAAAAGAGCUUGUAAUACUUCCUGGAUUUUGUUUUCCAAAAACCUAAGUCCUUAGGAAAACUUUGAGGGUUUCACAGAAAAGAUAAAAGGAAGGAGUUUUGCUGGUAUAGACCAAAUUUUUUGAGGAAGGAAAGGCCUUCCACUCCACCACCCAAGACUAGAAAAAGAGAAACAGACACCCAAGGUAGCCAAAGGGGAGGUAGAAAAGUCUAUGUAUCCUGAAUCUUUAAGGACUGGGACUUGUUUCUGAAUAAAUCCUCCAGGGAGGCUGUGAGUCCCCCGUGUAGUGCUGUGUAAGGUUCUGAAAAUGUGACAUAUUCCUGAGGCGGUGGUGAGGGCACCCCAAGAGUGACUGAACACAUUUUUCCCCAGCCCACUGAAAAAGGACUGGAAUUAGAGGUUAAGUUUAAUAACAAAAAAUAAAAGCAAGGUCUCUCUCAUAUGCCUGAGUUUGUGAAAUGAGAUUCAUACCUGCCAUAUACAUCUUUGGGAAACUUUGGGAAAGCAGGUGCAGAGGUAUGCUUAUAUUUGCAAAGCGAUCAAUGCUAUGACCUAGACCUGGUAGAUGUCCGGUAAGUACUGAAUGGUACAUGAUAAUUCUCCACAUUAAGUGAGUCAAUGGCUCCUGAGCUUCCUCUGUAGCAGCCACUCUGCAGCCCAGAGAGGUAUAAUUGGUCGGCCCAUCCAGUAUCAGCCUCUUCCUUAAAUAGACCAACCUUUUCUGCCCUCACCUGCUGCUUUCCUCUAAAGCAAACACCACAAAACCCCUCAAAGCCCAAGUCCUUGGAGAAGGAAAGAGGCAAGAGUGAAGGUGCAUGUAAUAGCAGCUUUCAUCUGCUACUUCACCGCAGAACAGAUAAACUAAGUUUUGUUCUGUCUUCAGAUUCCGAAGGACCAGCAUGCAAUUUCUAAUAUUCUACUCCAAAGAAAAAUGAGCAUGCCCAUAUUAUCAAAGACAUCUGUAAUCAACACUCACCCGGUCAUCGAGGGUCUUGACUAUGACUUUGUCAUUUUCCCUAGUCUGGAUCAUGCCUUUCACAUACAUUUCCUUAUUAUCCGCUACAAAGCAGGCUUUCUUGGAAUCGAAUGGACGAUUUUGAGCCUCGAUUCUCUCCUUCUCUGGUUUCCGGAGGUAGGGAGCUGCUUCUCCAAAAAUGGCCAUUUCUGCGUCAGAGCUCAUGACUGCAGAGGGCUGGGAAGACCAGAGGGACUGCUGAGUCUUGUGCUUGGGUGACUGCUGAAGCUGCAGGGCCCCUACCCUUAUUCUAUUAAAACGGGGCCAGAUUCAAAGGCUCCUAGAUUGAACAUAGGUCCUGAGGGAUCUAUGGCCAGGUCUAGGAGCUUAAAGUGUGCAAGUGGGAAUAAGCUAAAGGGGAUAUUUUAUUCUAACAAAAAAGUAUGAAGGUUUUUUUUUUUAUCCUCUGAGUGUCGAUUUUGGGAAUAUUUUAGUUCAGUCCCAUGUGUGCAUGUCUGAAUCAAUUAGAGCCAUGGUGAACUCAAUAAAAGAGGCUUCAGGAAGCACUUUCUUUCUUUCUUUCUUUUGAGACAGAGUUUUGCUCCUGUCACCCAGGCUGGAGUGCAAUGGCUCGAUCUCGGCUCUGCAACCUCCGCCUCCCAGGUUCAAGCGAUUCUCCUCCCUCCCCUCCUGAGUAGCUGGGAUCACAGGUGCCCACCACCACACCCAGCUAUUUUUUUUAUAUUUUUAGUAGAGAGAGGGUUUAACCAUGUUGGCCAGGCUGGUCUUGAACUCCUGACCUCAGGUAAUCUGCCCGCCUUGACCUCCCAAAGUGCUGGGAUUACAGGCGUGAGCCACCGCCUCCAUCCUAGGAAGCACUUUCUAAAUCGCUCAUCGUGUUUGAGCCUGUGAUCUCAGUGUCAGUUUAAAAUCUUAAGAAUAUUUGAAAAUCGUCACUGGAAUGCUGAUAAUUCUUAAUAGACAUUUUGGUUAGCCCCGUGAAAAGUGAAUGACUUGAACAUGAAGAUUUGUCACAUUUGUUUAAAUAACAAGAUGAUGGGAGGCAAAAUGGCCCAGGGCAAUGGUCCCAAACUUUAACAUGCCAGAAUCCCCUUGAGGGGUUGUUAAAGCACAGAUUACGGGCCCUAUCCCCAUGGUUUCUGAUUCAGUAGGCCUGAAGUGGGGCCCAAAAAUGGGCAUUUCUAGCAAGUUCCCAGGUGAUGCAGAUGCUGCUGAUCCAGGGACCACACUGAGGAUGGCUGGCAUAGUGCCUUCCUGUUCCCAGGGUGGUCCUUGAAAUGCAGCAGCUUCAUGCAGGACUUCAUUAAGAAAUGCAGAAUCUCAGACCCACCCAAGAUAAUGGGAUCAGCACCUGCUUUUUAACAAGAUCCCCAGGUAAUUUCUAUGCAUAGGAGAUGGGGAAGUACUGGGCCUCUAAACUCUAAACGCGGUCUCUAAACUUUGUGCGUGGCGGUGUCAGGGUGUGACAAAUAUUGUUUAGUUAGAUUAAUACCCACCUUAGAACUUGCUGCAUGGUGUGUGUGUGUGUGUGUGUGUGUGUGUGUGUGUGUGUGUGUGUGUAUGGGGCUGUGUGUGUGUAGGGGGUAUUGGUCUCUCUCAUCCCUUGUAUCACUUUCUCCUAAACUAUCUCCCUUUGCUGCCUUUCUUGCUCUUCUCUUUAUGUAUUUUUUCCUUCUUUUAUGUAAUGUAUUGUCCCUGCUUAGAAUGCAGAAAAUUCAUCUUAAAGUCCUAGCACUGAUCAAACCACUUAAGCUCUCUGGUCCACAGCCUCUUCCCACUUAUAAGGGAGAAGCCAGCCUCACUCCUGUCUAAGGUUCCCGUAAGUCCUGUGUGGACUGUUCCUCUUCUCAGAAUUUGCUUCUCUCAUUCCCCCUCGGCACCUCUUCCCUCUACUCCACUACCUAUUUUCCUCAAGUCUCUUUCCUCUUUCCUUCCCUUCUCUCCUCUUUUCCUUCCCACUUAAUUCUAUAACUGACAUAAAAUGGAGUCAAGUCAUACACACACACACGCACACCCACACAUAUCUCUCCAUAUCUCUCUUAAGAAAUAAAUCUGUUUUUUUUUUUUUUUUUGAGAUGGAGUCUUGCUCUGUCUCCCAGGCUGGAGUGUAAUGGCACAAUCUCGGUUCACUGCAACCUCCACCUCCCGGGUUCGAGCAAUUCUCCUGCCUCAGUCUCUUGAGUAGUUGGGAUUACAGGCGCCCACCACCACACCCGGCUAAUUUUUGUAUUCUUAGUAGAGAUGGGGUUUUGCCAUGUUAGUCAGGCUGGUCUUGAACUCCUGACCUCAGGUGAUCCGCCCACCUUGGCCUCCCAAAGUGCUGGGAUUACAGGUGUAAGCCUCCAUGCCCCGCCUGAAAUACGUCAUAUUUUUUGAAUAAGGUCUUUUAUGUCCUCUUUUUAUAGUGGGAAAGUUGAACAUGUUAUAGUUCUCUCCCCCAUCUUAGCCUUUAUGAAAUUGCUCUCUUUAUUGGUAACUGGCCAUUGUUGAAAUAUCCUUUCCUGUGAUUCUGUGGGGUUCUGUCUUACAGAAAGAAAAGCAUCCACUUCCCAUGGGGCCUUAUUCAGAUAAGUUGCAUUUUAGUUAUACUUUGUUCAGUGGCUCUGCUGAACCAUCUGUGGGUUCAUGGUUAGGUUUUCAUAGUAAGGGACUGGAAUUCAAAUGCAGCACCCACAAAUAAGACUCUUGGCCUGCAGCCAUCAUGCUGGUUUAGAGUCUCUCAGUUACCACCUGGAGGAUGAGAAAGAAUUCAUCCACAUGGCUUUCUUCUCUCAUUUCUUUGAAGAUAGUCCCUAAUGUAAUGGCUUAGGUGGAUUUCGCUACAGCAGCGGUUCUCAAACUUUGUGGUUUCAGGACGCCUUCGCACUCUUAAAACUAAAUGACUGAAAGCCCCAUAAGAUUUGGUUUAUGUAAGUCAUAUCUAUUGAUAUUUACCAUAUUGAAAAUUAAAAUUGAGAAAUUAAAAAAUAUUUAUUCAUUAACUAAAAAUUACUGUCAAAUUCAUUACAUUAACAUAAACAUUUUAUUUUAUUAUUUUAUUGAGAUGGAGUCUCAAUGUGUCAUCCAGGCUAGAGUAUAGUGGCGCAAUCUCAGCUCACUGCAACCUCCACCUCCCGGGUUCAAGUGAUUCUCCUGCCUCAGCCUCCUGAGUAGCUGGGAUUAUAGGUGCCCACCACCAUGCCCAGCUAAUUUUUGUAUUUUUAGUACAGACGGGUUUUCACCAUGUUGGCCAGGCUGGUCUUGAACUCCUGACCUCAAGUGAUCCUCCCGCCUCAGCUUCCCAAAGUGCUGGGAUUAAAGGCAUGAGCCACCGUGCCUGGCCAACAUAAAUAUUUUAAUAAAAAUUACCAUAUUUUCCAAAACAAAAAGACUAGUGAGAAGGGUAGUGUUUUCAUUUUUUGCAAAUCUCUUUAAUGUCUCCUUAAUGGAAGACUGUUGGAUUCUCAUAUCUGCUUCUGUAUUCAUGCCAUUGCUGUAUGUUUGGUGAAAGUAAAUAUAAAAUAUUUAGCUAUGUAAUUCAGAAAAGGAAAGAGUAUUUUAGUCACCUUUUCAAAUAAUUGUGAAUUUUCUUCUCAGAUACUCUACCAAAACUUGACAAGUGGUAGUUUCUUAAAGGCUAGUUGCAAUGCGGAAUCUGAAGCCAUAUCAAUAAACAUUUUGUACUCUGUUACAUUAUAAUCCACUAGUCUGUCUUGCAUUUUGAGUGGAUCUUCUUUUCCCAUAUGUGAAUUUCAUACAGUGGUUGUUUGGAAAAUACUGGUUCACUGAAUUAUAUAGUACUUCCAAAUGUGGACACAUUUUCUUACACAAUAUUAAAAAAAUUACAAUCAUCAAUAUCACCAGUGUGAUAUCAUUUGAAAAUUCUUUCAGUACUAGGAAGUUGUCAAGCUAAUGGUGGCAAAUACAUGUUUUCCUGUAUGCAUUCUCAUUUAUACUUGAAGGCUCAAAGUUGUGAUUUAUAACAAAUGCUGUCAGUUUUUUCCUCGAGACGACAACCACAUUGUUCCUUUUGGAGAACAUGUUUGCCAAAUAUCCAAGUCUGAAUAACCAUAGCUUGUCUGCUAGUUGGUCUUUUAAAUAAAAAUGGUGCUUUAUGAAUAAAAUGGCCAGUUCAGCUUGCAACUCACACAAAUGCACAUGUGCUUUUCCAGGAGACAACCAUCAAACUUUGGUGGACUUCCCAUUUCAUCACAUAAAAUUGUUAAUGAAACUUUUUAGUGCAAGUGUAUGGUAGUGAAGAAUACAGUAAUUACUAAUACAGUUUGGUGCGGUGCCUUGAUUUGUAAUAAGGUACCAGCCAUUUAUUCAUCCUUGCUUUUGCAUCACUCAUGCAGUGAAAAUGGCAAAUAACAGCUGGGUAUUAUUGUGAAAGAGUUUUAGCCUCAAGUGCCUCCUAAAAAGUUCUUGGGACUCUACAAGAACCCACAGACCACACUUUGAGAAUGGCUGCCCUAUUGCAUAAGGGAAUCCUGACUGGUUACAGGUUUACGACCUUAUAAUAUGUAGCUUGACUUAGCGUUAAGCAUGAUACCCAAAAGUGUUGGAAGAUGAUUUACUUCAAAACCCUCUGCAACAUAAUCUCUAUGGCUGGGACCAGGGAAUCUGAUUUUUUGAUAAGGUCCUCAGAGAGAUGUUUGGGAACUACUGAUUUAAAGCAUUACUUUGCUUGUAUGAAACUACUCUGUUUUUCUAAAGCCAAAACCAUGGCACAGUCUCAUUGCUUGUACACAAAAUAAUUUUAGGCAAAUAUUUCUUAAUUUAAUAUUUGUAUGCUUAUUUUAAAGCCUAUUACCUUAUUUUAUCAAAAUUUGCCAUCAAUUAUAACUUCCACAAAUAAAAAAAUGCAGCUAAUUUAAACUGCAAUGCUUCUUUCAUAGAUUGUAAUAUGCAUCCUCAUUUCAGGGAUAAAUUUGUAAAAAAUAUAAAAAAAUCAGAAUUGAUGGAAAUAGGGUAAUAUUUGUUUAACACUUAGGAAGCGUGCUACAUCCAUGUAUUCUAUGAUAUAAAUCAGUGUUUGUCAAACUUAAAUGGGCAUAUGAAUCCUACUGUGAAUAUUCACUAGGUCUGGAGUUGGGUUUGAGCUUUUAAAUAUCUUACAAAUUUCUCAGCUAAUGCUGAUACAGCAAGAAUAUAAGGUAACUUUAAAAACAAAUAAGAAAAGAAAAUGAAUCAAUGUAAAUACAAAUAUUAAGUAAAUUGACAGUAUUGGUGUUAACAUGGCUAUUGCAAAACUUGUGAUGGCAAUAGGAGAAUAAAGUCUGAAGUCAGGGAAAGGCUGCCAUAGCUGAUAGUUGAGCCAUAUUUUUAGUCCUCCUGGAAAAACAAGGCUUUUCCCUGUGGGCCUCACUGACAGUUUUCAAGUAGAGAUUUUUUCUCCCUUCAUUUACUCUAACCGUGACUCAGAACCCAGUAUCUCCUAGUAGUAUUACCUAGAUGAUGUUUGAGUUAUCCCUCCAUAUUCCUGCAAUGGUGCAUCUAACCUAGUUGGAUACUUUUAGGCACAACUCUUUUCCCUUUGAUAGGCCAAAGAUUCUUCUUGCUUUAAAUUAAAAUCUGGCUCUCCAUUUGUUCUCCAUUUGAACAGCAGAAAGAGUUCAAACCUUCCUACGUGACAACUCUUCACCCUUUUGAUGGCUGUUCUGUGUUCUGCUUAGCUUUAUCUUCUCCAUGCUAAAUAGCCUCAACUUCCACUGGUUCUUCUAUGAUGUGCUUUUGAAUCCCUUACCAUCUCAGUCACUCUUCCCUGAACCCACUCCUGUUAAUCUUUUAAAGUGUGAUAUCCAAACCACAUGUCACCCUCCACUGGAGUGUGCCCUCACCUCUCUUGACCUAGGUGUCAUGCUUGAGGUGGUGAUUGCCUGUUGGCAGCCACGUCUCACACUGCUGACGCACCACUCCGUGUCGAGCAAAGCCCCUCAAUCCUCUCCGUGCAUGCAGUUGCUAAGUCAGAUCUUCUCCCUAUAUUUGUGCAACUGUGAGUUGGGACCCAGGGGAAGACCAUUCAUUUUUGACUGAUAAACUUCACCUUGUUAGAUCUGACCCAAGUCUCUAGGCAUGACUCAUGCUGCCCACUGAGCACCACCCUCUAGAGUUUCCUUAAUUAGCCUCUUCUCUGUUCCAAGAGCAGGACCUGCUUCCAACGUUGCAUAGCUGUGCCCCUUCAACCACUCUGUUCCUGUCUUUAAGGGCCUUCUAAUUGAGAUGACUACCCCCGCCUGCCUAAUCUCCAUCACCCACUUGUGAGGGCUCCUCUCUCUCUGUUUACCCUCUGUGUACCAUGACACUACUCUCAACUUUCAUCCCUCUCCUGGGAAUUUCACCGCUACUGUGUCUUGUCAGCAAUGAUGUGCUCAUGAUUCAAUGACAGCUUGGCUUUUUUGGUCCCAAUUCAUCUAGAACUACCUCUAAUAAACACACGUUUUAAGGGGAUAGGGUUUUUAUUACCGCACCGGGCAUAGGAUUGAACGGAUCCCUCCCCAUUCCUUCAGUAUUACACGUGAGGGAAGGUGCAGCUGUGUGGAUUCAUGGGUGCAGACUCUGCUCAAGGAGCAGCAAAGUUAGCCUUUGUGUGAAGACUGCAUUUGGACCCUAUGAACAUCAUGUUCUGUGCCAACUAAGUACUGUGUAUUGACUUGGAGCUUGUAUGUCAAAAUUCUGCAUUAUAUUUCGUACAUUUCAGUGUAAUGAGCAAAUAGGAGAAGCCAUUCUUCCUUUGGUAAAACCUGUAUAUAUUUUAAAAUCUACCUUUAAGAAUAGUUAAGUUAUUGGUUUCAAACUCAUCAAUUUCGUCUUCUUAUGAGUGUGGCAAGAAUGAGAACGUGUAAAAUGAUGUUUGCUAAUUUCAAUGAUUGCAUUCAUGAUCAAGCUGAAAAUAACCCUUACCUUCUUGGUUCCCAAGUGACAGUCAGUGUCCUUCAGGAAUAAAGCGUCUUCCUGGGGAUAAUUUGAGAAAAAAAAACAAACCAAAAAAACCCAAAUGAGCUACAAAGAGUUUAAAUAAAUAUAGAAACCAUGUUUGUUCCAGUUUAUCUACCUUAAAUAGAUACACAGUAGAUGGUGUGGAAUGAAAUAAAUUUGCUGUUUUGAAUUUUUACUUUUGAUUAAAAUCAUUAUUCUUUAAAUAGUUGGUUAAUUACAACAUUUAAUUAAUACUCUCUUGAGAAACUUCUGUGUGUACAAUGUACUGUGUCAGCUCCUUAAGGGGGUAUGAAGAGGAAAGUACAGUAUCUGCCCUAUAGGAAUGCAAAAGUUAGUAAGGGAUAAGAGAAUGCUCAAGUAAGUCUUUGAACAGGAUUAAGACAAAUUUUUAAGGAGUCUAAACAAAGUACUAUGGGAACUUAGAGAAACCGCUUCUGACUGGGGGGCUGUGAGGGGUCAGGGAAGAAAGAAAGUAGGGAGGGGAAUGCUCCAGAUUGCAGCUUGGAUGCUUAGGGGCAGUCACCUUUUUUUGGCAAUAGGAGAAAAGUUAUAAAUUGUGGACAAAGACUUCUUUAUUCUCUUCAAUGCUCUAAAUUCCUCCUGCAGAUGAUGAAGGUAGGGCAGCUGAAAAGUCACCUGGGACUAAGGAAUCUCAGCUCUAGGAGUUUAUAAACUACGUGGCUAUCUCAAGGAGGCAUGAGUGUCUGAAAAAUUUUCAAUAUCAAAUGUAAUCUAAGCAAACUUCCCAAUUACCAUUCAGUGCUUUUAUGGAGCCAGGGGAAUAUUUCAUGAAGCCCUAUUUAGGCAGGAACAGACACUUAGGAUUUGGUUUACUAUCCUUGUUGCCUCCUUCCUUCUCCGUCUUUAAUGCAUCUUAAAUAAUCUCCAGUUAUAUCCUAAAAUUCUCACAAUUUCUUAAAAAAUUAAAGUAUUACAUACUAUAUUCUGAAUCCUCAAUUUAAAAAAAUAUGGAGGCAGAGCUACAGAAAUUCUAAUAUCAGUUCUGUUAAGUAGCUGGUAUGAUUUCUUUGGGUUUCUGUUUCCUUCCGUAAAAUGAAUCAGAUGCACCAGAAAAUCUCCAAGAUUCCUUUCAGCCCUAUGAGUCUAUAACAGACAGUUCUCCGUAGAGAUGGUGGCCUGAAUUCAAAGUAUCACAAAUCUCUGAGGGAUGCUAUUGCACUGUCAGACACAGUCCAGUCCCAAGUCCAUAAAAUAUGCCAUGUGAGAACAGUCUGCAAACCAGUCAAUUCAUAUCAGACUAUGACACUUUGUAAGAUGGGUAAGAUGCUUGGGAUUAUUUCCUCCCACAACCAUUUUUCAGAAAUCCUGACAUGGGAAACAAAUUAAAUAAACAUAAAAAUUUCAAAUAAUAGCUUAAGCAAUCACAGAAGAGAUACCACAAGUUACCAAGUUAAUUUGCUAACUGAACAGUAUAACAUUGACCUAAAUAAUCAGAGGAGGAAUCAUGCAUUAUACUCAGUUUUGUUCUGCAGGUGAAUAUUUUUUGUCUUAUAAUUGCUUAUAUUCUUGUCUUUUCACCCCUUGUAAAAGUUUCUUGAAAGGCAGUUGUCUUGUCUUUCCAUCUUGUCUCCAACCUUGCCCUCAACACAAGACCUUGCACUUAGUAGGCCCUCCGUAAAGGCUACUUUAUUGUCUUCCCCCCUUGACUGGUAACCUGAUCAGGUGCAACUAUAGCUACGUGGAGCAAAAAAGUGAGCACUUGUGAGCACUUACCUAGAGAUGCUGCGGUCACAGCAAUUUCAGGAGUGUGACCCCCCAGCUCUCUUUAUACUCCCAAAUCUGCCAGCCCAGCACUCUAACUUGGCUAUAUUUGGGGGAGCACCAUUUACUUGUUAGAUGUAAAUGCGUCGUAGCCCUGAUCUCUCACUCUUGUUAAGUUACUUGGAUAAAUGACCAGUGGAGGCUGCAUAAUGCCAAGUCAGCUGCAUAGGGAUUUUGACGUUGGACACAGAUCUUUGAGACUUAGAGAGUCCUAGGGGCUGAGUGGAACUGGAGCAGAGUGUGCUAAGAAGGUCACUGAAGGGCAGAACCACAGGAUGCUUUGUCAAGCAAUGGGUGAUCAGUAGUGUGGACAGUAACUACACCUCAUUUACCCAGCAUUGGUAUGGGAUGGUGUGCUUCUCAUCUCAGAAAUCUCUGGAAAUUUAAGGUUGACCUUUUAACACAUCCAGUCUUAUUUAUGUAUUUGUUUGUUUAAAAAUCUACUGGAAGAAAAGCUUUCCAAAAUGUAUUUUACAUUAUCCUGCUCUGUGUAACCUACUAUCUUGAAUAGAAUUUAAGUUUUUCUUGAUCACUCUGGGGGUCUGGGAGAUGAUAUAAUAAAGUCAUCAAGGAUCUGGUUCUUAGUGGAUCAUGCCUGCACUAAUUGUUCCUGCUGUGAAUUUUGGUGUAUACUUUUAUUUAUUAUUAUUAUUAUUAUCGAAACAGAGUCUUGCUCUCUCCUCUAGGCUGGAGUGCAGUGGCGUGAUCUUGGUUCGCUGCAAACUCCAUUUCCCAGGUUCAAGCAAUUCUCUUGUCUCAGCCUCCCAAGUAGUUGGGAUUAUAGGCAUGUGCUAUAAUCCCAUGUGUUAUAUAUAGGCAUGUGCUAUAAUCGCCCAGCUAAUUUUUAUAUUUUUAGUAGAGACAGGGUUUCACCAUGUUGGCCAGGGUGGUUUCGAACUCCUGACCUCAAGUGAUCCUCCCGCCUCGGCCUCCCAAAAUGCUGGGAUUACAAGUGUGAGCCACCACACUUGGCCUUACUUUUUAGAUUUUCUGUCUUUGCCUUCAUGGCCAGCCUCUCAGGUAUAAUUUCUUUCUGUGGUAAGUUUGUCUUUACUAGCCUGAUUUUGUAUUAUUGAUUGGGAAAGAGAUUACAAAAUUAAGAUCAGGCUAAAGUAAGAGUAAAUAAGUUCUGAGUGCAGCUCUAGUGGGUUCUAAUGAAAAUACGUGGACUUUGUGACAAUUAUAGUUACUUAGGAGUUUUUUUAUUUUUUGCUAAAAUAUAAGUGAUGUUUGACUAUGUAGGAACAACUGUAUAUGUAGAAGUUAGAGCCAUUUACUGCAAUACAGUGUGAUCUGUUUAAAUUGUAUAUAAUCAGUGUUUGUUGAAUCAAAGUUUCCUUAAUCAGUCUCCAGUGGGUAGAAUUUCAUGUAGGUAGGGCAUUUCCAAAAGAUAGUUUGCAUUAAUCAAAGUGAAUUUUAGACCAGAGGAGGAGCAGGUAGAGAUAGGACUUCCACAAAGUAUUUUCUCUUCCUUCCUUCCUUCCUUCCUUCCUUCCUUCCUUCCUUCCUUCCUUCCUUCCCUCCCUCCCUCCCUCCUUCCUUCCUUCCUUCUUUCGUUCCUUUCUUUCUUUCUCUCUCUUUCUUUCUCUUUCUUUCUUUUUUUUUUUUGAGACAGAGUUUUGCUCUUGUUGCCCAGGCUGGAUUGCAAUGGCGCGACCUCCGCCCACCACAACCUCCGCCUUGUGGGUUCAAGCGAUUUUCCUGCCUCAGCCUCCCGAGUAGCUGGGAUUACAGGCAUGUGCCACCAGGCCCAGCUAAUUUUGUAUUUUUAAUAGAGACGGGGUUUCACCAUGUUGGUCAGGCUGGUCUCGAACUCCCGACCUCAGGUGAUCCGCCUGCCUUGGCCUCCCAAAGUGCUGGGAUUACAGGCAUGAGCCUGGCUUCCACAAAGUAUUUUCUAAAGUAGAUUUGACAGAAUGCAGAUUGGGAGGGUCGCUUCGAAAUAAAUGGUCCUGUGGUUAAAUGAGCUUAAGAAAUGUGUUAAACUCUAUUCCCUCCUGUUAGAGAUUCAUCAUAAAUAUUAGCAUAUUAAGGGAUGUGAGAAGCCCUUCAGUAAAGAAAUAUGAAUACUUUUUUUUUAGACCUGGAACUUCCCUAGGUGAUUUGAUGUUGGAACACAAACUUAUUUAUUUCCUGUUCCAGAAAACAAGAGAGGAAAGGCUGAAGGACAUAAUCCAUAGCAAAGUUCUGGCCCAGAAGAAAGCAACCGAGAGUGAUCAGCCCUAAGCACAGUUGCUUUUAUUUGAGGUGCAGCCUUUUGCAUGUAGCAGAUGCUCAGUAAAUGUUCGUCCUGGUGAAUAAAUGAAUCAAGAUGACUCAUAGGGGAGUCAUCCUGACUCAUGUGUUGAAAGGCCUGAAGUGAUAAGAAAAGAAUGGAAUCAGACUCUGAGUUUCAUUUAAUGGUAAUAAUUAAGACUUAAGAACUAGGCUGGGUGCAGUGGCUCACACCUGUAAUCCCAGCACUUUGGGAGGCCGAGCCGGGUGGAUCACUUGAAGUCAGCAGUUUGACAUCAGCCUGGCCAACAUGGUGAAACCCCAUCUCUACUAAAAAUACCAAUAAAAUUAGCCAGGCGUGGUGGUGCACACCUGCAUUCCCAGCUACUUGGCAGGCUGAGGCAGGAGACUCGCGUGAACCCAGGAGGUGGAAGUUGCAGUGAGUGAAGAUGGCACCGUUGCACUCUAGUCUGGGCAACAGAGAAAGACUCCAUCUCACAUAAAAAAAAAAAAAGAAAGAAAGAAAGAAAAGAAAAAAGACUUAAGAACUCACCACAUGCCAGGCUUUAUCCAUAUUGAUUCACUGAAGCUUUAUAAUAGUCCUGUGAGGUAGGUGCUAAUAUCAUUUCUAUUAUACAACUACUGAGAGUUUAAGCAAUCUGCCCAAGGCCAUACAACUAGUCAGCAGCUGAAAUGAGUUUCAAGUGCUCUCUGGCUCUAGAGCCUAUGCCUGUAACAUCUCGUUUUUGGAAAUGCAUCAUGUUUGAGUGCCUACUUGGUAUUAGACUCUGUGCUGGGAAUGGGGAACAGGGGUAUGAGCUAAGAUCACUGCCCCAAAGGAGCUGACAAUGCAGAUGGGAAGAGAAGUGCAUAGACAUGAAAAGGAUAAAUCACUUUCCCAGAUGAAACUAUCCUAAACUGAUUGGAUUGUGGACAGUGGAUUCGACGUAUGUACAAGGUAUUUGAAAAACCAUAAAGUGUGUUGUAUAUAUAAAAUAUUAGCAGAAUUGUUAUAAUAAUAACAUUUUAUUUAUUUUGAAGGAGGGAAAAGAUCUGGACAGAAGUAGUGACUGUAGAUAAUAAUAAUCUUUUAGUACUUUUUGGUUUAGAUGACGAUUUUAUAUAUUUUAUUAUGUUUAUUUUUCUCUACCAGGCUGAGAGGUUUAUACGAUUCAUAUUAUUAUUAUUCCCACGGUCUAAAUGGGGAAACUGAGGCCUAAAAGGGUAAAGGAUUGGCUAAAAGGCCCCACAGCUAGUACGCAAUUGAACCAGAACUGAAAUCCAGGAUUUCUGAUUCCAAAGCCACGCCUUUUCCCCUAGUCUCUCCUGUCCCUUAAAGGAGGCAGACUUUUAACUGGGUGAGGGGAACAGGAAGGAGGUUCUAGGCUUAGGGAACUGAGGGAUCAUUGCUUGGAAACAAGUCUUCCCAGGAUAUUUUAGGAAGGUCAACUGGGAGAGCCAGGCCACAGCACAGGACUGGGGUGGGGUCGGGGGUAAUACGGAGGUGAAGGCAGAAGUGGGCUGUGCUUAUUUGUGAUGGAUUUUCAGUGCCCAGGAAAGGAGUCAGGCAUUAUUCCGAGAUCACUGGGAGGCCUUUUGAGGUUUGUGAGCAGGAAAGUGGGCAGAUUACACACACACACACACGCACACAUGCACACUCACGCACACACACACAUAUGUAUUUGAAGAUGAGUCUAGAACUGGUGAUAUGAUGUAAUGGUGGCAAGAGAACCUGGCGGCCUAGAAGCAAGUUGUGACUAUUGAAAAAAUCUUGGUGUAAAACUUCCCUAGAUGAUUGGACAGGUUCUGAUGACUCGUGGGGGCAGGCAGGCUGUUAGAUGCUUAGACUUUACCCCUCAAUGCCCCUGCGCUUUCAGAUCUGUGUUAAAAUUCCCCACAGCACCGCAGGGUGGCUUUCGCAGUGGUUGUGAGUCCUGGUGGCUGGUGGUUCUGAGUCCAGCCCUGGUGGCUCUGAUUCUGCCAUGCAGAGUCAGGGAGAAGAGCAUUGCGUGGGCUUGUAGUUUUUCUUCUACACUGUCCCAUUUAGGCAAAGCAGGAACAGUGAAAUUUCAAACCCCAAGUGGUAAAAGAAGUGUGUAUUAGGGACCAAGUGUGGUGGUUCACACCUGUAAUCCUAGCACUUUGGGAGGCUAAGGCAGGUGUAUCACUUGAGGUCAGAAGUUCGAUACCAGCCUGGCCAACAUGGUGAAACCCCAUCUCUACUAAACAUACAAAAAUUAGCUGGGCAUGGUGGCAAGUGCCUGUAAUCCCAGCUACUUGGGAGGCUGAGGCAGGAGAAUCUCUUGAACCUGGGAGAUGGAGGUGGCAGUGAGCCAGAGAUUGCACCACUGCACUCCAGCCUGGGUGACAGAGCAAGACUCCAUCUCAAAAAAAUAAAAAAAAGAGGUGUAUAUUAGGGCCCAUUUAAGACCUUUGUGAGUUCUAGGCUUAUUUUUUGAGGCUCUACCCCAUAUUAUAUCAAUAUAUUAAAAUCUACUCAGUGUAUAUUAACAAUCACUUACACUGAAUAUAAAAAAUAAUCGGCCAGGUGCGGUGGCUCAUGCCUGUAAUCCCAGCACUUUGGGAGGCCUAGGCGGGCGGAUCACGAGGUCAGGAGAUCGAGACCAUUCUGGCUAACACGGUGAAACCCCAUCUCUACUAAAAAUACACACACACAAAAAUUAGCCGGGCAUGGUGGCAGGCACCUGUAGUCCCAGCUACUCAGGAGGCUGAGGCAGGAGAAUGGCGUGAACUCAGGAGGCAGAGCUUGCAGUAAGUGGAGAUCACGCCACUGCAUUCCAGCCUGGGAGACAGAGCGAGACUCCGUCUCAAAAAAAAAAAAAAAAAAAAAAAAAAUCAUGGUUAAGUCAUCAUAGUUAAGUGUUUGCAGAAAAAAUUUUUAAAAAAUUGGUGUAAAAUGAAGAGGGCCUCAAUUACAGAGAAUAAAAAUGAAGUUCAAAAGGAAGGAGAGAAAACUCAAGAGGUCCCCUAAAGGCAGGACCCAAAGGGCUUUGAUGACUGCCGAGUUUGGGGGGCGAGGAGUCGUCAAAGGAUCCUGCCUGUCAUGCAGACCUCAUUUCAGCCUGGAAUCUAGGGCCACGACACCAGCCCAGAGGAGACACUGAACUGGAGAAAGAUGAGUGUCGAUUUUGGACAUAUUGAGCGUGAGAUGAUGUGGCAGAGAUAAGGGUUCAAAGUUUAAAGGAGAUGUCAAGGCUAGAGAUGUCAUCCUCUAUGUUGGGGGAUAUCAUUUGUCUAGAGGUGAUAAUUUAAACUCUUGUGAAAGUUUAGCGCUCACAGGAAGGCUAGGUGUUGCGGACAUGGGAAGAGGAAAUGAAAACAGAAAAGGAGGAAAAAAGUAAAUAAAAAUAAACGAGGUUCAUUCUGCAAGUAAGCAAAUACCAAGUGAGAAGCAGUAAGAUCUUGCUGGAGUCAGAAGACCUGAGAGAGUCCCCAGCUUACUUCUGCCAUUUUCUGACUGGGGUGAGCCCCCCUCCCUUCUCUUAGCAACUCUGGAGUCUUUCCCCUUCAGCUGCAAAAUCAGAAAAAAUUUUUCUGUUUCUGUCCAAGUCACGAGAAUGAUGCAGGGACCUAAUGAAAUCCUGUCUAUGCCAUCUAGAUGUGGCUAUCUCUGUGUGCAGUCUGCUUCUAUCCCAUCCCAAACUGUACAUUUUCAUGUCCACCCACCCUGACCUGGUCUCAGCAUAUAAUCCACCAUCCCCCAAAAUCUAAAUGAGCAAUGCAGAAUUUACCAAAGAUAUUUUAGGGGAGACAUAGAAGAGGAUUAUAUUACAUACCUCAGAAUACAUUAUCUGUUUCCAUCAGAAAUGUCUGUUCUACAAAGUCCAUUUUUUCUUUACACUGAUGCUGGAUGUCUUUUCCUUUCUUCCUUUCAGGAAUUUCUCUGCACCCCUAGGGUACUCAGUUGAUCCUCUAUUAUGUGGAAUCAUUUAGCUCUGCCAUAGACAUGCAUUUCUACUCUUCUGGUUACUCAGCAACAUAAAAGUCAUCAAAUAAAGAAGACCACUUUCAUCUUUAGAAACAAGUUUGGUCACCACCUAUUUUUAUUCAUAUAGGCCCUUUUUCAGGGGGAAAGGGACUCAUCUUUUUCUUUCUUUUUUUUACAGCUGUAUUGAAGCAUAAUUGAUAUACAAAAAGCUAUACACACUUAAGCACACAAUUUUAUGAGUCUGGACAUAUGCAUGUACCAUAAUCAAGGUAAUAGUCAUAUCCAUCACCUCUGAGAGAUUCCUUGUUUUGGGGUUUCAUCAUCUCUAUUUCAUCACUAUUCCCCCAAGUCCACAGCUCCCACCCCACACUAUCAGCCCACCUCUCUCAAACCUGAGAGGAGUUCUAUGACUGGAAAUUUUCUUCAGUCUUAUUACAAAAUCAUUUCGUCUACUCAAAAGUGAAGGUAACUUUAUUAUUAGUGUCAAAAUAAGUCAAGGGAAGUGAUAUUUUCAAGAGAGAGGCUAUCAUGAAGAGUGCUACAGAGAAGCUGGAGAAAGAGAGGACCAGGAACAGGGCAUUGGAUUGGCCAGGGAGGUGAUCCUGACAGCAAUGUCAGCAGGAUGGUGGGGGUGGCAGAAGGGAUUAAGGAAUGAGCAGGUGUUAAGGAGGAGGAAAAAGUUUUUCUGAUUUUCCUAGGGACACAUCUCUUCACAAAUCACUAUUUAAGAUGCUUUCAGAGGAAAUGUCAAUGUGGAUAGCGCAGUGGGAAGAAGGAGGCAGUAGCAAGGCCAAAUAAGACUAGGAAAAAAAGUGUGAUUGAGGUCACUCCUCAGAAGGCUACUUGAGAAGAAAGGGCAAUUAAUUGUGCUAAUAGUGGGAUCAUACCUCACCCCUUACAACUCAGGCUAUCUCAGGGCUUAUGUAACAGAUGAAAUUUCAAAAAGCAGCAGGACGUUUUCCAGCCAGGAACAGAAAUUUCUGAGUGAAAGUCACAUUGGUGAAUGGCCCCCAUUCAUAUUUGAAUUGCCUAACUAAAGAUUUGAAUGAUAAUAUAGAUUCUGGAACUAAAGGAGGCUUUGAAUAUUGUCUAAAGUAACUCCUACCUUACAGAAUCAGAAAUUGAGGUUCUAGACAGUUUAUCUAAUUCAUGCUAAGCAUAAAAUUAGUCCCCUCUCCAUUCUACUCUCAAACUCAACAGAGCAAGUUUGGAACUCUUUCAAAUAGAAUAUAUAAACUUCUUCACUGCUGGUAUUUAUAUACUGAAAAUGUGCAAAGCAAAAAGUUCAUAGGGGUUAUCAAAAGCAUUAUUUAAAUUGAUUAUUAAAUGUCAAUGAGAAAAGAGACUUAUCACAGUUUUGUAGGUGGGAAAACUGAGGCUUGGUGAGGAUAAAUGACUAACCAUACGGCUAAUAAGUGGCAGAGUGAGAGCUAAAACAAACAUCUUUUGACUCCAAGUCCAGUUUGUAUUUUCACUUGAAGACAGCUGCUUCUGGCUUUACAAGAUCCUGUAAGACACUAAUGCUAUCAGAAUUAUACAUGCUUCUCAGAAUUACACAUAAACUAGGCAUCCUUCACCGAAAAUAACAUGAAGAGAUUGUGUGGAUGACCUGAGAACAUUGUGUUCAGAGAAAAAAUCCUACCAGCUAGGUCUGUUCAGUAAACUGGAGACUUUCCAGCCUGGCUUCAUAGCUUUGACUCAUGUCUGUGAGAGUUAGGAUCUCCUGCUGUUUGCUUCCUACCUUGGGGUCUAUUUGCUGUGUUUUGGUUACUUCAGCUGCUUAAAACCUCAUUAGAGCUAAGGAAAGCAUGAUUGAUUACUUUUAACUACUACCACUGAGGUCUUAAUGUGUCCUAAAAAAGCUUGUUGGAUGCAGUAAAAGUAUGUACUUAUAUCAUUAAAAUCUGCAUGAUAAUGCAGUCACUAAGAAUGGACCUUGACAAUCAGAAUGCUGGGUCACAAAUUCUGACUUCACUAUUUAAGCUACUUGAAUUUGGGCAAGUUACUUAAUCUUUGUCAGCCUCAGUUUUCUCACCUGUAGAAUGGGAAUGUUAACAGUAACUCAGGAGGUUCUUGUGGCAAUUAAGUGAAUUAAUGAAUGCAUGGCAGGUUACUAUUUGGAUGUGACAUGAUAGUUUGGGAAAGGGGAGAGUGGUUGAGGCUAUGUCAACAGAGAACCUUGUGAUUUUGAAAAACAUGAGCUUUCUUCGGUGAACGCACCAACCACUGACAGUGGCAGAGGGCUUUGGGAGCCAAGUCAAUGUCUCCAAUGUUGUUCAUGUCUUUGAUGCUGCUGUCUGGUGAGGCCCACCAGCUGCCAAAGCCUGUCCACUGUCUUUUUAGUCCUCUCAUUCUACCCAGUAUAUGUAGCCAAUUUUCUGUGUAGAUUCAUUCCUCCCCACAUAGCAGUAAAACAAAACAGGGAAGAUAGGAGCCUGGAUAUCUGAAAGUAGGUGACCAACCAUGCCAAUUUGUUUGGGGCUAAGGGAGUUCUUGAAACUUUCCAUUUUAAAACCAGGACUGUCUUGGGCAAGUGGUGGUAAAUUCAUCACUAUACCUGAUAGGUUGUUGGAGGGUAUCAUGGCAAAGUCCUCAAAAUAUCUACCUAAAUUUUGGUUUAAAUCUUUUCACAUUUUUUCCAUGUUUUUAUGUAUUCUUUUUUGUUUGUUUGUUUGAGACGGAGUCUCACUCUGUCACUAUGCUGGAGUGCAAUGGCACGAUCUCGGCUCACUGCAACCUCCUGACAAGACAAGCCUGACCAAGACAAGGAUAGAUGGAAUCAGUUUGAGAUCUUCUAGAAUGAUCCAAGCUACAAUGAUGAUGAAAUUCCCACCUGGAACUGUUAAUUGCAAAACUGUAAUACAUACAUAGGGCUUAGCAGAGAGCUAGCAACAUGGUAAACAUGCAUUCAUUCAUUCAACAUUCGUUGAAACCUUACCAUAUGCUGGGAGGAUUUUAAGUACUGGAGAACAAAAUAGAUAAAGUCACAAACAGAUAUAUCAAUUAAAGAUAAAUGCUCUGAAGGAAAGAAAAGCAGGAUAAGGAAACAGUGGCUGUGUGGGGAAGUUUCUCUGAAGAGGUGAUAUUUGAGCAGACACCUAGUGAAGUGAAUGAGUAAGCCAUGAAAAUAUCAAAGGGCGACAGUAUUUCAGGCAGAGGAAACAAAUGCAAACGCUCUGGGAGAUGGUGGGCCAGUGGGGCAGAGUGAACCAGUAGUAGGGAAUGUAGUGGCAGAGGUAGGCAAGAGCCAGAUGGUUUAGAGCCUUGGAAAUUAAGGUAAGGACUUCGGGUUUCAAAUGUCAGCUGUUGUUAUAAAGGCUGUUUUUUUCCUCCUUUUUCUGUGUUGAGUGUUGGAUCUGUUAACUGCUCUUUUUCUACUCAAUAUUGGUUCAUUCUGUCCAACAAAAUUUAUUGAAUGUCUGCUCUUCAUUCAACAGAAGGCUAAUGAAGACAUUUUUUCGGGAACUGAAGAGAAAGUUUGUUUUCUCAACAACUAUGAUCUAGUUGUGGGGGGGAGGGAGUGGGUCAAAGUGCUGAUAAUGCGUCAAAAGACGGCAGCAGUGCGCCGAGCGCGGUGGCUCACGCCUGUAAUCCAGCAGUUUGGGAGGCCGAGGCGGCGGAUCACCUGAGGUCGAGAGUUCGAGACCAGCCGACCAACAUGGAGAAACGCCAAGUCUCUACUAAAAAUACAAAAAUUAGCCGGGCGUGGUGGCGCAUGCUUGUAAUCGCGGAGGUUGCGGUGAGUCGAGAUCGAGCCAUUGCACCCCAGCCCGGGCAAUAAGAGCGAAACUGUCUCAAAAAAAAAAAAAAAAAAAAAAAGACAGCCACAGUGUGCUUUGAAGGAGACACCCUGGCACUACAGGAGAGAAACGAUGUUUUCAAUUGUCCAGAGAGGAGGGGAGUCACUUCCGGUGCGUCCCAGGGCAUCAUGGGAAGGGUCAGUCUGUGGGAAGGAAAGGCCAGAAGUGACUCCUGCCGUAGCUGCGGCAGGCCUGGAGGCCGUACUGGGACCUGGCCAGUAAGUGUGCAUUUAAGAGUUUGCGAGUGAGCAGGACCUUGUUCGUCCCCGCGAUUUAUUUGUGCUGUGUAAUUCCAGACAGUAGAUCCGUGAAGGACUGUGUGGUGGGGAGGGUAUGAAAUUGAGUGUGGAGAGGGCAUUUGAGGGCAAGUCCCAUGACUGACUGGGCCAGACAGAAAAUUUAAAAUUCUUGUCAACAAAGCCCGUUUGAAAAUUUUCAGUGCAUACAUAGCCAUAUUAUUAUGUUGUACAUGUGGUACACAUAAAUAUUCCUGUUUUUUUUUUUUUUUUUUUUUGAGACGGAGUAGCACUCUUGUCGCCAGGCUGGAGUGCUGUGGCGUGAUCUGGGUUCACUGCAACCUCCACCUCCCGGGUUCAAGUGAUUCUCCUGCCUCAGCCUCCUGAGUAGCUGGGAUUACAGGCACCCGCCACCACGCCUGGCUAAUUUUUGUACUUUUAGUAGAGACGGGGUUUCGCCAUGUUGGCCAGGCUGGUCUCAAACUCCUGACCUCAGGUGAUCCGCCCGCCUCGGCCUCCCAAAGUGCUGGGAUUACAGGCAUGAGCCACCGCACCCGGCUACACAUAUAUUCUUAUAUAAAGUCAGGUUCAGAUACUCAAAUCCGUGGGUACCAAUUGAAUUAUUUUUCCAAAUAGUGGAAAAAGUGAUGAUUUUGUUGCUCAGAAGGUACUACCUUUCCCAUCCAUGUUUUAAACAUAAUUUCUCAUACUUUGAGCCUUCACACUGCGCAGUACCUCAGUUUCCCCAGGAAAGCCACAAGCCAUAGUUUCUGUGAGGAGCUGAGAAGAUAGUUUGCCCUCUUGUGAAGGUCAGCCUAUUGGAAUCUAAGAGAAGCCCUGUUUUGGGUGUGUUCCCCAAGGGAGAUGUUUUUCUCCUUCACCAUGGAGAGGCUUUCUUUUUUCUUGCGGCCUCCGGAAGCGGCAUCUUAGUGGCCCUUGGAACUAGGAGGGAGGAAUCAGGCUGGCAAAUUCUAUCCUUAAGCAAGGUUCUUUCCAUCUGCCCACGGCUGAUUCUUCAGCUUCUCGCUUUGGAAAAUGUGACCGAUGGAGUCUGCGAUGACGGUUCCUAGGGACACCGAUAUGUGGAACAUGUGCCCAAACCUCUGCCACAGCCAGGAGGCAGAAUUUAAGUUUGCUUACUGACAGCUGCUGUGUGUCAGUCCUGGAAUGUUAAUCCUUACAGAGAGCUUGGAUGACAGGCAACAGCUUUUAGCAGCUGUGCUAAUGAUCUCAUCCAUCAAACGACCCUCUCUUCACCUUACUGUUGUCAGUUAUAUCCACGUCUUUGAUGAGAAGUGGAUAUGAAAUCUUAAGAGGCAGGUUACUUUUAUUUAUUUUAAAAACAUGAGCCUUUAAAAGAAUUCCAAAAAUAGUACACACAUUGAAAAACAUAAUCAAACAUACUGAAGGAAAAUUUUAAAUCUUGCCUAAAAUUUUAGCAUAGAAGUCAUCUCUACCUAAAUUUUGGUUUAAAUCCUUUCACAUUUUUUUCCAUGUUUUUAUGUAUCCUUUUUUCUUUCUUUUUUUUUUUUUUUUUUGAGGCGGAGUCUCAUUCUGUUGCUAGGCUGGAGUGCAGUGGUGCGAUCUUGGCUCACUACAACCUCCGCCUCCUGGGUUCAAGUGUUUCUCCUGCCUCAGCCUCCCCUGUACCUGGGACUACAGGCGAGUGCCACCAUGCCCAGCUAAUUUUAAUAUUUUUUAGUAGAAACGGGGUUUUACCAUGUUGGCCAGGAUGGUAUCCAGCUCCUUUUUUUUUUUUUUUUUUUAGAUGGAGUCUCGCUCUGUCGCCAGCCUGGAAUGCAGUGGUGCGAUCUCGGCUCACUGCAACCUCUGCCUCCCAGAUUCAAGUGAUUCUCCUGCCUCAGCCUCUGGAGCAGCUGGGACUGCAGGUGUGUCACCAUGCCCAGCUAAUUUUUGUAUUUUUAGUAGAGAUGGGGUUUCACCAUGUUGGCCAGGAUGGUCUCGAUCUCUUGACCUCAUGAUCCGCCCACCUUGGCUUCCCAAGGUGCUGGGAUUACAGGCAUGUGCCACCACGCCUGGCCAAUUUUUAUGUAUUCUUAAACACAUACACAAUUGAGAUAUCAGUCUGCAAGCACUGUUUUGUAUUCUGCUUUUAGAACACAUUUUAAAAUUUUCUCAUGAUAUUAACUAUUCUUUUAGAUUAUGAUUUUUAAUAGUUACGUAGUGUACCAUGCUUUGAAGAUAACAUAAUUUAUAUAACAAAUUUUCUAUUAUUGGGCAUUUAGGGUGCUCUAAGUUUCUGUUCUUUAAAAUAUUCUGCUAAGUAUAUAUGUGUACAUAAAUGCUUAUGCAUAUCUUUAAUUGUUAAAUCUAUAGAAUAGACUUUCUGGGCAAAGGCUAAAGAUAGUUUUCAGUUUGCAACAGUGGAGUCCCUGUUAUUGGAGCCUUCACAAUAAUGAUAUUGCAUAGGAAAACAAAAAGUAUUCACUAACGAUCUUGUUGAUCAUUAUGUAUUGUAAAUAUGCAAUAAUCAAUUUAAGUUGAAUGCAAAGUAAAAUGAGAAAUCUUGGAACAGUUGCAGAAUUUAGUGAAGUCAGUGAAAGUAGUAAAAAAAAUUGGCUUGAGUUUUGCAAAGCCAUUGACCAGCGUGCAUUCAGCAGUGUUGAACUAGUUAACAAUUGAAGAACUGAAAAUGGACAAAAAUGAUGACCCAAUAGAUGUUUCCCGAGAAUGAAUUCAGGAUCAAAGGAUUAGGAAGGCUCUUAAAAAUAUUGAUGAAGUCAUGCAUUUUUGUGAAAAAGGAUGUAUUUUAUUAUUGCAUUGCAAAACUUAAAGGAUGUCAUAUUAUGUUAUCACAUAUGACUGUGAGAAAUCUGUCCCUUUUGUCCCAACUGCAACAUUUACUCAUUCUUUGUUCUAAGAAUAGCAGAGUUGCAAUUAUGAUCUAAAUCUUAAGAAAUGCAACAGAAGGCUGGGCACCGUGGCUCACGCCCGUAAUCCCAACACUUUGGGAGGCCGAGGCAGGCAGAUCACGAGGUCAAGAGAUUGAGACCAUCCUGGCCAAUAUGGUAAAACCUUGUCUCUACUAAAAAUACAAAAAUUAGCUGGGCAUGGUGGCACGUGCCUGUAAUCCCAGCUGCGCAGGAGGCUGAGGCAGGAGAAUCACUUGAACCUGGGAGGUGGAGUUUGCAGUGAGCCACUGCUCUCCAGCCUGGUGACACAGUAAGACUCCGUCUCAAACAAAAACAACAACAACAACAACAACAAAAAACAAAAACAGAAAAAAAGAGAAAAUCAAUUGUUUCUCUGUAUGUUAGCAGUGAACAUGUAGACAGCAAAAUUAGAAAUAUAAUGCCAUUUACAGUCACUUAAAAAAAGAAAGAAGUUAGACAGGCCGGGAACGGUGGCUCACGGCUGUAAUCCGAGAACUUUGGGAGGCCAAGGUGGGCGGAUCAUGAGGUCAGGAGUUUGAGACCAACCUGACCAACGUGGUGAAACCCUGCCUCUACUAAAAAUACAAAAAUUAGCCAGACAUGGUGGUGCACGCCUGUAAUCCCAGCUACUCAGGAGGCUGAGGCAGGAGAAUGGCUUGAACCCGGGAGGUGGAGGUUGCAGUGAGCUGAGAUUGUGCCACUGCACUCCAGUCUGGGCAACAGAGUGAGACUCCGUCUCAAAAAAAAAAAAAAAAAAAAAAAGUUUGACAUAGAUCUAACAAAAUUUAUAUAUGGCUUGUAUGCUGAAAACUACCAAACACUGAUGAAAGAAAUAAAAGAAGAUCUAAUUAAAUGAAACAGACUGUAGUUAAGAAUUGGAAGAUUCAACAUAGUAAAUAUGUCAACAAACUGAUAAACAGGCUUCAUGCAAUUUCUGUGAAAAAGUAUAGCUCUGGCUUUAAAGUUUGGCAUAUAGUAUUCUAAUUACUAAUUAUCUUCCCAGAGUACUGUAAUUGUGAUAUUUCCCCUAAUGCAGAAUUUUAAAUUUAUGGAGGUAUAAUUGACAUUUAAAAGUGCACAUAUUAAAAGUGCACAGUUUGAUAGGUUUUUACAUACAUAGAUGCCUGUGAAACCAUCAUCUCAAUCAAGAUAAUGAACAUGUUCAUGGACCCCCCUCCCAAAUUUCCUCCUGCUCCCUUGUAAUCCCCUCCACCCUUUCUUUGUGCCCCCUACAAACCCUCCCUCUGCAUCACUAGCCAACUGCUGGUCCACUUUCUAUCACUGUAGUUUUCAUUUUCUAGAAUUUUAUAUAAAUAGAAUAAUAUAGUAUGUACUUUUUGGAGGGGCUGCUGCUUUCAAUCAACGUAAUUAUCUUGAGAUUCACCCUUUUUAGUGUUAAUGGUUUCUUUUGAUAGCUGAGUAGUAUUUCAUUGUAUGGAUAUACCAUAAUUUGUUACCCAUUCAUUUGUUGAUGGAUAUUUUGGUUUUUCUUUUUGGUUUUUGCCCCUAUUACAAAUAAAUGUGCCAUAAACAUUUGUGUACAAGUCUUCAUGUGGACAUACGCUUUCAUUUCUCUUUGGUAAAUACCUAGGAAUAGAAUGGCUAGAUCAUAUAGAUAAUUUGUUAACUUUUAAAGAAGUUGCCAAACUGUUUUCAUAAGUCAUUGUAACAUUUUACAUUAUGACUCUUGGCCAACACUUUGGUCUUUUAGUCAUUGUAGUAAGUGUGUUGUGGUAUCUUACUGUGUUUUAAUUGAUAUUUUUCUCAUGAUUCAUGAUGUUGAAUGAUUUUCAGAUGCCUUUUUAUCAUCUGUAUGUUUAGUGAAAUGUUUGUCUAAACCUUUUGCCUUUUAAAGUAUUAUGUUGUUACCUUUUCCCUGGAUUUUUAGAUUUGUUUAUAUAUUCUGAAUAUAAAUCUUUCAUCAGGGAUAUAAGUUGUAAAUACUUUCAAUCUGUGGCUUGUCUUUUCAUUCUCUCUAUAACAGUGUUUUUCAAAGAGCAGAAGCUUUACAUUUUGAUGAUGUACAAUUGAUCAAUUUUUUCUUUUGUGGCCUGUGUCUUUGGUGUCAUAUCUAAGACAUCUUUGCCUAAGCUGAGGUCACAAAGAUUUUUUCUUUUGUUUCUUUCUACAUGUUCUUAUGAUUGUAGUUUUGAUUUCCUCUUUGAUCCAAAAUUUUGUUUUUUGGAGAUUAUUUAACUUUUUUUUUCUCUUUUUUGUUUUAAACUUUUGUUAUUAACUUAGACACAUUUGAGAUUGCGGUCUACACAAUUUAUAAUGAAAAGAUUGAGGGUGAUAGGGGUUUAGAGGUUGGGGGAGAGUAAAUGUUAGAAGGUAGAGGAAGGAGUGAAUAAAGUACAGUCUUUGUCUAGAUUUCAUUUUUGUUCUGCUGCUUCCUCUCUUUCUGGAGGUUCUACUCCAUCAAGCCUUUUUUUGGUCUUAUUUUCUGUCCCUCUUUUAUAAGUUCAUUCUUUCACUUUGUCUCUCAUCCAAUCUCUCUGACAAUCCUAUGUAUGCUAGCUACCUUCAAUAAAUCUGGAAUCCAUCUACUUCUCUUUGUCUCCCGUUGUUAUUUUUCUGCCCUAAGCCACUGUCAUGGUUUUUAUUGUUGUUGUUGUUGUUAGUUUUUUUGUUUUUUUUUUUUUUUGAGACAGGGUCUCACUCUGUCUCCCAGGCUGGAGUGCAGUGGUGCGAUCUUGGUUUAUUGCAGCCUUGACUUCCCGGGCUCAGGUGAUUCUCCCACCUUAGCCUCCCUCGUAGCUGGGACUACAGGCAUGUGCCACUAUGCCCUGCUAAUUUUUUUCUUUUUUUCUAUUUUUAGUAGAGAUGGGGUUUUGCUAUGUUGCCUAGGCUGGUCUCGAACUCUCGGGCUCAAGUGAUCUGCCCACCUCGACCUCCCAAAGUGUUGGGAUUCCAGGUGUGAGCCACCGCGCCCAACUGCCACUGUCAUCUUUUAACCUUUAUUUUUCAGUAGGCUCCUAACUAGUUUCCCAGUGUCCAUCUUUGCUCCCUUAGUUUAUUCUCAACACAGCAGCCAGAGUGAUUCUUUUAAAAUGUUUGUUAAUAUCACCCUGCUCAAAACCCUCCAAAGCUUUCCCACUUCACUCUGAGUAAAGGCAAAAGUCCUUAGAGUGGCCAAGGGGCCCUACAUGAUCUGGUCUCUCAGUUCCUCUCUUAUGCCUUAACUGUCUCAUCUUGCUCAGUCUCUUCCUGCCCUGCUUGACCUCCUCCCUGCCCCCCUAACAUUCCCUACCUGCCCUUGCCUUAGGGCCUUUGCAUUUUCUGUUUUCUCUGCCUGGACGUGCUGUGCGCCCAUAUACUCACUUGGCUUACCCUCUUGCCUCCUUCAGGUCACUGCUCAAGUGUCUUCUUACCAGAGAUGCCUUCCUUGACUACUGUCUAUAAAAUAGUAAAUGCGGCCGGGCGCGGUGGCUCACGCCUGUAAUCCCAGCACUUUGGGAGGCCAAGGCGGGUGGAUCACGAGGUCAGGAGAUCGAGACCAUCCUGGCUGAGACGGUGAAACCCCGUCUCUACUAAAAAUACAAAAAAUUAGCCGGGCGUGGUGGCAGGCACCUGUAGUCCCAGCUACUCCGGAGGCCGAGGCAGGAGAAUGGCGUGAACCCGGGAGGCGGAGCUUGCAGUGAGCCGAGAUCGCGCCACUGCACUCCAGCCUGGGCGACUGAGUGAGACUCUGUCUCGGAAAAAAAAAAAUAGUAAAUGCUUCCCUCCUACUUUCUAAUUUCCCAUUAGUACUUAUAAUCUGGCUCAUUACAUAGUUAUGAAUUUAUUUAUUGCUUUUCUUUCGUUGUGGAAUAUAAGCUUCUAGAGAGCAGAAACUAUAUUUUGUUCACACAAAACUUAAAUAGUGGCUGGCACUAUUUAUUGAUUUAUUAUAUUGAUGCACAUAGUAGAUGCUCAAUAUCGUUUGUGGAGUAAAUGAAUGGGCCCAUACAGAGGGCAGCCUCAGGGAGUGUUUUUCUUAGUAAUUUGUAACAAUCUAGAGAGAUAUAAUAAAAACAAGCUCAGCAAAAGAUAUUUGUGUGUGUGUUGGUGGGGGGUGAAGAGGUGGGAAAGGGACUGUUGGGUGGUGCUGAAGGUAUAAAAUAUUGAAUGCUCUGCAAAGCCAUAUAUAAUAUUAAGAUAUUAAUAGCUAGGUGAGAACUGUGAGCAUGAAUAGCUUUGCAAGUGAAAAAAUGAAAGUCCGGUUUAAUGUAUACAUUUACUGUAGUUUUUAUUUAUUCAGCUUUAACAGGAAAAUAAACGUCAUAAAGCAAGUGACCAAAAAUAGCACAUUUUGUGCCUUUCUUCAGCCUCUUGAUAGCAUCAGGCAGGUGUGUUUACUCUGCACUGAUUUUUGUGUGAACCUCUCGGCUCUUCACUCGCAAUUUGUUGACCUGGGACUCAGCAAUGUCAGCCCGUUCCUCGGCCUCCUCCAGCUCAUGCUGGAGUUUGCGGAAUUUAGAUAGAUUAGCAUUGGAUUGUUCCUCCUAAGAAUAGAGAUAAAAUUGUGAGAAUUAGACUGUGUGGUUCUCAUUGCACUUAUCACCAGACAGGAUUAGUUCCUCAAAUCAGGUAUUUCCUUCUUAUGGUCUAUUUAGCAUAUCCGACUUUAAAUCUAAACAGAGUUUAUAACUUCAACUACAAUUUUUACUUUAAAGAAUGAAAGGAGAGUUUUGAAGUGGAGGAGACAGCCUCAUAUAAAGCCCAUACAUCCUUUUAUGAUUUAUGUUCUGUGUGGAAAGGAGGAAGAGACCUAUGUACACUUAUAGACAUCAGUAAGUAAAUGUAAGGCCAAAUUAUAAUUGGGGAAAUACCACUUAAUAUAUAUUUUGAUUCUAGUAUAUAAAGAAAGGGAAAAGAUGGGACUAGACAGAAAGUCUCCUCUGUUAAUUGACUCAUUGCCAUUUAUGCCUCUCCCUUUUUUCUUUCCUUUUCUUCCUAUUUACUUCCUACCUAUCACAUGUGUCUGGAAGAGUGGAGGGAUAACCAGGAAGGGUAUAGGUACAGAAUCUUCUAACAUGUUCUUAUAUUAGCUACAGCAAAUGUGGGGGCAAGAGCCCCCACUGAUGACACUAGUGGUGAGUGAAGAAGUCAGGUGGGGUAAAAGAUUGAUGUUUGGCUUUUGAGAACUUGAUUUUUUCUAUGUCUAGAGGGAGAGGAAUAUUUAUGAUGGUAUUAAUUAGAAUUUCUACUGUAUAUCAUUUGUAGCUAUCAAGUAAGUGAGCUGUUUAGAACUUGCCCCCCUCAACCCUUACAAAUUGCUUAAUAAUAAAAAUAUCUCGGCUGGGCGUGGUGGCUCAUGCCUGUAAUCCCAGCACUUUGGGAGGCCGAGGUGGGUGGAUCACUUGAGGCCAGGAGUUUGAGACCAGCCUGGCCAACACGGUGAAGCCCUGUCUGUACUAAAAAUACAAAAACCAGCCAGGUGUGGUGGUGCAUGCCUGUUGUCCCAGCUACUGGAGAGGCUGAGGCAUAAGAAUCACUUGAGCUUGGGAGGCAGAGGUUGCAGUGAGCCAAGAUCACACCACUGCACUCCAACCUGGGUGACACAGCGAGGCUCUGUGUCAAAAUAAAUAAAUAAAUAAAUCUUUUGAAGUCUUAUUCUGUAAUUUGGAUUUGGCGGGACAAAUUCAUAUUUAUAAAAUCAUCCCUCUUAAAAUGAGUGGUAGAUUUUCACUUUGUCUUCUUCCUUAUUGACGCAUUCUCUUAAAACACUUUCUACUGCAAAAGAAAUUUCCUUCUUUCCUCAAGGGCUUAAAGAUACUUACAGCCUCCUCAGCUUGUCUCUUGUAUGAUUUCACCUUCGCCUGUAAUUUAUCUACCAAGUCCUGCAGCCUGAGAACAUUCUUGCGAUCUUCUUCAGUCUGAAAGUUUGAAAAAAAUAAUCUGCAUUCAUUCCGAAGAGAUAAGGCUACUCUGGGUACUAAAAUAAAAUCAUUUGGCAUGAUGGCAGGUGGGCCUGGGGUAAACUUGAUCAACUCUGAGAUUUUCUUCAUAGAAUUAACAGUAGCACUCUUGGUAAAUGUUUCCACUGUGCAGGUACUGUAUUAGAGAAUUGCACACAUCCUCUCCAGUCCUUACCUCCCCAUCCGGGAAAAUAGACACUGUUAUCUCUAUUUUACAGGUGAAGAAACUGAGGUUUAGAGUGUUAAGUUCAAGAAGCAAGAGAGGCCAAACUAGGACUAAUACCCAGUUAAUCUGCCUUUAAAAUCUGUGUUCUUUACUGUCAUGCUAUUUUCUAAACUUUAGAAAUCUGAAGGCCUCCCUAAGUUUUAGUAUAGGUCUGUGAUAAGCAACUGUCUUUACUCCUUACAUGUACCAAGUUAAUGCGUAUUUGUUUGUGAGUGGCAUAUAAAUAAAUAGUCAUAAGGUUUUCAAUUUCCUUCUGGGCAGGAAGAGUGGAUAUUCUGGAAGGCUAUUCCCUUUACCUGGUAGGUGAGUUCUUUUACUCGUCGCUCAUGUUUCCGUAAACCUUUAACAGCCUCUGCAUUACGUUUCUGUUCAUUUUCAACCUCUCCUUCAAGCUCACGUACCUGCAGCCAAGAAAAAUACUUACGCAGUCAGUCUUGGGGGAUAUUAAUUAGCCCAAGACCUACUGAAGGCAUGGGGUGGGUGUUCCCAGCCCCAGGACAGGAUGGGAGUCUUGUGUAGGAAGAGAGAAGGGUAGAGAGAGUGCCCUUUUUCCCUUCCCAGAUUUAGAGAGAUUGAGACACCCACCCUGGCCUCCAGUUUCUGGAUCUGCUUCUUCCCACCCUUCAGCGCCAGCUGCUCGGCCUCAUCUAGACGAUGCUGCAGGUCCUUCACCGUCUGCUCCAGGUUCUUCUUCAUCCGCUCCAGGUGGGCGCUGGUGUCCUGUUCCUUCUUCAGCUCCUCAGCCAUCAUGGCAGCCUAUUUAGGAAAUAAAUUAAGAAAGUAAUGAAACUUGAUGAUAGCAGGUGCAUACGUGUCAGUAGGCCAAAUGUUCAUCUUACAUCAGUGAUGGCCUUCUUGGCUUUCUCUUCUGCAUUGCGUGAUUCUUGGAUUACUUCUUCCACUUCACUUUGGAGUUGGGAAACGUCAUUUUCUAAUUUCUUCUUGGUGUUAAUGAGACUGGUAUUCUGUUAAAAGUAGUCGUGGAAAUUUACAAAAUUUGCAGUUUGCCCUCUUGGGAUUUUACAAGUGUCUUACUUGUUGGUUCGUGCAGGGGAUCUGCUGGCAACAUUUCACUAAACUUUAAUUAUUUGUUCAGUGGAAAAUGUUAAUUAUUUGCAAGGUAGGAACUCCUUUCCCCCAACUUCCCCAGUGUCCACCUGAUUUAUGCAUAAGGACUUCUGAGGUUUGAGAAUGCCUUUAUUGGCAUACAUUAGUUAAUUGUUCUUUUAAUUAUAUUUCAGUCAGACAUCACUAGUUAUUCUAUCUCUGGAAGGUUGGAAAUAGAAAAGAAUAGAUUCGUUUUGUGAGUGGCAGGCACUGAGAGUUUCUUGCUUUGAAAGAAUCUAUUCUCUCUGAAUUUUUAUGAUUUGUUCUGUCGGAGAGCACUGAAUUUGUCUUAUGAAAACAUGUUCUUAAGAUUUCAACUCAGUGUUUCUAGAGAGAAGCAAUAUCGUCUCAACAGGUAUUUGAAAAUGUUUAGGGGCAGAUAUUUUUGGUUGUCAAAAUGACUAGGGGGUGCUACUGCAUUUAAUGCCUGGGCAGGUUAGGAAUGCUAAAUGAGCUGUAAGGCAUGGGGACAGUGAACACAGCAGUGCUAAAUGCUUAAGUGCUACCAAUGAGAAACACUGCAUGGAACAUUUUCAGAUUUUGGAGGCAACAGGUAUCUUUACUCAAUAGUAUUCUACCUCAUGGUUUCCAAAAUAAUCUAAAUAGCCAAAUCUUAUUUUUAAAUAAAAAAGUAAUAGCUUUUUUUUUUUUUUUUUUUUUUUUUUUUUGGUGAGGGGUAGAAACCCCAAGAAAGAAACAGGAACACACACCAAAAAAACAAAAAAAAAUCACCCAUAAUCCACCAAUUACCCUAAGAUAAUAGCAAUGAGUAUUUUUGAGCAUAUCCCCCAUCCAUGUUUACAUACACAUAUUUAUACAAAUUGAGUACUUUCAUGUUAUAAUUCGAAUGCAUCAGCUACCAGUACACCAGCAUUUGUUUGAUGUGAGGGUCUCACCUGGGUGUGGAGGAGCUGGACACGCUCACUGGCAUCCAGGAGCUCCUGUUCGGCGAUUUUCCUGCUUCUCUCUGUCUGUUCCAGAGUGGCCCACAGCUCCUCGAUCUCAGCCUGCAGCAGGUUGGCUCUGCGCUCCACAAUUGCCAGCUGUUCCUUGAGGUCCUCCUGGCCCCGGAGAGCAUCAUCCAGGUGGAGCUGGGUUUCCUAAUAAGUGAAAAACAGAAAGGCCUUAAGUGUUCUGAAGAGGAUUUGAAGAUCCCAGGAGAUGAACUGGGAGAUUGUACUGGUGACAGGAACAGAAGAUGACAUAUGCCUGUCAUUUGAAUGCAUCUGAUUAUGGUUAGGUCAUUUGCUUAGGGUGAGAGAGAAUUAUCAGGAGACAUAGAUUCUUGUUCUAUUUCUACCAUUAACUGGUUACUGUGUCAUGUGUGAGUCACUAAUGUCUGUCAUUUGUGGAGCAGUUUCCAUAUGCUCUAUCAGGACUUGACAUCUGUUAUUUCAUUUGAUCUUCACAGUAACUCAGUGAGGUGGGUAGUUUCAUUCUUAUUUUGAAGAAGGAACAGAGGUUCUGAGAGGUUAAGUAAUUUGCUUAAAAUCAGGCAGCUAGUAAAUGACAAAACUAAGACUCAACCUCAGGCCUGUCUGGUGCCCAAGUCUGUUCACUUUCUUUCAUAUCAUACUGUAAUGCCUAGGCAUCUGUUUGUUCUUCUACAUAACAUUUUCUUAAAAAUAAUAUGUUCUAUGUGUAUUUAAUUCAGUUACCUUUGUGCGGUCAGCUGUAUAAUUUGUUAAGAGAAAAAAAGGAUCGUUUAACAAGGUGUUUGGGAAAUGGAAGACAGGUACUUUCCCUGCUUCAUCUGGGAGGCGAAUGUGGACCCGUUUACCUUCAGGAUUCCUUGGGUGUUCCUGUAGUUCCUUAAACUCUCUGCAGCUAAGCGAUUGGCAUGGUUCAGCUGGAUUUCCAUUUCAUUCAGAUCUCCUUCCAUUUUCUUCUUGACUCUCAGAGCAUCAUUUCUGCUUCUAAUCUCUGCAUCCAGCGUGCUCUGCAUUGUCUCCACGACUCUAGUGUGGUUUCUCUUCAGCUGGUCAAUUUCCUCAUCCUUUUCUGCGAUUUUUCUAUCAACUUCAGACUUGACUUGGUUUAACUCAAGCUGGAUACGCAGAAUCUUUCCUUCUUCAUGUUCAAGAGAUGCCUUAACAAAACAGUGAUCAAUUAAUAAUGGAGAAGAACCUGAGUAUUUGGAGUAUAUUCCCUCGUGAGCCAAACUCUUGUCAAUAUCAGUUUGUCUAAUUUUACAAAGUAUAAUACAGUAGUUCUGGGAAUCUUCUAGGUAAAUCAUUAUUUUGUUUAUUUAGUGACAGAUUAUAUAGGGCAGCUCUGCAAUAAAGGUGCAUUGUGCUAUACAAAUAUUGUUCAUAUUAAUACUAAUAAAAUUAUAUAAUUAAAUUCAUGUAUAGUAAAUAUAAAUUCUCAAUCUGUUUUAGAAAUUAAAAUGUUCUUGUGUGAUAUACUAGCCCCUGACCUAGAAACUAUCAGUUUUAAAAUGUUAAUUUUUUUUCCGAUUACAUAAUAAAUGUUCAUUGUAUAAUGUGGAGGCAAUACAUAAAACCAAAAGAAAACCUAGCUGUUGUUCCCCCAGUAAAGAGAAAAACAUUUUAAUAUGGUGUAUUUUUUCUAGUCUUUUUUCCUACUUCUAUAUAUUUUUACAUAAUCAAAAUUAUAUUGUAUAUGCAAAUUUGUGUCUUUAAAAUUACUGUCUACCGUAAAAUAUUUUUCCAAAAUAAUCAUAUUUCAUGGCUAUAUAAAAUUUCAUCACAUGACUGUUCUGUGAUUUGCUUACUUUUGUUCUUAGAUUGCACAUCUUUGCCUUAAAGCUUUACUCCAUUUGACAUCUUUUGGGUGAUAAAAUCUUAGAAAUAGAAUUGAUAGGUCAGAGUAUUUACAUUUUUAAGGAUUUUGAUAACUAUUGCCAAGUUGUCCUUCAUAAAGAUCCUGUGAGUUUAAAUUAUCACUAGCCCCACUUUUUUUUAACUGAUGUUUGUCUUUGUUUUUCCAUAACAUAAUACAAGGUAAUAUGUACCUCUGCUUCCUCUAAAGCAGCCUGAAUUUCACAUUUCUCUUGUUCUACUUGCUUCUUUAUUUUCUCCAAUUCAUGAAUUUGCUUUCCUCCCUCUGCAAUCUGCUCAGUGAGGUCAGAAAUCUCCUCUGUGGUUGAACAGACAGGAGAGAAAUGGUCAGAAAGAUGGCAACAUGGAAAGGUCCUCCCAGGGAUAUAUGGAGUAGGGAGGACUGUGAGGACUCACGUUGCAAGUUCUUAUUUUCUCUUCUUAGCGUUUCGAGUUGAUCCAGGGAUUCCUCAUAGACAUUCUUCACCUUGAACAGCUCAGUGCUAAGAGAACGUGACUCCUUCUGGGAGGCCUCAAGUUCAGCCUGAGUUUCCUCAUACUUCUGCUUCCAUUCUGAUAGGACCUGAAAAGCAAUAAAUCAUGAGUUGAUCCAAGGAGAAAGGAAGACCGAGUAAAACACUCUUAAAGUUUAAGCAGUCUGGGCCACCUUGUCAAAGUUCCUUUGCUUCUUAUCAAGGGCUGCACAGGCUGCAUUAGACCUUUCCACAUCAAGCAUGAGGUCUUCAACUUCAUUCUGGAGCCGCUGCUUCGUCUUCUCAAGGGAAGCACAUUUGGCGUUCACAGCUUCUACAUGUUCCUCAGCUUCUUGCAGGCGCUGGGCCAACUUUUUCCUGAAAAGUUAGCCAGGCAGUCAGGAGAAUGGCCAAGACCAGAAGCAAAGUGAUAACCUCCUUGGUCCCUUUUCACAGUCCUAUUUCUUUUCUUUUCUUUUGUUUCUUUUUUUGAGAGACGGAGUCUCGCUCUGUCGCCCAUGCUGGAGUGCAGUGGUGCAAUCUCGGUCACUGCGACCUCCCGGGUUCAAGCGAUUCUCCUGCCUCAGUUUCCCAAGUAGCUGGGAUUACAGAUGUGCACCACCAUGCCCAGCUAAUUUUUGUAUAUAUGUAUAUUUUUUUUUAAAUAGAGACAGGGUUUCACCAUAUGUUGGCCAAGCUGGUCUUGAACUCCUGACCUCAGGUGAUCCACCCGCCUUGGCCUCCCAAAGUGCUGGGAUUACAGGUGUGAGCCACUGUGCCUGGCCACGGUCCUGUUUCUAUACUGGCAAAUGGCAUAUGAUUUUCAAAACGGUGGCAGCCAGAACUGCUUUCUAGAUUGGUAAACUGUAUGGAAAGAUCCAAAGUGGUGAAGAGUUGGAAACAAGUCCUGGGAAUAUUAUAGAAUUCUAAGAGGCUGCUGUUAGUGCUGCCAUUGUAUGCGCCUUACUACCUAAGUAACUCAGGAUUUUCAAGACUUCUGAUUGAGUAUGACUGUGGAAAAUUAUUAGCCAGGACAAUCUUGUUGUUUGACUUAUAUAUCCAUUCUCACUCCAAUAUGGAUUUGAGGUUAACUAGAUAUUUUACUGGCCAGAAAUAUACUGAGCAUAUUCAUUUGCUUUCUCAGACUUUUCAUUCCAUUUUAUGUGUUUUUUUCCUAGAGAAUAGCCAGUUUCUUCUAAUCAUUAUAGUUGGACAAUCUCUCCUGGGAAAGAAACUGAUACAUAAAUCAGGACAAUUCGUGCAGUUUAAACAAAGGCAGGUUUUUUUUCCCUCCUGAAUUCUCUACAUUCUCAGUUCAUUUUCAGUUGUGUGCCAAGUACACAUCCUUAUGGUAGUGAAAAACCUUUGGCUUGAUGCCCAGGGAGAUCUACUUGAAGGUCUCCGUUUGUCUAUAUGCAGACUAAGGCUUCACUUUAUUUAGGCCAACCCUAAACAUUAUGUAUGGUUUGGUGGCCUCCAACAUGAGUUUUAAGAGGUAUGUCUUCUACUCAGUGCUUAAGAAGGUGGGCUGUAGAAUCAGAAUGACAGGCUCCAAACCCAGCUGUAUCAUUUAUUAAGCAGAUACUUUUGGGUUAGUUGGUUAACAACUUACAGCCUCAACUUCCUCAUCUGUAAAAUGGGGAUUAGAAUAAUGAUACCAAUAUAAUAUUGUUAUGAAGGUAAAUAAGCUGAUAUACAUGCAUACAUUAUAUAUAUAUAAUACUUGACACAGUAUGCACUCAAUAAAUGUUAGCUUUUGCUAUUGUUAUGUUAUCAUCAUCAUAAAUAUCACAGCUGCUUCUGGGAGUUCCUCUUCUAGAGUUCACAGCACAUACUUGGCCUCCUCCAGCUCCUCUGUGCGCUGGAUGGCAUCCGUCUCGUAUUUGGUUCUCCACUGGGCAACCUCACUGUUGGCCUUGGACAGCGCCCUCUGCAGCUCAGCUUUGCCUUCCUGCUCUUCCUCAUACUGUUCCCGCAGCAGGUCGCAGUCAUGGCGGGAGGACUGCAGGGCGUGUGCCAGGGCGUUCUUGGCCUGCAGAAGUAGCAGUUCAGUGACAUAAAUUCAUGUAUUCAGUGAUAUUUAACUUACACAUCCCAAGUAGAGCCUAACUGGGCAGGUUUAGAUUUGGUUAGUCAAAAAAAUCCUUGGCAAAACUCACUUUAGUUUCUUCCUCUAGUUGAUGUUUCAGCUCUUCAAUCUGCUGAGUAGAUGCUUGCUUGCUCCUUGAAAGCUGAGAGACUAAAGCAUCUUUCUCAUCUAAUUGUCGAGAAUAUUCACCUAGGAAUAAUAGACAUAAGGGAAUUUUUUACUGGCAUAAAAAUAAGCCUAAACCUUUUACAUUUAUAUAUGUGUGUGUGUAUAUAUAUAUGUAUAUAUGUGUGUGUGUAUAUAUAUAUAUAUAUAUAUAUACAAGUUGUAUAUACCUUACCUGAAAUGCUUGGGACCAGAAGUGUUUCAGAUUUCAGAUUUUUGUUUGAUUUUAGAAUAUUUGCAUUACACUUGCCAGUUCAGCAUCCCUAAUCCGAAAAUCUAAAAUCUGAAAUGCUGCAGUGAGCAUUUCCUUUGGACAUCAUGUCAGCCCUCAGUUUUGAAUUUUGGAGCAUUUCAGAUUUUUGAUUUUCAGAUUAGGGAUACUCAACCUGUGUGUGUGUGUGUGUGUCUGUUUGUGUGUGAUGUGUUUAAUCUACACUUCAUCUGCUUCUAAGUAUUUUUUUAGCACUGGUUAGAACCGGAGAUUUAAAAGCAGCAUUGCCAUAGAAGUGUUGUAAGUAAACUUGUCUGCUCAGUCUUGACUUCUUUCCUUUUUGACCUUCUUAGCAAACUCUGAUCAUUUGUUUAUCUUUCUCUAAAGUGGGAAUAUUGCUAUUUAUUAGAACCCCUAGAAUCCAUUUUAUUUAGUCCAUGGUGUUGGGACCCAGAGAAGAUGUCUUUACCCGCUUCUGUCUGCAGGCGCGCUCUCUGUGCUGUGAGGUCAUUGAUCAGCCGCUGCUGCUCCUCUUCCUUGGUCUUAAGCUCACUCACUUGAUCUUCUAGAGAGCGGCACAUCUUUUCAAGGUUUCCCUACAGGAUAUGUAGCAAUGAAAGAUGAGACAUUGAAUGCAAUAAAAAGGUUAAAACUUGAUUCUUAAAAUAUUUGUAGAGUAAAUAAAUUCAUGUCAAGUGUGAGUAGAAAGUUAGGACAUCAACUCUGUGGAACAUGCAAGAAUUUAGGCAUGGCGAGUGCAUAGUGUGCCUAAACUGGUCAUUGUUGGAGACCAUUUAUUCCAAUGAUAUUGACGCUUGCUUAAAGUGGAUUUUGAAAUCAUCUUAAUAGGCCGGGCGCGGUGGCUCAUGCCUGUAAUCCCAGCACUUUGGGAGGCCGAGGCGGGCGGAUCAUGAGGUUAGGAGAUCGAGAGCAUCCUGGCUAACACGGUGAAACCCCGUCUCUACUAAAAAUACAAAAAAUUAGCUAGGCGUGCUGGCGGGCGCCUGUAGUCCCAGCUACUGGGGAGGCUGAGGCAGGAGAGUGGCGUGAACCCGGGAGGCGGAGCUUGCAGUGAGCCGAGAUUGCGCCACUGCACUUCAGCCUGGGCGACAGAGUGAGACUCCAUCCCCCCGCUCCAAAAAAAAAUCAUCUUAAUCGAUCAUAACCAGCAUUUUAAAAAAUACCAUAGAAUGGGAUAUAUUUGGUUAGAAAAUAUUUGAGUAGUGCUGUAAAAUGCCUGCAAACAAUGUUUAGUGAUAGAGAAUAAUGGGUGUUCUUACAGAUGAUUACCUUCAUUUAGAGACAGUAUUGGGUACCUUGGCUUUGGAAAUGGCCUCUGCGUUACUGCUGAGGUCAUCAGUCUCCAUCUUCAGCUCACUCUUCUCCUUCUCCAGCUUCUGUUUGACCCGCUGCAAGUUGUCAAUCUGCUCCCCAAGCUCAGCCAUACUGUCUGCGUGCUUCUUCCGAAGAGCAGCCACCAUAGCUUCAUGCUGCAGGGUGGCCUCCUCCAGGUCCCUGCGCAGUUUCUGAAACUCAGCCUCCCGCUUCUUGUUCAAUUCCACCUGAGCAGAAGUUGCCCCACCGGCUUCUUCCAGCCUCUCGCUGAUCUCCUCCAGUUCCCGGGAGAGGUCAGAGCGCUGCUUCUCCGCUUUGGCUCGGGACGCCCUCUCUGCCUCGAUUUCUUCCCCCAGCUCCUCAAUGCGGGCCUGGGAAUGAAAGAAGCACAUAAACAUAAACUCAUCUCAACUUCAGUGUUUUUUUGGUGUGCAGAAAAAAUAGAGGUGAGAUGACUCACCUGCAACUCUUUGAUCUUCUUCUGUAGUUGAAUUUCUACAGCUUGCUCAUCUUCAAUUUUGCUUAUCAAAUUGCUGAUUUCAAAUUCUUUCCUUUAGACAGAAGAGCAAGACGUAUUAAUACUCAUGUGAAUUGAAAGAUGAUAUCACAUAGAAGUUUUUUUCUAAAAGGCUCCUACUUUUCAAGCUUUUCAUCAAGUUGCUGUUUGUCAUUUUCCAUAUCCAUUGUGGAUUCUUGGGCCAAUUUGAGGUCACCCUCCAGUUUCCGCUUUGCUCUUUCUAGAUCCAUUCGAAGCUUCUUUUCUUGUUCCAGAGACCCUUCAAGCUAAUAAGAAAGUAAAUAUGGUAAAAAUUGAAAGUAUAUAUUUUUAAAAAAAUCUUUCAAAGGGAUAUUUAAAAUGUGCUUACAUCAUCCACUUGCUGUUCUAGCUUGGUUUUAGCUUUGGUCAGGAUGUUGACUUUGUCCUCCUCUGCCUGCAGGUCAUCCAGGGUCUGCUGGUGGGUCUCUUGGAGAGCCUUCUUCUCCUUGGACAGUUUUGCAAUGGUUUCAUCCAGGCCUGCCAUCUCUUCUGUAAGAUUUUUCACCUACAAAGGUUAAGAAAGAGAUUAUUUCUCCUAUAAAGCAAUUUAGUUGGUGGCAGAACCUCUAUACAGUAUUGUAAAAUAUGACUGAUACCUUGUUCUCCGUGGCAUGUUUCUCCUUCUCAACCUUGGCCAGUGUCAGCUCAAGGUCAUCAAUGUCUUUCUUGAGUUCUGAACAUUCAUCCUCCAGUUUUCUCUUCUUGGCUGUCAGCUCAGCAUUGAUCUCUUCCUCCUCCUCAGCUCUUUCAGUCACCUCUUUGAUUUUGGCCUCAAGUUGGAUUUUGUUUUUAAUCAGUUGCUCACACCUUUCCUCUGCAUCAGCCAAGCUAUCUGCUUCCUAUGGAGAGAUUCAUUCAGAUACUUAGAGUCUGUUACUUAUUUUGAAACUUGGUGUUUUUUUUGCGCAAAAAUAAUAGUGUUUUAUUGAAUUCUGUUGAAUUUUUCAGUAUGAAUAUAAAUUUAAUUUAAUCGAACAUUAUUACAUGGUCUGGAGAAAUGCAGCUUAUUGGAAGUGAGACUAUAGCUUUAGAAGCAAACUAGUUUGCAAAGUUAUUGGAUUGGAGCUAUUGAUUAUUUAAAAAAUAAUUUGUAGAAGAGUGGAAAGACCUCUAAAUCGGGCAAAAGGAAGCCUGGGUUCUUGUCCCAAUAUUGUUUGCAUAUGUAUGACUUUGGGCAAAUUGCUUUAUUCCUUUCAUUCUCAAUUUUGUGUAUAUAUAUAUAUGGGUUGGAAUAAAUGAUUGCCAAGAGCUUUUCAGCUGUAAUAUUUAAAGAUUUUGAUUUAGUUAAAUUGGUUAGUUUUGGUUUUGAUCAUUCCCUGUCCCCCUCAAACCAAUAAUUGCUAGGCUGUAUUGAAGAAAGAAAAAGAAGAAAAAUAAUUUAAAUACAUUUCCAUGUAGUAUUUUUUAAUACACUAAAACCUUCCUGGUAGUUCAUACAGUGCUAUAAUUGUUCAAAAUUUACAUUUCCAUUUACAGAAUUACCCAUUAGUCUUAAGGUGAAUUUUAUUUUUUGGAACUUUUACCCCAACUUUUAUUUUGAAAACUGUUAAACUUACCGAAUAGCUGUAUGAAUAAUACAAUAAAUUGCCAUAUACCAUUUACCUAAAUCCUCGUAUUUUUAACAUUUUACUGUUUUUUCUCUCUCUAAACACACACAUAGACACAUAUAUAGGCACAUGUGCACGCACACACACACACACACUCUCCUAAAUCAUUUGAAAGUAAAUGGCAGAUAUCAUAUUUUAGCAUUUCUCUCCUAAGGACAUGAACAUUCUCCUAUAUAACUACAAUACUGUUAUUACAAAUGAAAAUAUUAAUCACUGAUACAAUAAUAUUAUCUAAUAUACAGUCUAUAUUCAGAUUUCCCCAGUGUAACAAAAAUGUUCUUUAAGUUUUGUGGUUUCAUUGUUUCAUUUUUAUACACAACAUGGGCAAUAGGCCUAAACUGCAACAUAAUUUUCAGAGAGUUGUACCAUUGACUAGGCUAGAGGUUCUCAUGCCCAGGACAAUUCUAGUUAAGGAAAGAUUGAUGAACUGUUCUUAGCCCUUUCUGCUUUUGUGUUUUUGUUUGCUUUUGUUUUCCCAUUCCCUUCUAAAUCUGGUUAAUGUGGAAAGUCUAUGUUGAGCCCCUGAAAUUUUGAAAAUGUUCAAACCCAUAUGUCAAGUUAGGAAAAAAAAAUAGAAUGAACAGUGAUAUGUUAUGAACCUAGAUUUACCAGUUGCUAAGUUAUGCCACAUUUGCCUUGUCCAUUCCAUUUGUGGCCCUCUCCCCUCUCCCAAUAAUUAUCAAAAUGAAUUUUAGAAUAUAUGAGAAAAUGUAAUUCUCAGAAACUGUAUAGCUCAAUAAAGUUUUUAUAAGUGACUAAUGAAAGGAUUCAAAUAAAAAUCAAUCCAGUCUAAUUUAUUAGGUUACCUUGGCCUGGGGAAUAUUUUUUAACUCCCAGUGUUUGUUUUGUUCUUGAGUUUAAAAAACGUUUAAAUGGAAUAUAAUGGGAACUUAUUGGGGGAUUCUUUUCUUUUUUCUUUUUUUGAGCUUUACUGCUUAAUAUAUUUAUUUUUAAUAGUGAUACACUCAAUACAUAUUUACUCACUGACUAAUGAUAACUGUGAAAAGAUGGUAAGAUAGAGAGGCUAUGGUCCUGUGCUUUUGGAAAAAUGUAACCUUCAUAUAAAUGAAGGUAUCAGAAGGAAAAAUUGAAAGUUGCUGAAAAAAAGUGGGAAAACUAUCCUUUUCACAGGUUAGUUUAUGAUAUUGUUAGGUUUGCUGAACCAAGGAAAUGGGAGGUUACCUUUGACCAAAGUGUUCAUGCCAAACCUACUCCCCACCCCAACUGCCCCUCCUUCCUGCACCAAUAAACAGACUCUAGGAACUAGAGAUUUGUAUCAGAGGAAGAAUCAGGAGGACACAUUGCUCUGCCUGACAUGCUGGUAGUUCAGUUCCAUUAAAUACAGAUAGAUUUAUUGAGCUAAAUCUUGGGGGUUGGGGAAAGGAGAUACAGAAAUAAAUAAGUUUGAAUUUAAAUACAAUCUCAUAGACUUGCAUUUAGAAAAUAGAGCUAUACUUUUAAUGCUGGGCUAAAGUAGCCCAGGCAAAGGGGUAAAAUAUUUGACUGAGACUUGGGGGAUUGGCUUUAAGCUACUUCCUUCAUGGCUGUUAAAUUUUGUGAUAUUAUUUAAACAAAUUCUUCAAUCUUUCCUUUUCCCAUUGUAACUUGGAAAUAAUUGUGCCUUUUCUUCCCCAUAGAAUACUAAAAGAUAAAUGAGGUAUUAAAAACAGCAACUUGAGAUUUUUUUUCAAGUAGAGAUCAUUUGUAAAUCCAAAGUAUAUGUGUGUUUCAAAAAAGCUUCAGUAACAUGGUGCAUUCAGAAUAUGGAGUACUCACAGAUUGAACCUGGAGUUGCAGGUCAUUUUUCUCUUUUAAGAGAGUGACCAUUUUUUCCUCUAGCUCCUUCCGUUUUGCCUCUGACUUGGCGAGUUCAUCUUUGGUUUUCUGGAAUUCUUCCUUCAUGGUGGCCAUCUCUUUCUCGGUCUCUGCACUCUUGAGGAGGGGCUUAAUCUUGAAAAAGAGUUUCAUCCAGGGCCAGUGCUUGACGUUCAUGAAGGCACGGACAUUAUACUGGAUGCAGAAAAGUGCUUCUCUGCGAUGACAUGAAAAUAUCAGUGUAGACUAAUCCAUCAGAGCCAAUGUUAUUGUUACUUAUCACACACAAAUUUCCCUUUUAAUGAAUGCCGCUCACAAAUAAAUAUGUCACAUUCUCUAUAUAUUAUAUGCAGGCUUUACACACACACACACACACACACACAUGUACACACAUUCUCGCGCUCACACUCAUGGUCAGUAGCCCUCAGUAUAACCACUUUGCUAAUAUGAGUACGGUUCAUAUUGAGCACAUCUUCUGUGUUCUCAAUCCCUAUCAAACUAGCCAAGAGAGUGACUUUAGGGGUGAAUAUUUUGAAUGUAUGAUCAGCACAUACCAUUUGACAUAUGACAGUAUUAGUGAUUUGAGGGUGGGCAUGGUGAUUGCAUGUUGAUUGUGCUGCCUGUCUGUGGGCAUAUGGAUGAGAACUGUGAAAUGACAUAGGUUGCCUUCUGAAUGGCCCACCUAAACUGAGCGAAUGAUUUGUCAUCUCUUCCUUGAAGUUGCUCCUCUUAUUUUGAACAACACUGAAUUAUCCACUCUAUAAACUUUUUUUGCUAGCUUCUUCAGAUAAUACACUGGCUUAUCUCAAAUUCUUUCAAGUGCCUCAGUCUUAACUGAUUAAUUGGAUUGUUAAUAUUUGCGAGGCAUUCAGCAUCUGUUGAGCUCUAAAAUUUAUUUUAUUGAAAUAAAGUGAAAAAUAGUAAUAAAAGGUACCCCUACUGCAAACUAUAGCCAUAGACUGGCUAGGUUUGACUACUUGUAGCAAUGUGUAUGUUUCUUCAAGCUUGUUAAAAUGGAAAUUCUAUCUCUAUAGGUCCAGUUUUUAAGACUUGUAACUCUAUGAAAGCAGAUACCUUGACACAAACCAUAACGUUCACACAUGGGAAAGACUCAGGAACACUUCCAGUGCAGGCCUAAAUGAUUACAGAUAAGAAAAAUGAAUGCACAGUGUGUGUGUAAGUAGAGGGAAUGCAAUAGUGUUGGGUAGAUAAACUGGGUGAGAUUAGUUACAGAAAGGGGAAAUUAAAGUUUUAAAUUGGUAAAUAGAUAAAUUAGGAUGAGGGGAGAGAUGAGAUAAGAAGAUAAGCAAAUGAGAGAUUAGUAGAUAAGCAAAUUGUUUAGCCUGGCUGGAAAAGGCUAUGUGCUUGGAAAUGAUAGAUGAGGUGGGGAAUAGAGAGGGCCUUGACAGGCAAGCAAGCAACUAGCUUGAUGAAAAUACUGCUUACUGCAAACUAUUCCUGUGGCUGUAUGUGAGAUGGCUGGAGGUAGGAGAGAAGUUUUGAAAGGAAUCCAAGUGUGAGAGCUGAAGCAAAGGCUGCUGUGUUGUAGGAGUGAGUUCUGAAUUGGGUGAGAGGAACUAUUAGCCACCAAAUGAAAGAAUUAAUGAAUGAACAAGACUGAUUGAUAGUCCUUAAGGGACCUUAUAAUUCUGAUAUUCUGAAUGAUUGUUACCUCCUUUGCAACAUCUUCUGAUAUUCUACCCUCAUUAGGAAUCCCCUACAGACAGCUUGUGUUCUUGUUAUAAUUUGGGCUAAUUUUUCAUCUCUCAUUUCUUCCAGAAGACCCAGAAGUCCAGCUUUGAAGAAAACCUGGAGAAAGAGAGAGUCACAAAUCAUCUCCAUACUGCAGGAGAUGCAGAAAUGGCAGAAGGUACUUGGAUCAGGUGUAAAUAAAUAACGAUAUACCUUGGUAUGUCCAAAUUUAUAUUGAGUAUGAUCAAUAUCAAUAGAUGCAAGAAGUUUCUCAGAAGCCUUCUUGCUGUCAAUGAACUGUCCCUCUGGAAUAGCACUUGCAUUUAAAACCUUGUAUCUGCUCAGUUAAAGAAAGAAAGAAUGGUUAGGAAAAUGUGACCACAUGCCAACAAAAUGACACCAAAAAGAAAUAUCAACAAACAUCUGAGAGUAGAAAUAAAAGUGGAAAAUCCAACUGCCGUUUAAGGACAGAUAGUAAAACAAUAUGAUUUUCUGUUGCAUGCCUGCUUCCUGUUAUCCUUCUAACCUGUUGUAUUAUCCUACCACCACAAGACUAUAUUAUUCGACUUCUUAAUUUUUUAAUACAUACUAAUUCACAGUGUUAAUGAAAUACAUCAAAGAAGACUGACCUUUGUUUGAAAUCACCAUAUAAGAUUCUGCUUGGGAAUCCUUUCCUACAGAUGCGGAUGCCUUCCAGCACACCAUUACACCUCAGCUGGUGCAACACAAGUUCAUGUUCCAUUGCCCCUAAAAAUAUAGAACAGUACUUAUUAGUGGGCAUUUAACUUUCAAACCUGUGCCCGUUUGAUUAUUUCACUCUCUGUGUCUUACCAGGAGUUUUGGUUUCAUUGGGAAUGAUACACCGUACGAAGUGAGGGUGUGUGCUCCUCAGAUUCGUCAUCAAUUUAUUUAAAUUUUCCUAGAAAACCAGACAGAAAGGACUUGAUGAAAAAGUUCUAUUUCAGGUUGUUUUUUGUAAUUAUAUGGAAUGAACCUAGACAGUCCUUUAACUACUAGGCAUGCAUCUGUGAGGCUUCAAUUGCUCUGUAUUUUGAGGGUCUCAAGAGUUCUAGCCUGCCAAAUAACAAAAAGGCCAAAGUGGUUGGAAGGAAUGCACAUCUCCAAGGUAUUCCUUUGUAACACCAGGGAUCUGUCUCAUAAACAAAUUGCAAUUCAGUAACCUUGUGAUGUACAAGGAAGGGUUCUCAACCGAGAAUCACAAGACAAAACAUGAUGGCUUUGCUAUGCCACUAAUGAACUGCCUGACUGUAUAAAAUCCAUUUUUUCUCUGGGCAUUAUCUGAGAAUAGUUGAGAUUGUUUGUGAGGUCUCUUUCAUCUCUCUCAGUGCUAAUAAUUUUCACAGUAGCAGUUUACAGUGGUAACCUAAGUUAGCAAUUGUCCUAACUUUUGCCUUUCCUUCCUUGAGUGUAAUAUUUCCUGGGACCUCUUACCCUCUUGUUUUCUUUUGAUUUUUGAAGAGUCUAAAAUUGUGAAACUGGCCAGGCAUGGUGGCUCACGCCUGUAAUCCCAGCACCUUAGGAGGCCAAAGCGGGCGGAUCAUGAGGUCAGGAGUUCGAGACCAGCCUGGGCAACGUAGUGAAACCCCAUCUCUACUAAAAAUACAAAAAUUAGCCAGGUCUGGUGACGGGUGCCUGUAAUACCAGCUACUUGGGAGGCUGAGGCAGGAGAAUUACCUGAUACCAGGAGGCAGAGUUUGCAGUGAGCUGAGAUUGUGUCACUGCACUACAGCCUGGGUGACAGAGCAAGACUCUGUCUCGAAAAAAAAAUAAAUAAAUAAAAUAAAAUAAAAUUAUGAAACUAUAUAACCUUGGGUUGGUGGGUGUUGGGUACCUGAGACUAGAUAUACUCUUAAGAAGGCAGAUUUUUUUUUUUUUUUUUGACAGAAUCUCGCUCUGUUGCCCAGGCUGGAGUACAGUGGUGCAAUCUCGGUCCACUGCAACCUCUACCUCCUGGGUGCAAGCGAUUCUUCUGCCUCAGCCUCCCGAGUAGCUGGGACUAUAGGCGUGCACCACUAUGCCCGGCUAAUUUUUAUAUUCUUAGUAAAGAUGGGGUUUCACCAUAUUGGCCAGGCUGGUGUUGAAUUCCUGACCUCGUGAUCUGCCCGCCUCAGCCUCCCAAAGUGCUGGGAUUACAGGUGUGAGCCACUGCGCCCGGCCAAGAAGGCAGAUUUUUUUUCCCACAGCUCAGUUAACCAUUAGGAAAUGAAGAAAAUAAGUAAUGUGAGUUCCUAAUUUUGAAAACAUGUAUGAAAACAAGUUGAUAAAACAAAAGUCUAUUUGGUAAGAUAAUGCAAAUUGGUUGUGAGAAAGAAAAAGAACAAGAGUAGUUUUCUUGUUUAGAUCAUAGGUCGUAUGUCGUGUCUGUAUUUUAGUUUUAUAAGGAAUGAGACUUAGCCAUACACAUUUUGAUUAAAAAGCCAUUAUUAGUCCAUAUAUAAGAACAAGUUUUUAAGCUACAUAGGAAAAUCACAUUACUUUGUAGUGAAAUUAUUAUUCUUUAAUCUCAAGAGAUAUUUCGUAUCUUAAUGAUCCAUUUAAGUCACUGGGCUUGGCUUUAGAUGAUUUUCAGCUGUAAUGAAAAAUUAAAUUCACCUCAGAGGACAAAGAUAUGUUUUGGUGAAAGAUGUUAUGAAGAGUGUAUCUGAGGCUCAUUCUCAAAGAGGAACUCAGGAACAUUUUCAAAGGGCAGCAUUCAAAGCGGAAUAAGAAUAUGACCUUCCACAGGGACAGCUUUGAAGUUUAGCUAUACUUCUUUAGAAAUCAGCCUCAUUAUAUAAUGAGAAAGUUUCUAAGGGCAUUUUGGCAAUCCUGAAUACAUUAGAUAAUCGUAAUAAGGAAUAAUGGGUAAAGCAUCCGUUCCUACAGGAGUAGUAUUUCUUUGGCUAUACUCUGACGAGAGCUGAUAUUUGAAGUGAUUCCUAUUAACAUUUUAUUGCCUCAUAAUUUUUUCUAAAUCCUUAAUUAUGAUAAUUCAUAGAAACUGAGUAGAUAUUUCAAAUUAAAUUUGUACUUUACCCUGAAAAGGGCAGACACAGUCUGGAAAGAAGAGCCCUUUUUCUUAGCACCUUUCUUCGCGCUGCUAUCUGAGGUAAAAAGAAAACCCGUGAAUAAGAAUAGAAUACCAGAGGCUUAUAUGAACAUGUAUUAUAACAUUAUGUGAGAAUGGAUUUAAUUUAGAUUAAGGACACAGAAAGUACCUGCUUCAGCACUAGCAUACGUGGAAAAGAGACUGGCUAGAGUCUUCAUUGCAGACUUCUGGUACAGCCCAACCACAGUAUCAUUCAGGGGGUCCUUAUUUUUGUCCAGCCAGCCAGUAAUGUUGUAGUCCACAGUGCCAGCAUAGUGAAUCAGAGAGAAGUGGGCCUCAGCCUUGCCUUUGACCACCUUGGGCUUCUGGAAGUUGGCAGACUUGCCCAGGUGCUGGUCAUACAGCUUGUUCUUGAAGGAGGUGUCCGUUGCCUUAGGGAACAUGCACUCCUCUUCCAGGAUGGAGAAGAUGCCCAGUGGCUGAAUUCAGAAAAGUAACAUUGGUGUCAACCUAACUUCUCUCAAAAGAUAGAGACAUGGUGGCUGUCAUUUGAUUGAAUUAUGAGCACCCCAAUUAAAUAUAUGUAUGAAAUAAACCAGGGUCACAGCUCGAAGAAGUCCCUUGUUAUCACUAGAAUGACUUUUCCACUAUUCUUCUCACAUUCAAUCUGUAGCAUUACUUUCAAUUAAAAGAAUAGCUGGAUACAAACUUCCUCAACACCGCAUGUUAAAAUGUUAUGUAUUAUUAUACUUUUUUCCUAUUCAGUGAAUAAAUCUAUUGUCAGAGUUUUUCUUCGUUAUGAAAAUAGCUUACUGACUUAUGAUGUUGACUCUAUGCAGUAAUUAAACAGUAUAAACAACCAAAUUUUAUUCAAGAUAUUUUGGGUAUUUAAUUUCUUUAAAAUAGAUUAUAGGCUGAGCACAGUGGCUCAUGCCUGUAAUCCCAACACUUUGGGAGGCCAAGACAGGAGGAUCACUUGAACUCAGGAGUUCAAGACCAGCUUGGGGACCAUGGCAAAACACCGUCUGUACAAAGAAUACAAAAAUUAGCUAAGCAUAGUGGCACAUGCCUGUGGUCCCAGCUACUCGGGAGGCUGAGGUGAGAGGAUCGCUUGAGCCUUGGGGUUGAGGCUUCAGUGAGCUGUGAUUGCACCACUGCACUUCAGCCUGGGCGACAGAGUGAGGCCCUGUCUCAAUAAAUAAAUAAAUAAAUAAAUAAAAUAGAUUAUGAAGUAGCGUAUGCAGUUUGACUUCUUGACUUUGAACAGAUUGGCUUUCAUGAAAGCACUAACUGUGUCAUGUGUGCAUUAAUUUUUAUAUAGAAAAAUAUUUUUAUUGUGGACAUCAUGGAUCAUAAUGGAGAUAGAUCAAGAACUAAUGAGGACAGUAGUUGUAGUAAAGCAGAACAUCUCAAAUAGAGUUUUCAGUGCUGUGUUAAAGUUGGAUUUGAUCCAGUGUCAGAAUAAGAAUGGUUAGAACAGAAUAAAAGUAAACACUGUCAGAUCUUUCUUAUGUAGAAGUUAAAAAGAGGAAGUAAUUUCUAAAUAGUAAUUUUCCAGUUUGUUCAGAUCACAAACCAUUUGAGAUUACAGUAAUACUUUCUAGAAUUGCUUAAGAUUUCUGGAAAGUGAUCCUCACAGUCUGCCCUUCUUUGGAAACCAAACCGACCUUCUCAAUGAGCUCAAUGCAGGCAGCCAGGUCCAUCCCAAAGUCAAUGAACGUCCACUCGAUGCCUUCCUUCUUGUACUCCUCCUGCUCUAGCACAAACAUGUGGUGGUUGAAAAACUGUUGCAGUUUCUCGUUGGUGAAGUUGAUGCACAGCUGCUCCAGGCUGUUAAACUACACAAAAUAAUAGAGAUUUCCAACAUCAAAUGAGUUUUAUAGUAGUAAAAUUCAUUACUGAAAAAAUUCUUUUAUUGAAAAAAUGUGGAAUGUAGUAAUGAGAUACAGUUAAAACUAACGUUGCUCCCUCAAAAAAUGAUCAUUGGCCGGGCACGGUGGCUCACACCUGUAAUCCCAGCACUUUGGGAGGCCGCGGUGGGUGGAUCAUGAGGUCAAGAGAUUGAGACCAUCCUGGCCAACAUGGUGAAACUCUGUCUCUACUGAAAAUACAAAAAAUUAUCUGGGUGUGGUGGCGUGCACCUGUAGUCCCAGCUACUCGGAAGGCUGAGGCAGGAAAAUUGCUUGAACCCUGGAGGUGGAGGUUGCAGUGAGCUGAGAUCGCGCCACUGCACACCAGCCUGGGUGGCUGGGCGAGACCCUGUCUCAGAAAAAAAAAAAAAAAAUCAUUAUUCACGUGAGCCUUUCUCAUGAAUCCCAGGCAUUGUUGAGGGUCCCAGAUAUCAAUGUUAGAACAAGAAUUCUGGUAGAAUUUACCUUUUCUCCUCUAAGAUUGCAUGGGCAAGAAUAUACUUUAAAAGUUCAACCAUGGUCCUGUGUUAUGGUUUCGAUUCAAAGGUAAAAGGGAAAGGAGUUGAUUGGAAAUUCUCACUUCUUUCACCACUCCCACUCUCCAAUUCAAAAUAAAGUUCACAUUUUCACCUUUGGCUGUUACAUUAUUAAGGAAAGCUGAUCUUAAGACCUUUAAUAUAAAGGUCUUGGUGUAUAAAGUGAAAUCAUUAGGGUAAUUUCUCUUCUAUUUAUAUCAGACAUUUAGCAAAUCCCCCUCGUCAGGUGUGUGAAAGCAGGGACCUGAUAUAGUAUAGCAGUUGAAGAUCUAAAAGGUCUUUGUAAUAAUUUACUCCUUUAUUUUAUAGAUGGUGAACUGAUGCCCUGGAGGUAAAAUAGUUUAUGUAAGACAAAUCUGGAAGAGGAGAGACAGACUAUCAUCUGUCUCUAGGCUUCUACCUUUGGGCCUUUUCUUCUCUAUGAAGAAGCCUUGUGUAUGGAUCAAAUGCUGUAGAUCUGGGUUGCUGUCCUGGAUUUGUCUUAUGCACCUGUGGGAUCUUUAGCUAGUGUUUUGAUUUCCCUGCAUCUUAGUUUCUUCUAUAUAAGUUGGGGGAAUAUUAGCUACUCCUUGGGUUGUUUUGAAGAUUAAAUAUGGUAACGUUUUGAAGUCCCUAGUGUACACUGCUGGCCCAGUGAGCGUUAGCUAUUAUUAGUAGUACAUUAUGUUACCUCCUAUUUUGGAGAUAACCUUUGUUCUAGGUGCAGUGUUGGAGCAAGUAAUAUGGACGCUAUAAAUGUGGAUGAAUAAUGAUAAUACCUAAUAUAUCAAAGCCCACAAUUGCCUCCUUCUUAAUUCUUGUUAAUAUAACUCACAUCAAAGAUUUCAAAGCCAGCAAUGUCCAAGACCCCGAUGAAGUACUGCCUGGGCUGCUUGGUGUCCAGCUGCUGGUUGAUGCGGGUGACCAUCCACAGGAACAUCUUCUCGUAGACGGCUUUGGCCAGAGCACCCACCGCAUUGUACACCUUCACAGAUAGAGUAAUGUUUGUUGGUAUUGUUAAAGACAUGCCAUGAAGGCCUGAGAUGUGUGUGAUUCAUUGAGGUCAUGCACUUACCUGCUGCACAGUCUGGCCUUUGGUGACAUACUCAUUGCCAACCUUGACCCUAGGGUAGCAGAGGGCUUUGAGUAGGUCUGCAGAGUUCAGACUCUGGAGAUAGGCUGCCUUGUCAGCGACUGCAGAGACACAGUUCAGGACAUGUUGUUUCAUGAAGGAUAUCCUCUUUUACCUAAUCUUUCCAUUUUUCUCCAAUUCAAUCUAUUAUUUAAAUAAAAAGCUUAAAUAAUUCUAUAAAAGGCCAAAUGAGGUUUUCUAACCUUAGAGCAUGUGGUUGCCAGUAAAUGGUUGAUUGGUUAUACUGAUCUUUAGUGAUUUAUUUCAAGUAGUUUUUAAGAAAUUUUUCAUCAACUGUAAACAUAUGUAGUAUUUAUUGCCGUCUUGCAGUUUUUUGUAAGUAAAAGCCAUAGUCCCUGUUUUUAAGACACAUUAGGUGUAGUUGGAAGGAUAAGAUAAAUAUUCACUGUUAGAGAGGGUAAAAGUCAGAAUAUUUUGAUUCUUAUCUUAGUUUUUCACCUCCCUAUUAAACCUUGCUGGAUUAAUUUCUUUAUCUACAAAUGUGGAGAUUAAAAUUUACUGCAUGAUCCCUACAGAAUCCCUUUCUAAAAUUCUGUCGGUGACUAUAACGUAAAUAAAUGCCACAUGUCAGGUACACCAGUAACUGCUGAAACAUUUAGAGGAGGAAGAAAGAAUGUCAAUUCGAGGUGGUCAGGAAAGGCUUUAAGGAGCGAUAACUGUCUUUCUGGGGUAGAUCCUGUAUAUUGCGUGCUCUUUCCAUACGUAGAAUAUAUGAUCUUUUUUCUCAAUUCCUUUUUUUAACUCUUACUUGCUGCCUAUAUUGUCUAUGGAUUUAUAUACAGACAAUACACACUUGCUUACAGAUGACUCUAGGGGUAUCUUUCUCCCCAGCCCUGUAUUUGGGCAGAUUCUCUGCUGUCAGUUCCUAGGGUCUUCCUAUCUAGUGCUGAAAUAGAGCAGUCUACAGUUAUCUACAUAUACCCACCUUCGUUGCCAAGGCCAACCAGGAGCACUAUUAUAUCUCAUUCUAUCUCAUAGUUUGUGCUUAUAAGUGGCUAUUGGGGUUUGUUUGUGACUUAUUUGGGCUGGAUGGAAAUGAUGGAGACAUGGAGAUGUAAGGAAGAGAGGGGGUGAGGAAAGCAUGCAGUGUGUGUAAAUGUGUAUAUGCCCUUCACAAGUCGCAAGUCCAGCCACAAAGGAGAUGUGAGUGUAAAAUAGGAUUUUUUUUUUUGCUACAUUCUCUCAUUAAACCCAGAUAAAGUUUCAUUUGGUACCUUCUGUGCCAUCUGGCUCAGCUUGCUCCUCACGCUGCUUUUGCUUGAAUUUCAUGUUCCCAUAAUGCAUCACAGCCCCUGUGAGUUUAUAGAUGGACACUUUCUCUUCAGGAGUGAAGCCCAGGAUGUCAAUGGCACUCUACCAGGAAAAAUGAGAGGACAAAAGUUAGGGCUGAAGAGACUAACUUAUAAGAGAAUUUAUACAUAUCCUAAGGUAACCACACCUACAGUAGUUUGCUAUUGUCAUUUCCAUACAUAAUGGAUUUUUAAAAUUAGUGUUUUUGACUUACAUCAGUGGCCAUCAACUCUUCUUGGUCAUCAAUACUGGGAACUGUGAUCUCCCCCUGACUGACGAAGGCAUAGUCAUAUGGGUUGGUGGUGAUCAGGAGCAUUUCUGGGUCACAGAAUUCAGGGCAUACAUUUUACAUUAGACAUUGUUAAUAAAAAUAUUAACUUCUAUCUAUGACUUUAAGUUCUUUCUUACCAAUUAGAUCUGGCUUCUUAUUGGAAGUGAUCUGAUAAAAAAUAUGGUAGCUUCUUUCCGCCUUUAGCUGGAAAGUAACUCUGGACUUUUCUAAAAGAUCUGGAGAGGGAAAUAGAUAUCGAGUUUGAAAAAAGUAUCAAUGCUUCUGAGAUAGUAAAUGAACCUCACGUCUUUGGUCAAAUUUGGAGCAUUACAUUUGGCUCCAAUGAGAUUUCAACUUGAUGACCAAUUGCAGAUAGACAGUGAUUCUCACUGUCUAAGGGCAGCAACUGAAGCAUACCUGCUCUAGGACAAAUAUAUUUUUCACAUGAAGGAUCCAUGACCUCUGUAUUUUAGUUGAUCCCUAAUAUCCCCUCCUUCUUUGGAUCACCUAGGAUUCACUCUGGGUGGUGAGGGCCUACCUUGGAAACAUCUACCAAAACUCAGAUCAGGAGCAAACCACAGAGAUGUAUUGGAAACCCAUAAGUAGCCCAGUUUUUGUCCUGGAAAAAAAUCAUAGUUGCUUCUGAGGCAGGAAUUUCUCUAGGAUGUGUUACAGAAUCAUCAAGUCUGAGAUUGAGAUAAAGGGAGCACUCAGUGGAUUAUGGGUAAGCCUAGCAUUAGCUUACAGGCAGUACUGGCAGCAGACUACCCUUUUAACAGGCUUCAUGCACAGCAAGGGUGGCAAAAUAUCCCUGCAAAUGAAAUCACUUGUCUCUCUGUUUUGAUUUUCAAUGGUCCUGUUACUCACAUGUUUCUAUAUCAGCAGAUGCCAGCUUCCCUGUAGUACCAAAGUGGAUUCUAAUGAAUUUACCCUUGAAAAGAAUAUUUAGUAUUAGAAAACUGAAACACAAAGAGAGAUGCAAAUGAAAUAAUAAUUCAGACGUGGCUACUCUGGAAGUUAGGGGUUGAGACCAAGAGACUCACAAAGCGAGAGGAGUUGUCAUUCCUCACAGUUUUGGCAUUGCCAAAGGCCUCCAGUAGGGGAUUGGCGCUGAUGAUUUGAUCUUCCAGAGUCCCCUGCAAAGGAAGGAGCAGUUCUCACAUCUGGGACUCCAGAUGUCUGAGAGCCUUGACAGAGGUUUUGACUCUGGCUAUCAGACCUACCUGCAUUUUGCCAGAUUCAUCCUUCUUCUUCUCUCCAGUAACUGCAAUUGUUGCAAAGUAUUGGAUGACACGCUUGGUGUUCACAGUCUUUCCGGCACCAGAUUCUCCGCUGUCAAACAGAAAUCAGAGAAGAGAUCAGAGAACUAUGGCCUGCAUUGUCAACAUCUAAGACAAUCCUUGCAAAUCAGAGAAGAAAAAAAAUCACAUACGUGAUCAGGAUGGACUGAUUCUCUCGAUCUGUGAAAGAAUUCAAAAUCAUCCGUUAAAAAAUGCAUAUUUAAUAUGAAGAGUAUUGAAUCAGUUCAGAUCAAACACAGCUUGUUCUUUUUAACUUUUUGAAGAUGUCACCUUUGGUUUUGAUUUUGUGUUUAUCCUCCAAAAUAGCCAAUUGCUUCUCAGUGUAAAAUUUGUGAAAAUGAAAGCAAAGAAUCAUCUCUUCCUUUUUGUAUUUAUUAAUUUUUAAUUGCGAUGAGAUACACAUAACAUAAAAUUUACCAUCUUAACCAUUUUUAAGUGUAGAGAUCACUGGCAGUAAGUACAUUCAUAAAGUUGUAAAAUCAUCAUCACCCUUCAUCUCCGUAAUUCUUUUCACCUUGUCAAACUGAAACUCUGUGUCCCUUAAACUCUUAACUCCCCAUCUCCUACUCCUCCCAUUCCCUGGCGCCCACCAUUCUACUUUCUGCCUCUGUGAAUUUGACUACUCUAGGUACCUCAUGUAAGAGGAAUCAUAGAGUAUUUGUCUUUUUUGUGACUGGCUUAUUUCACUCAGCAUGGUGUCCUCAAGGUUCAUUCAUAUUUUAGCAUAUGUCAGAGUUUCCUUCCUUUUAAAGGCAGGAUAUCUUAUUGCAUGUAUAUACCACAUUUUGCUUAUCCAUUCAUCUGUUGAUGGACACUUGGGUUGCUUCCAUGUUUUUGCUAUUGUAAAUAAUGCUGCUAUUAACAUAGUUGUACAAAUGUCUCUUCCAGACCCUGCUUCCAGUUCUUUUGGGGAUAUACUCAGAAGUAGAAUUGUGGGAUCAUACUGUAAUUCUAUUUCUAAUUUGUUGAGGAACUACCAUACUGUUUCCACAGUGGCUGAUCAUUUUACAUGAUCACUAACAGUGUACAAGAGUUCUAAUUUCUCCAGUUCUUGUCAAAACUUGUUAUUUUCUGAUUUUUUGAUAGUAAACAUCCUAACGAGUGUAAGGUACAUAUUUGAUUAAUUUUUAAAACAUUUAUUAUGGAAAAUUCAAACAUAUACAGAAGUAGAGACAAUAAUAUAAUGAAUCCCCAUGUGCCCAUCAUACAGAUGCAAUGGUUAUUAAUAUUUGGCCAAUUUUAUAUCAUCUAUACCUCAUCCCAAUCUCACUGAAUUAUUUUAAAGAAAAUCCCAGAAUCUUAUAAUUGUAUUUAUAAAUACUUCAAUUAGAAUUACAGAAUUUUGAAGGCAUAAAAGAUCUUAGAAAUUGCUUAGGCCAACUCUUACAUUUAAGGGAUAAAGAAACUGAGACCUGUAAAGGAGGAAGUGACUUUUCUAAUAUUAAGUACAUAGCUAGUUAAGGUCAAAUAUAUCCUCCUGGCCUCUUCCCAGCUUUUGAUGUCACUAGUUUGACUUCUGGCAAUACUAAAUAAGGAAGGGGUCUGGAAUUGUGAAUAUUUGUGUUCAUCUGUUUUAUUUUCCUUUUAAUCUUAUAUGCAUUUCUAAAUAAUAAAAACAAAUGUCACUAAUUAUGUGACUGAUAUGUUGUAUUUACAUCAAUUUGCUGAUUUGUUAAAUCUCUAAUUCUAUAGUGUUAGAUUAUAGAUUUUAGAGAAUUCUAAAACCUAAAAAUCUAUUCAGGGAAAAUAGAUAUAAAUCUGGAUGUUAUUUAGAUGUAGAUAUAGACAUAGACUUUAGAAAACUUUAGCCUUCUCUUCAGGGAAGUCGAUGCAGAUUUUGCAUCCUAUUCAGAUAGAUUUGUUUUCUAGUAUAAGUAAAACCGUGGAAGAUUAUAUCACAUCUAGUGGAAGCACAGAUGAGAAAACAAUGUUCUGGUCUCUUGGCAAUGCUAAAAUAACACUCACCAGCUCAAAGGCUAGAGCUCUGUACCAUUUUGUACAAAAAUCAUGUUUGGGAGCCAUAAGUAACCUUGAAUUUGGAGCAGCCCCAAACCCUGGGGAGCGGGGGGCUUGCUGAGUGGGAGGACAGGGGUGGUGUACAUAGCUGUGUAAAUGCAGCUGUUGAGUAUUAAAACCUCUGAAAUGAGCCAGCGUUUGGAUAAUUUCUGGGAGGUAGUUAGCUUCUGUUGACAAUCAAAGAACAGUUUACUGGCAUAGAAUCCUUGUAGAAUUGAUGGCCAAUUUGUAAUGGGAGAUUCCUAUUUUAUUCCUUCCUCUUUAUUCUCCCCCUCGAAAAGACAAUUUAAAAACAAGUGCAAAAAAACAAACCAAAAAGAAAGAAAAAACACCUUAGUUUCCAAAAUUCCAUGGAACAACAGGAAACUCAGGAAUAGAAAGUAUUUCCAAAGGCAGUGCAUUUGGUGUGUGAAGAUAAAAGGUUUUAAUGCUGUAUUUGGGCCUAUAAUGCGUAUCAAAGCUGGUUGUUUAUGCCUUGAUAAGGCAGGAGUAACAGACUUUGAUACAAUUUAAACAUUUUUCUCAGAAAAGAUUUUUUCCUUUCAUUGUAAUAGGAAAGUGCUUCAAAUCUUUGGGAGGAAAAUCAUAGCUUUCUUUACUCAUGUUUUACCCUUAAAGGCUGGCAAUAUUAGCUGUGUCAUUCAAAAAUAAACAUAAGAAUUCACAAAGUUUUCCAGCUGUGGCUGAUAACUCUUUUCGUUGACUGCUGUGAGCCUGGGUAUUUUUAAAAAGUCUGUUUGAACACUUUUUUCUAUCCAAAUUGGAAAGUAACAAAAUAUGGAAAACAAUAAAUAUGUUUACAGUGGUCUAGUAAUUGUUUCAGCUAGGCUUCCACUUAACUAUCUGUGUUAGCUUGGGAAGGACAGUGAAUUCAGUGAGCUUCACUUUACUCAUCUGUAAAAUGGAGGUAGCUGCUGGGAAGAGCAUAAGAUGUCACAGCUGUGAAAGUUUUUUGAAAACAGUGAAGCCCCAUGUGGCUAGAAUGUAUUAUCAUAACAUAAAGAGGCUCGGAAGAGGUCUGUCUGUUCUGCAAAGAUUCUAUUUACACAUUUCUGUAAAUAGAUGCCUCACUCACUCACCAGUCAACAUGAACUGAUAGGCAUUGUCAGAGAUGGAGAAGAUGUGGGGCGGGGCCUCCUGGCGCUUUUUGCCUCUGUAGGCAGCCACCACCUCGGGCUUGUACACCGGCAGCCACUUGUAGGGGUUGACGGUGACACAGAAGAGGCCUGAGUAGGUCUGGGAAGAUCAGAACAUUUAUCAUUUGGAUCUCGUUUUUACUCAGAGAGAGACAUGAAAUAAAAAGGUGUUUACAGACACUCACGUAGAUCAUCCAGGCUGCAUAGCGCUCUUUGAGGUUGUACAGCACUCCAGGCUCGUGUAGAUGAGUCAUCAUGGCCAUGUCCUCAAUUUUGUCAUAUUUCGGAGGGUUCAUAGGGAAGACUUGGUCUUCCCUGACAGUUAGAGUCUGGUGAGUAAGCAAGAAACCAGUUCGUUUUUGUUUGUUUGUUUGAGAUAGAGUUUUGCUUUUUUUGCCCAGGCUGGAGUGCAGUGGCGCGAUCUCAGCUCACUGCAACCUCCGCCCUCCUGCUUCAAGUGAUUGUCCUGCCUCAGCCUUCUGAGUAGCUGGGAUUGCAAGUGCCCAUCACCAUGCCCAGCUAAUUUUUGUAUUUUUAGUAGAGACAGGAUUUCGCCAUGUUGGCCAGGCUGGUCUCGAACUCCUGAUCUCAGGUGAUCCACCUGCCUCAGCCUCCCAAAGUGCUGGGAUUACAGGCGUGAGCCACUGCGCCUGGCUAAGACCAGUUCGUUUUAAUGGUUGGAGGUAGGGUUUAUGUUUGCCUGUAUAUUUUGGUACAAAACUAUAAUCACACAUACUUCUCAUUAUAUUAUUUAAUGUCCUCUUAAAAAAGGCAUGAAAUAUAUUCAUUUCAGAGUUUAAUGUUAAGAAAACCUGUUUCCUAUGAUGAGCUAGGACACUAUCUUUUUAAAAGAUUUUUUCCUCCCACAUUCUCUUAUCCCAGAUUUAUCAGUUUAUAUCCUUUUUUUCUUAUUUUAGUAGGCUAAAUUUUUAUUUUUUUCUUUCAUUCAUUAAGAAACUUCAUGUUUUUGGAAGUAAUGGGGAUAUUAAUACAUUAUUUAACUAAGUAAAUAUUUAACUUCUGAUAGGAGGAGCUUGUUUUCAUUUCCCUCAAGUUUGGACAUUCAGACUAGGAAGUGGGGAAUUGAAGGGAAAUGGUGAAGGCCAUACAUAGUGGGGUGAGGUCCUGUGCGAAGUUGGGAAGGGAAGACAUGAAGGUACUGCUGUGAAUUUCUUUUGCCUUCCACAUCUAAUGUCUCAACACUGACUAGAAGGGUGUUUGCAUUGGCAACAGGCUUGGAGAUUCCCAGUAAGUUAGGCUUCAACUUUUGAACCAAGAAAUAAAAUGGGGAGUAUUUUCUCCCUGUUUUCACUUACUGCUCCACCUUCAGUCUUUACGGUUACUUUCCCUCCUUCUUUGCUUUGUAUAGUGCUCUUCACAUAGGAUUCCUUGGGCUCCGCCACAAAGACAGAUGUUUUAGCAUCAAACGGCUUGUUUUGGGCCUCAAUCCGCUCCUUUUCUGAUUUUCGAAGGUAGGGAGCAGCUUCGCCAAAAACAGCCAUCUCAGCGUCUGAGCUCGCACUCAUGGCUGCGAUUUAUUUAGCAAAGGAUUCUGCCUAGGGAGGAGAGAAACGGGAGAGAGAGAUAUAAAAAGCAGAAGUCACAAAUGUGAGUUAGGAUUUGAAAUGAAAGAAAUGUUGAACAUAGCCUGUGCUGUAACUAUUCCUCCAAACUGGCACUCCCCAGUGUUCUAACAUAGUCUAAAGGACAAGUAUGGAGUGAGACUGUAAUUUGAGAUUUCAUUUUUAGGACUGUGAAUUUCCUUUUCAGAUCACAUAUCUUGAUCCUCAGGGAUAGGGUACCUACAAUUGAAUUAGAAUGAAACCUCUACAGCUAAAACUAUUGAUGGAUUGUUUUAUAGCAACUGUCAUUAUUUAAUUUCCUCUCCUCUUUCUGCAUAAUGUUUGUCUAUGCCAUAUGCCAGGACAAUCAUAUGGUGAGAAAAGAAAGUUUGUCUUGUUCAAAUGAAGGUUCAUAUUUUCAAAGCUAUCAAAAAAUCUUUGCCUUUUAAGAUGGCCAUUUUCUCUCAUAAAGCAAAUAAUUAUUUUUAACAUCUUUAUGUUGAUAUUUGGUGUUGUAUCUCUCAGUGGAUUGUUAGAAGAACAUAAUACAUUCUAAUACUCUGGAUUUUUUGUAAUUUGGGUUGUUCCCAACAGACUUAGCAUUGCCUUGAUUCCAAAAUCUUUUUUGACAUGAGAGAUUUCAGCUGUCAGUUAACAGAUCUAACCACAGAGGAAUGAGAGCUUCAGCACAAAGGCCCUUCUUCCCACAUAAAUUCCAUGGGUUUCUUUUCUUUCCACCCAGAAAACAGAGAAAAAAGUUUUAAGAGUACAUCACAUGCAUGUAAGCCAUUGUCUUCUGAUUAAUAGAUAGGCCUCUGCAAUGUGGACAUGUUAGAUUGGUUGAGUUUUUCCUUUAUUUUCAAUUAGAAAGUUACUUAGGGAAGGGCAGGAUUCCUCUUAAAUUAGUCAUGGUAUUUAACACCCGGUGGAUGUAAUACUUGCGACCUGUUAAGUAAAUAAUAAUAAGUCUUUCUAACAACAAAUAACAAAUAAUCAAAGGUAGCUAAAAUAUUUAUAUUUAUAUUUCUAGGUAAAAAUCUUUCUGGAGUCUUUAAAAAUGUCUAUAAAAUGUCCUAAGUCCUCAAUGCUUUGCCAUAGAAGAAGACUGGCAUGGACUAGUCUAUUGCCACUGGACAGUUCUAAGCACAGCUGAGAACUCACUGUUGAAGCUAAUUCUGUCCUAAACGGUCUUUGAAUCUUGGAACCCAAAUGAGGAUAGUCUCUGAGAAGAAGACAUUUUGAAAAAGUUAUUUUCUAGCAUUUAUAAACACUCACUCGGAAACACUCUUUCCUGAUAUAACUGCAAAAACAUGGAAAUGGUGUAUAAUUCAGGAUUGUUCACAGCUUCAUUAGACUAUAUCCCCUCUGUCAUCAAUAAAUUAAUAAAGCCAAGUCUUACCUCUGGAGUUCCAGAUAAAAAUGCAGGUUCAGAAGUGUUCCACUCUGUAAAACAACAAGCUUCUUAUUAGUGAUGCUCCGAAAUUCCAAUAUUAUAGUUACAGAAUUGUUAUUAUAGUUACAGAAUUGAAGUUUCCCUACCCCAAAGCUUGGUUCUAUGAAGACAAAAGUUAAGAUUGAGAGAGCAGUUUAAUGCUCACAGAUAACUACGAGGUCAGCUCUUUUCCCCACCUGGGGUUUUUCGAGUUCCAAGGCCUUCAUCACUUACCUCUGGGUUCUUGGUGGAAAUAAGGCACAAGGGGCAGUCCUGCUUAUAUAGGAACUAAUGUGCUGAUGCUGCAACUACCUCCUCUUUGUUAGGGCAAGACAUUUGGCAACAUGAACCCUCAGCAUAGUUUGUAGUGACAUUUGUCAUGUUUGGAUAUAAUUAGAAGUAUUCAUAUCAUUUUGUGUAUGCAAACCAAUCUCCUAUAAAUAAUUUGACAGAGACCGAUCUGCCAGCAGAGAAUGCUUUCUAGUGUGCUGGGAAGGGAAUCUUUGACAGUGCCUGAUGGGGCCUCAGAGUAAGUUCUUAAGAGCUAUAUUCAAUUUGGCAAACUCUUUCAUGCACGCCUGUGGUAGCCAAAUGAUCAGAUACCCGGGGCACACGGCUGUCAGGGCCUUAAGCACGUUUCCUUAUUUGCUACCACGGGAACCCCCCACUGCAUUCCCUUGGGCCACUACAGAUGCUCACUCUUGAAGUCCAGGCUUAGACAGCAGAGAUUCUACCUUGAGUCUCCACCAUUGGGCCAGUGCCCACUCAUCUAACUUUGAAAAACAUUAUUAGUAGAAAAUAAUAUGUUUAUUACAGAAAAAAAUACAGGUAAGUAAAAAAAGUCUCUGUAAUCUCUAAUGCAGAAAUAAGAUAGAGGCGUAUAAGUGGGAUCAUAUUAUAGAUGCAUAUAUAGUACAUGUGUGCCUUGUAAUAUGCUUUAAUAAUUAAUAUAUCAUAUCACUAAUGUAAUUUAUACCCUAUUCUUUAAAUAAAUUAUGAUUUUUUUUAAUUAAACUCUUUCCUUUUUUUAAGGUCAGAUAUAUUGAGGUAUAAUUUACAUAGAGUCAAAUUCACCCUUUUAAAGUGACAGUUUUAUGAGGUUUUUUGCUUUUAUUUUUAAAAAUUUUUAAACUUUAUAAUAAAAUUUACUUCUUUUGUUGUAUGAUUGUAUGAGUUUUUAUACACGUAUUGAUUCAUGUAGCCACCACCACAGAUAGGAUGCAGAACAAUUCCAGGCCUAUGGGUUUGAUAAAUAUAUGCAGGUGUGUAACCUCUUACACUGUAAUUACAUAAAAAUUAAAGCCUUAGAGAUUAGGCUAAAUUUUCCCUUUGAUGAACACUCACAAUGCUGGUAUCUCCCUUUUCUCCCAAGGUAACUACGGAUACCCGUUUAGUUUGUAAUAUUGCAGACCUUUUCUGUACAUUUACAUAUGUAUUUUCUGGGAAAAUAUAAAUUAGUAAAACUGGUCUAAGGAAAUUGGGCCAUAGAAAAUUUAUAAUAUAUAAUAUAGAUGUUUAAAAUAUAGAUAGUAUGAUUAUUUAUUUACAAACUUUCUUUUUUCAUUCUACACUCUUGGAUCAUUUGCCAUGUUAGUACAUAAAUAAUAAUAUGAAAACAUUUCAAACAUAUGCAAAAGUAGAGGGGAUAGCAUAAUGAACCUAGUAUAUUCAUCAUCCAGCACUGAUAAUUAUCAGUUCAUGGUCAGUCUUGUUUCUUAUAUAUUCUCACCAUUCCCUCUAUCACUGGAUUAUUUUGAUAUUACUCAUUUUUAAAUUUCUGUGUAAAAUUCCGUAGGUUUAAGAUUGUAAUAAUUUUGUUUAUACAAGUUCUAAAAAGUUUCUCCUGAUUUAAUAAUGAUCUUUACUAUGCGAUCUCAAUCUUCUAGAAGUUUUACAUCUUUAGGUAGUCAGAGUUAUAAAAAAUUUUCUUUUAUAUUUUUGGUUUUUUGUGUGUAUUGUAUAAGAAAAACUUUCUCUAACUCAAGAACUCAGAGUCAUACAUAUAUUCUUCUGUAUUUUCAAGCUAAUGCUUAUGAAAUAGUGAGAUGUGUAAUCCUGUAUUUUCAAUCUGAUGCUUAAAAAAUAGUGAGAUUUGUAAUCCAGCUGUGUGUGUGUUCGUGUGCAUGUAAUCUGUUUCUGGAUUCCAUAUUUUGUACCGUAUUUCUAUGCCAAUAGCAUAGGUUUUGAUGACCAGUAGGGCCAAUUUUCCCUAAUUAUUCAAAGUUGUCCUGUUAAUUUUUACCUUCUACUAUAUGAGUUUUAGAAUCAUGUUCUUCAGGUUAUGGAAAAUUCUAUUGGGAUUUUGAUUUUGAUUAAAUUGAUUUAAUAGAUUAAUUUGAUAAGAGUUGAUAGCUUUAUAAAAGUGAGUCUUUCAGUUUAUAAGGAUGAUAUAUUUUCCUGUUUAUUCCAAGUCCUUUUCAAAAAUACUUUUUAGUCAUUUUUAAAAGUUUUUUCCAUAAUGAUCUUAUAUUCCUUGUUCGGUGUAUUCCUACAAAUUUUAGAGUUUUCUGUUGAUAUGUUGAAUAGGAUUAUUUUUUCUAUUACACUUUCUACUUGGUUACUACUGGCACGUGGCAGACAAGUUUGCAUAAUCAGAGCUUCACUUUUGUUUGUGGCAGUAGUAUGCCAAACUAUAUAUUAUUAUAUUCAGACUCUCAGCAUAGGGUAACCAUAUGACACUGUUUUGGCUAAUGAAAUGCAAGCAGAAGUUGCUGGGUGGAGCUUCCAGAAAAGCUCUUUUCUAAAAGAGGGUAGACUUUGCUCAUACUACCUUUUUCUUUCCUAUCUCUAUCUUUCUCCUACGUAGAACACAGAUGUAAUGGCUAGAACUAUAGCCUUAAAAGAAAGGUCAAGAGAUUUUUGGAGACCUUAGCCUUGACACCUGUGAGCUGAAUUUCAUUGUGUGAAGAAAAAAGUAAAGCACUAAUUUUUUGAGGCAUUGUUUACUCAGGUUUUUUUUGUUACAUUCAAACACAAUCCCUAACAUACACGGCGUUUCAGAAAGUUACUGACUUUUCUGUGUUAACCGUUAUCUGGCCCUCUUGCCGAACUCUCUUACCACCUCUAAUAAUUUAUUUGAUGCUCUUGGAUUUUCAAUGUGUCAUGCGCAAAUAAUCACAAUUUGUGUCUUCUUUCUCUUGUCAUUUAUAUGUUAUUUUUUUCCCUUCUCUUAUUACAUUGUCUAUGACAUUUAGGACAGUGUUGAAUAGUAUUAAUAUAGUAUUAAUACAGAGAUACUUGUGUACAUAUCCUGUGCAAGAUAAGGGCAUCCUUAUCUUGUUCUUGACUUUUAUUGGAUUGCAUCUGAUGUUUCACCAAACAUAAUAUUUACUGUAUACUUUGUAUCUAGUUUGCUAAUCAUUUUGAUCAUAAAAAUGAGUUAAAUAGUUCUAUUUCUAGGUAUAUGCCCGAGAGAAUUGAAAACAUGUUUAUAUAAAAACUUGUACAUAAAGUUUAUAGCAACAUUAUCUAUAAUAGCCAAAAAGUGGGAACAAUCAGAUGUCCAUCGGGCAACAGGUAGAUAAGCAAAAUCCUGUUUAUCCUAUAAUGGACUCUAUUAAUGCAAUGAAAUAUUAUUCAGCCAUAAAAAGGAGUGAAGUUAGAUGCUACUAUAUGGGUGAACCUAAAAAUAUUAUGUUAAGUGAAAGAAGCCUGACACAAAGGGCCCAUAUUUGAUGAUUCUGUAGAUCUAAAAUGCCCAGAAUAGGCAAAUCCAUAGAGAAAGAAAAUACAUUAGUGAUUGCCAGAGGAUGUGGAGAGAAGAGAAUUGGGGAGUGACUGAAAAUGGACAUGGAGUUUCUUUUUGGGGUGAUGAAAACAUUCUGGAAUUAAUAGUGAUGGUUGCAUAACUUUGUGAAUCUAAUAAAAACCACUGAAUUAUACACUUUAAAUUGUGAAUUUUAUGGUAUGUAAAUUAUGUCUACAAAUAAUGGGUUGAAUUUUACCAAAUUUUUUAUAUCUGUUGAGAUUACUGUUUUUCUCCCCUGACCUAUCAAUGGAGUGAAUUAUAUGGUAGGUUUUUCUCACCUUUACCACCCUAGAAUUCAUGAAAUAAAAGCUAUUGAUAUAAUAUUGUUUAAUUCUCUGCUGCUUUCAGUUUUCGAAUUUUUUAUUGGAAUUUUAAAAUCUGAGUUCAUAUAUGACUAGGUCAAAGUUUUCUUGUGCUAUCAUUUUCUUGUUUUGAUAUUAGGAUCAUAUUAGUCUUGUAAAAUAAACUGAGCAGCUUCCCAUUUGUUUGUGUUUUCUAUAACAUUGCGUUUGAGAUGUGAAUUAUCUGUUCCAUGAUGGUUUGAUAGAGUUCCUCCAUGGAAUUCUUUUGACCUCUAGCCUUUGUGGAAUAUAAUUUUUUUACUCUUAUUGAGUUUUUUUUAUGAUUAUUGAUUAGUCUUUGUAGAGUUUCUACUUGUCUUUUGGCCCAUUUGGAUGAUUUAUAUUUUCCUAUAAAAUUACUUAUUUUGUGUGAGUUUUUAUAUUUUUGGGUCUUUUUUGUGCAUAUCUCUAUAAUAAAAAAUCUCAGUUUAGUAAUCUGUUUCAUUAUUUAUAUUAAUUUUGUUCUUCUUUUUAUUUUAAAUCAUAUUUGCCAAAGUUUUAUCUUUUUCAUUUAGUUUUACUGAUAGCUUUUAUUUUCUAGCUUAUUAUUUUCUUUUAGUUUUAUCAAUUGCUUUAUUUCCUUAGAUUUGUUUUGAUUAAUUAUAAUUAGUUUAAAAUUUUGAUUCUUGUUUCAACUCCCAAAUUAUUUAAAGCAUUUUGUUUUUUAAACUUCCAGGUGUAUGAAUUUGGGUGUUGGGCAGGCGGAUUUCAUCUAGCCGUUAAUUAUUUUUAUCUUUUGUGAGUGUGUGUGGUUGUGGUGUGUUCAUAUCCUAGUACGCCCAAUGGGAAUGAGGAUUAUGGUUCCUGUGAUUGUGUUUGUGUGUGUGGAUGUAAGUCAUAAAACAAUUCAAAUAGUAUCCAAUACCCCACGAAACUCUCAUGAUCUUCUGUAUUAUAACUCAUAUUUUCCUUCCUUAAAAGGUUACUAUGAAUUUAUUUUUAUGAUAAUUAUUUCUCUGCAUUUCUUAAUGUUUUAAAAUUUGUAUAUGCAUCCCUAGUUUAGUUUUGCUGGUUUUGAACUUCAUGUGAAUACAACUGAAUUUAUUUUUUAGUAUCUUACUUCUUUUGCCCAAAAUUAUUGUUGUGAGAUUUUUCCAUGAAGUUGCAUGUAACUGUGUUUUAUAUUCAUUGUGUACAGUAUUACCUUGUCUGAUAAUAUGAUUAUUUAUUCAUUCUACUGCAGACAAAUUUUUGGGUUGUUCCCAGUUUUUGGCUGUAGUUUAUUGAUUGAUUGAUUGCAUGAUGAACAGUGACUGUCACCUGUAUGAUAUCUCAUUUUAGAAUUAGUUGACAUUUCUUUUGUGGCUUUGUUCAUAGAUCAGGGUAUUUUUUUUAAACAUCUUUAUUUAGGUAGAAUUUUACAUACCUUAAAUGUCAUCCAUUUUAAUUAUACAGUUAAUGAAUUUUAGUAAACUUAUAAAAUUGUGCAGUCAUCACCACAAUCUAGUUUUAGAAUACUUUUAUCAAUCCAAAAAGUUUCCUUUUGCUCAUUUGCUGUUAAUUCCCAUUCAACCCCAAACCUUGGGGAACCACUGAUGUGCUUUUUGUCUCUACAAUUUUGCCUUCUUAAGAAAUCGUAUAGAAAUGGAAUCCUACAAUAGGCAAUUUUUCGUGUCUGGCUUCUUUCCCUUAGCAUUUUCAUUUCAACUCCCAAAUUAUUUUAUUUUUUAAACUUCCAGGUGUAGAAAGUUGGUUGCUGGGGAGGCAGAUUUUAUCUAGCUAUUAACUUUUUAUCUUUUGUGAGUGUGUUUGGUUGUUGUGUGUUCGUAUCCUAGAAGGAAAUUCAAUUUUUUGAAUUUCAUCUAUAUGCUGUUUUAUGUGUCAGUAAUUCAUUUCUUUUUAUGAAUGUAUAUGUGGUAGUCCAUUGUCUAGAGGUACCACAUUUUGUUUAUCCAUUAACCAGUUGAUGGACAUUUGAAUUCUUCCUAGCUUUUGGCUUUUAUAAAUAAUGCUGUUAUUAACAUUCCACAUAAGUUGUUGUUCAGACAUUUGUUUUUAUUGGUUUGUUUUCCAGGAAUGGAUGUUGGAUAUUAUAAGAAAUGGCCAGACUGGGAAAUAGCAGACAAAAGAUAUUGCAUCUAUUCUGGUUGGAGAAUUGCAGUAGUGGAGUUCUAAGUAAAAGAAAGCAAGUUUCCAGGAAUAAAAAGCUUUUACCACCCAAUGAAUUAACAGGCCAUCCUACUUGACAUCAAAACACAUCUUUAAAAUAUGGGAUUAAAACAAUAUAUAAUUAAUGUAGAUAAGUAUAAGAGUAGAACAUAAUAUAGUCCAGAAAUGGACUCUUGUAUGUAUAGCAAGUUAGUAUAAGAUAAAGGUGCAUUUCUGAUUCACUAGAGGAAGGGAAGAACAAUUCAGUGAAUUAAAAUUGAGACUUAACAAUUUGAAAAAAAAUUAAAUUACUUCCUUGGCUGACACCAUUUAUAAAAAUAAGUUCUAGAUGAAUUAACAUCUUAGGCAUAAAAACAAAGAAGUAUUGAAGAAAUUAUAGGAGAAUAUAUUGAUACUGUCGGAGUAGGGGGAGAUCUUUAAUAAGGCAAAAAGAUCAGACAUUUGACCACAUCAAAAUGUAAAACUUCUCAAUGAUUAAAAAAAUCUACACAAACAAAUUGAAAGACAAGUGGCAGGCUUGGACAAACUAUUAGCAACUUAAAUAAAGAAGUUAUAUUCAACACACACACACACACACACACACACACACACACACACACACACACACACACAUCUCUUUCAAAUAGAAAAGAAAGGGAGAUACAAGCAAGUAGGAAAAAAUAGCCAAAAGAUAGAAAUAGAUAAUUCAUGGAAGAGGCAAUACAUAUGGCUAAUAAACAUGAAAACAUGCUCAAUCUCAAGAGGUACAAAAUAAAAUAACAAAGAGCUAGUGUAUUUUACCCAUCAAGUUGGCAAAAAAAAAAUAAUAAUGGUAGCAAAUGGUGGUGCAGAGAGGUGAAUGUAAUAUGUUGUGAGUAAAGGUGUAAAUUUCCAGGGCAAUUUGUUAUAUCUUUUGAAAUUUAAAAUUGCAGUGAUUUCACUUCUCACUUUCUUUCCUGCAGAAGCACACUGAAAUAGGAAGGAUGCUCAAGAGUGUACAUUUAACAUUUCUUCUAAUAGCAAAAUUUUGGAAACAACUGUCAAUUCAGUUACUUGUAAGUUAAUUAAGUGGCCACCUGUUAAGUGGUGGUGCUCCGAUGAUGUGGUCAGUGGUUGAAACUUGAAACUCGCCUUAAUCUAAGAUUUGGAUCAGCAUAAUGCAUUUUCCACUGGUUCUCUUUGAGAUAUACUGAAAACUGAAAAUCUUAUUUAAAAUAACAAUAAACAAUGAAGUAAAGAGUUUUUAUAGGUAACAUAUAUAAGAAUACUAAACUGGGAGAUAUAUUUUGCUAAAGCCUAAUUAUUGGUAUAUUUCAACCCUUCUGUAAUGUACAGAUAUCUCUUCUACCAUUCUUGUGUGACAACUCAUUUAUUUUAACUUAGAGUAAAGGCCCUUCCAAGGGUCUGGCUUACAUCCCUUGUCCUUGCUCUUCUUCGCUAGUAUCCACUUACAAUUAAGCCGAGGGUGAACAUUAAGUUACCGUAUCCAAUGACCCUUCUGCUCUAAGAGUCCUUGCCAGAAAUUAGCUUACAAUUCCUAAGAUUUCCUCUGCCCUAAGAGUUCCUCUAUUUUCUCUCUGCAGUGAGUAAAAGCAGAUGAAUUACAGCCACUUUAAGACAUCUCUACCUUUUCUAAAACUCUGUAAUUAUAUUCUCUUCAACCAAAGGAAACAACUGACCUUUCAUAUGACUCAUGCCAAAGAGGAAUGUUAUUUAGAUUCAUCCACAUUCUUGCAUGUAUCAGUAGUUCAUUUCUUUUUAUUGGGGAGUAGUACUCCGUUGUGAGGAUGUACCAUAUUUUAUUCAUCUGUUCUCUUGCUGGUAUAUAUUUUUUAUCUUUUUAUAGACAUAUCUUUCAUUUCUUUCAGUUAAAUAACAAGGAGUGGAAUUGUUGGAUCAAGAGGUAGGUGUCUAGUAACUGUACUGUUUUACAUCCUCGCUAGUGAUAUAUGAGCAAUGUGGUUGCUCAGUGUCAUUAGUCUUUAUAAAUUUAGCCAUUCUUGUUGGUUUGUAGUGGAAUCUCUUUGUGGUUUUAAAAUGUAUGUCCCUAGACAAUGAUAUUGAGCAACUUUUAGUUUUGUUAUUAAGCUUUCAUAUAUUCUCUUGAUGAAAUGUCUGUGUUUUGCCCAUUUUUGUUGGAUUAUUUUUAAAGAAUAUUGUUUUGUUUGUGUUCUUUAUAAGUCAUUUUUUCAGUAUAUGUAUUGCAUAUAUUUUUUUUAGUAGGUGGCUUGCCUUUUUGUGUUCUUAACAGUACUUUGAUGAGCAGUAGCUUUAACUUUGAAGAGGACCAGUUUUAUCAUUUUUUCUUUCAUAUUUAGUGCUUGCUGUGUUCUGUUUAAGAAAUUUUGCACGAGAUUACAAAGAUACUCUCCUAUAUUUUCUUCUAGGAGAUGUAUAAUUUUAGUAUUUACAUUUAAAUCUGUUGUCUACCUUGAAUUAAUUGUUGUGUAUGCGUUAUUAUUUUUUUCCAUACAGAUGUCUAAUUGAUCCAUCAUCAUUUGUUGCAGAGACUUUUCUUUCCACAUUGAAUUGCAUUAGCAACUUAGUAAAAAGUCCACUAUAUACAUAUUGGAUCUAUUUCCAGACUCUCCAUUCUACUCUAUUCUGUUCCAUUCAAGUAUUCUUCUACCCUUACACUAAUACCACACUAUCUUAAUUACUGUAGCUUUGUAAUAAAUUUUAAAGUCUGUAGAGUAAGUUCUCCAAUUUUAUACUACUUACUUUUUAAGACUUCUUUGGCUACUGUAGGUACUUUAUAUACUUAUAUGCAUUUUAAUAUCAAACUGCCAACUUCUACCAAAAAAAAAAGCUUGAUAGGAUUUUGAUUAGGGUUACACUAAAACUAUAGAUCAAUUUGUGGAAAACUGACAGAUUUACAAUAUUGAGACUUCAGUCCAAGAACAUGGUGUCUCUCUCUCUCCUCUCUCUUUUAGUCCCAUUUUUUGACAGAAAGUGUUCACUGUUUUAUUAUUAAGCAAGAUAUCUUAGCUGUGCUUUAUUUGUAGGUGCCUCUUACUAGAUUGAGAAAGUUUUCUUUUAUUGCUUGUUUGCUGAGAGGUUUUUUUUUCAUGGAUGGGUGUUGGAUAUUGUCAAAUGCUUUACUUCAUCUGUUGAGAUAGUUAUAUGAUUUUCUUUUUUAUUCUGUGAAUGUUAUGAAUUACCUGAUUUUUGAAUAUUAAACCUACCUUGCAUUCCUGUGAUAAAUUCCAUUUGGUCAUGAUUUAUUAUUAUUAUUGUUGUUGUUAAUAUUGUUUUCAUAUAUAGUAGGCACUGCAUAAUGACAUUUUGGUUGACAGCGGACUGCAUGUAUUAUGGUGGUCCCAUAAGAUUAUAAUACUGUAUUUUUCCUGUACCUUUUCUAUAUUUAGAUAUGUUUAGAUACACAAAUACCAUUCUGCUACAGUUACCUACAGUAUUCUGUACGGCAACAUACUGUCCAGGUUUGUAGUCUAGGAGCAGUAGGCUAUACCACAUAGCCCAGGUGUGUAGUAGGCUAUACUGUCUAGGUUUGUGUAAGUACACUCUGUGAUAUUUGUACAAUGAGGAAAUUGUCUAAUGAUGCAUAUUUCAGAACAUAUCCCCAUUGGUAAGCAACACACGAUUGUAUUGUUAGACGUUGUUGGAUUUGACUUGCCAAAAUUUUGUUAAGGAUUUUUGCAUCUAUUAGGGAUAUUGGACUAUAAUUUUCUAUAUUGUUUUUCUAUUCUCGAUUUCAUUAAUUUCUCCUCUAGCCUCUAUUAUGUCCUUUCUUCUACUUGCUUUAGAUUUCAUUUGUUUUUCCCACCUGCUGUGCCUUAGGUGGAAAAUUAGGUUAUUAUUUGAGCUCUUUCUUCUCUCUUUAUAUAGACAUUUACAACUGUAAAGUUCUGUCUAAGCACUGCUUUAGCUGCAUCCCAUAUGUUUUUGUAUAUUGUAUAUUGUAUCUUCAUGUUCAUUCAUCUCAGAGUACUUUCUGGUUUCCCUUUCGAUUUUUUCUUUGACACAUGAUUAUUUAGGAGUGUGUUGUUUAAUUUCCACAAAUCUGUGAUUGUCUCAAUUUUUUUCCUAGUAUUGAUUUCUAAUUUCAUUCCAUUGUGGUCAGAGAACAUACUUUGUAUCAUGCCUAUCCUUCUAAGUUUACUGAAGUUUGUUUUAUAGCCUAGCAUGUGGUCUGUCCUGGAGAAUGUUACAUUUGAACUUGAGAAGGAUGUAUAUUCUGUUGUUACUGGGUGGUGUGUUCUAUAGAUAUCUGUUAGGUCUAUUUGGUUUAUAGUGUUUUUCAAGUCUUCCUUUUUUUCUUAUUGAUCUUCAUUAAUUGUUACAUCCAUUAUUGAAAGUGGGUUAUUGACAUCUUCAAUCAUUAUUGUGGAAUUGUCAGUUUCUCCCUUUAUUUCUGUCAGUUUUUGAUUCAUAUGUUUUGGUGCCUCUGCUAUUAGGCGCAAAUAUAUGUAUAAGUAUUAUGUCUUCCUGAUGGGCUUAUCCUUUUAUUAUUUUUUCAUUAUAAAAUGUUUCUCCUUAUCUCUGGUAACUUUUUUUUAAGUCUGUUUUGUCUCCUAUCAGUAUAGCCAUUCCAUUUUAUUAUGGUUCCUGUUUGCAAGAUAAUGUAUUUUUUCAUCUUUUUACUUAUAUUUGUGGCUUCUGUAGACAGCACAUAGUUUGACCAUAUAUUUUUAUACAUUAUGACAAUCUCUGGCUUUUGAUUGGACUGCUUAAUUCACAUUCACAUUGAUUCACAUUUAGUGCUGUUAUUGGUAUAGUUGUAAUUAUUUCUUGUAUGUCCCAUGCCUUUUUUGUUCCACUUUUCUUUCUUACUGCUUCCUUUUGCAUUGAAAAUUUUCUAAUGUAGCAUUUUAACUUUUUAGUAAUUCUUUCACUAUAUUUUUAUUUUAUUUUGAAAUUUUUCUAUAGAGAUGGGUUCUCACUUUAUUUCCUAUGCUGGUCUUGAACUCCUGGCUUCCAGCAACCCUCCCGCAUUGGCCUUCUAACAUGCUGGGAUUACAGGCAUGAGCCACCAUGCCCACUCCUUUCACUGUAUUUUUUUAAUAGAUACCCUAGAGUUUACCAUAUACUGUAAACCUUAACUUAUCAGAACCAGUUUCAGAUUCAUACUAGUUUUAUUCUAGCGACAUAUAGAAAAGUUACUUCUACAUAGCUCUACUCCAUUUUUCCCCAUUUUUGUCAUAUUACUGUUACCUGUAGCUUUUAAUGUUACAAACCCAGCAGUACAUUGUUAAAGUUAUUAUUUUACUAUUUAUAGUCAUUUCCUUAGCCCAAUACAGCUUUGUUCCCACACAACUCCUUUAUGCUGUAUUGGCAAGUAUGUUACACAUAUAUUACAUUUCUUUAUGUUACAGGCCCAACCAUACAAUGUAUAUGUAUUAUUUUAUACAAUUGCUUUUUAAGUCAGUUAAGAGAAGAAAGGAGAAAAAAAUAUGCAUUUAUACUGUCUUGUAAUUACAUACUUACAUUUUCUGGUACUCCUUUUUUUGUGUGGAUAUGAAUUCCUGUCUGGAGUUACUUGCCAUCAGCUUGAAGAAUUUCCUUUAGUAUUUCUUAUCAAGCAGGUUUGCUAUCAGCAAAUACUCUCAGUUUUUAUCUGGGAAACUGUUUAUUUCACCUUCACUUUUGAAAGAUAGAUUUGCUGGAUAUAAGAUUUUUUGGUUGAUGUGUGUGUGUGUGUGUGUGUGUGUGUGUGUGUGUGUGUGUGUGUGUCUUUGACCACUUUGAAUAUGUUAUUUCUCCUGGCCUCUAUUAUUUUGGCUGAGAAGUCAGCUGUUAAUCAUACUGUUCUCUUACAAGUAAUGAGUCAUUUUUCUCUCACUGCUUUCAAGAUUUUCUCCCUGUCUUUAAUUUUCAGCAUUUUUACUAUGAUGUAUCUAUAGAUCUAUUUGCAUGUAUCCUAGUUGGUGUUCAUCGAGUUAUCUGGAUGUAUAGAUAAUUGUUUUUCAAUAAAUUCAGGGAGUUUUCAUCCGUUAUACAUUUGAAUAUUUUUUCUGCUCCUUUCUCUUUGUCCUCUCCUUCUGGUAUUCUCACUGUGUAUAUAUCGGUGUACUUCAUUGUGUCCUACAUUUCUUUGAGGCUCUUUCAUUUUUUAUUAUUCUUUUUUCCCUCACUGUUCUUUGGCUUUCAUAAGCUUUAUCAAUCUCUCUUCAAAUUCACUUAUUCUUUCUUCUGCCAGUUCAAAUUUCCUGUUGAGCUCCUCUAGUGAAUUUUAAAAUUUCAUUUAUUAUACUUUCAACUCGACAAUUCUGUUUUUUUUAAAGUAAUUUCUACGUUUUUAUUGAUAGACAUUAUUUGAUCUGACAUUGUCAUUAUGCCUUCCUUUACAUCUUUCAUCAUAUUCUCUUUAUUUUUGUGAAAAUGUUUAUGAUAACUAGUUUGAUAUCUUUUUCUGUUAAAUUCAACAUUGAUUGCUGUCACAAGCAGUUUCUGUUGCCUGCUUUUUUCAGCGUAUGGAUUAUGCUCUCUUAUUUCUUUGCAGGUAUCAUAAUUUUUUGUUGGAAACUGGACAUUUUAGAUAAUGUAUUAUAGCAACCUUGGGUAGUGUUGCCCUCUCCAGGGAUCGUCAGUUUUAUUUUCUUACUUAUUUGUUAUUAAACAAUUUCUUUAUUACCUUUAUUAUUUUUAAAAAUUUUAUUUUUAAAAUUAGUGCAUAAUAUUUUUACAUAUUUAUGGAGUACAUGUGAUAUUUUGAUACACGAAUACACUGUGUGAUGAUCCAGUCAAGGUAUUUGGGAUAUCCAUCACCUCAAAUAUUUAUCAUUUCUUUGCAUUAGGAACAUUUCCAUUUUUUUAUUCUAGCUAUUUUGAAAUAUACAGUAUACUGUUGUUAAUUAGAGUCAGCCUCCUUUGUUAUCAAACACUGGAACUUAUUCUUGUCAGCACAAGAAUAUUUGUUUUUAACUGGCUGGUUUAUUUUAGUGAAGUUUGUUUCCCACCCACAGUUUAAAGCUUCUGAUAUUGCUCCUCAGGGAGGUGCAGCUUUGGUAUGCCCACAGCCACCCUGUGAUGACAGUGGUUUUGAGAGGGCUCUCUUCCUCUCUUUCUCUGACCACACCCAGAUGUCAAACUCCACUACUUGGUGGCCGAUAGCUUUAUUGAUUUUAAUAAUUCCUUUGGGCAUAAAUUGUUCUAUGAACUAAUCCAAUCAAAUUCUGCCUCCUUUGAAAACAUAAUUUCUGAGGUCAGUGUUUAAUAUUUGUUUUGAUCCCAGGGGGACUUCUCCCAGCUAUCUUAUUACCUGGUUCUCUCCUAAAAACUAGCUGGCAUACAGUUUAGCCUAUAUCUUUAAUUGCAUGGCAAUUUGUUUUUACCACAAUGUGCCCUGUUGUUGAAAGUGCACUUGGGUUUUAAUUUCUCUGCCUUCUGUUGCAAAUGAAAUCAGUUCCUUUGGGCAAAGAUUAGGAGCUCUGUUUUAUGACUCACUUCUCCCCUCAGGCAAAAUCCGAGCCAGGGCUUUGGAGCUGGUGGUGGAGACAAUUUUAAUCUUCUGAUUGACACCUCCAUUCUGGGAACUGAGCACUUGGUGGGGAUGAGCAGCAGCCUAAGGCCCGCUUGGCUUGUCUCUCCUGGUGUGGAACCUCCACCUCAUAAGUCAGGUCAAGGGUGAUCAGGGCCCCAAUAUUCUCAGCACCCGGGGUAGAGCUUCUGUUCCCUGAGUGGUAGCUGGGCAGAAAAGAGAGCCUAAGCCUUUCAAUCACAUUUGCUCGGGUCUUAGCCUCAGAAACGGGUAGCUGGAGGUAGAUGAAAAAUAUUAAUGUCUUGUGCUUUUUAGAAAGAAAGCCCUCUGACUGGGAGCUCGAGGGAAAGGAAAUCCUGUGGUUGGCUGUAGCAAUCUGGAGUGGAGUCCCACCUCUCUGUGCUGGGAUGGUAAGAGGCAGGAAGUGAUUUUGGUUCAAUACCACAGAACCUUUCCUUUCUUACUGAAUUUGCAUGGAUUUUCUUGAUAGAUGUUUUUUCCUUUUCUGUUUCUUUAGAACCAUUUACAGAGACUUUAAAUGUUGUUUUGUUUAAGAUAAUUUUCACCUAUUUCACUGGGAAGAGGAUCGGUGGAGCUCCUCAUGCUGUCAUGCUGGAAGUCAAUCCUCCUUAUAGCACGUGUGUGUAUGUGUGUGUGUGUUUCUUUGUAUGUCAUUUUUAGUAGUUUGCUUUAGGUAUUACAUUAUGUGUGUCUCAUCACUGUCUUCUGUUGUCAUGUUAUCAGUUCAAGUGAAACAUAGAAAUUUUACCUCCCUGGAAGUCCUUUUACCCUCCCAGUUUGUAAUUGUCUUAAAUAUUUCCUCUGUAUACUUUUAGAACCACACCAGAAGGUGAUAUAAUUUUUGUUUCAAUCAUCAGACAUAAUUUAGGAAACUCAAGAACAAAAAACCUUUUAUACCUACUUUUAUUUUUGCUUAUAUAUUUUUUUCCUCUUUGAUGUUCUAGGGUUUCUUUAUUCACUUUUUUCCUUUCUGCUUAGAGACUUUCCUUUAGCCAUUCUUUUAGGGUAGGUCUGCUGGUGACAAUUCUCAUAGUCUUGAUCUAAGACUUAGGUUUAAGACUUAAAAUAGUCUUAAUCUAAGAAUGUCUUGAUCUCCCUUUCAUUCCUGGAGCUUAUUUUUUCUGGACAUAAGAUUCUGGGUUGACUUUUUUUUUCAGCUACUGAAAAAUAUUGUACCAUUUAUUUCUGUCCUUCAUGAUUUCUGAUGAGAAAUCCCCUGUCAUCUAAACUGUUUUUCUCCUAUAGGCAAGAUGUCAUUUUUCUCUGGCUGCUUCUAAGAUUUUGCUUUACUUUUAGUAUUUAGAAGUUAAUGAUAUGCCUGGGUGUCGAUUUCUUUGAGUUUAUCUUGUGUAGAUAAACUCCUUCUUGAAUCUGUAGGUUUAUGUUUCCUAGCAAAUUUGUAAGUUUUCAGCCAUUAUUUCUUUAAGUACUUUUCAGCCCCACCCUCUUCUUCUAGCACUUUAAUGAGUGUUAGAUCAUUUGUUUUAAGGUUCUGUCUACUAUUUUUUUCAUCUACUGCUUUCAGUUGUUCAGGUUGGAUUAUUUCGAUUAUUCUUAUUCCAACUCACUGAUUUCUCUGUCCUCUUCUUUUUCCUGUUGAGCCCACCCACUGAGCUUUUUAAUUCAGUUAUUGUAUUUUUCUGUUCUAAAAUUUCCACUUUUUUAAACGUCUUCUUUUUAUUUGCUGAGGCUUUCUGUUUUUCCAUUUGUUUCAAGCAUGUUCAUAGUUGCUCUUUGAAGCACUUUUGUUAUGUCUGUUUUAAAAUCUUUGUCAGAUAAUUUAACAUCUCUAUCAUCUUGGUUUUGGCUUUUUUAACUCAUUUAUCUUCUUUUCAUUCAGUGUGAGAUUUUCUUGGCAUAAUGAGUGAUUUUCAGUUGAAACUUGGGCAUUUUUGUACUGUUCUUGGAAUCUGGAUCUUAUUUAAACCCUUUAAUUGGCUUUCUAUUACACUUCUCUAAUAAGGGAAGUGAUAUGGUUUGCUGUGUCCCCACUCAAAUCUCACUUUGAAUUGUAAUAAUCCCCACAUGUCAAGGUCAGGGCCAGGUGGAGAUAAUUGAAUCAUGGGGUUGGUUUCCCCCAUACUGUUCUUGUGGUAGUGAAUAAGUCUCAUGAGAUCUGAUGGUUUUUAUAAAUGGGAGUUGCUCUGCACAAACUGUCUUGCCUGCUGCCAUGUAAGACAUGACUUUGCUCCUCAUUUGCCUUCUGCCAUGAUUGUGAGGCCUCCCCAGCCACGUGGAACUGUGAGUCAGUUAAACCUCUUUCCUUUAUGAAUUAUCCAGUCUUGGGUAUGCCUUUAUCAGCAAUGUGAGAACAGACUAAUACAGGAAGCAGGGCUGGUGAUGCUACCUUACUGCUUCCAGAUAGAGUUGAAAGUCCAGUUUCCCUUCUGUUAGCACUUGAAUGGGGAGUAUCUUUUCAUUACUGUUGCAUGGGGGUAAGCUCAUUACUACUGAGCAACAGUGAAAGUGCUGACUUUCCUCUAGGCCUCCUCUGAUGGUGGGAAGGACAAGGGGUGCCUUGUUACUCCCAGUGCAUGGGAGUCAAAGAUCCCAAUGUUGUCACUACUGAUAUAGAGUAGGAGGGCAUUACUGACCAGCAGGGAUGAAAAUCCCAUUUUCCUGCUUGGUUGGCAUCAUCAUCCUCUAGUGCAGGUGUUGGGCAUCUUAUUAUAGCCUCCUAAAGGCAGAAGUAUAGGCUUUCCACUCAUCUUUUGCUGGGGGUGGGGAGGGGUCACAGUCUUAUUCUCUUUUCUUUGAUUCCACUAGAGAAGCUAUUGUCUAAAAAGCUAUUGUCUAAGUUUUCUGUCUUGCUAGGCUGCCUGUUUCUUUGUCCUCUGGCUAAAGAGAAAGGCCUUUGUUGGGCUUUAAAAAUCUUCAUCCACUUGGGUUUCUCUAUUGUCUGCUUCUUCAGUUCCAAGUCUGGGGCAUAUAAGUCAAAAAGAAAACUCAGGGAAUUUAUGUCAUUCUUUGGGUCCUAAGGUCCUGUAUUAGUUCAUCCUCAUGCUGCUAAUAAAGACAUAUCAGAGACUGGGUAAUUUAUAAAGGAAAGAGGUUUAAUUGACUCACAGUUCUGCAGGAUUAGGGCUUGCACCCUCUGAAGCAACAUCCUUAGCUGUACUUUGGCUCCUUUUAGCCAUGGCUGGAGUGACUGGCGCACUGGGCACUAAGUUCCAAGGCUGCACACAGCAGGGCCCUGGACCCAGUCCAGGAAACCAUUUUUCCCUCAGGAAACUUACAAUUGUGGCAGAAGGGGAAGCAAACAUGUCCUUCUUCACAUGGUGACAGCAGGGAUAAGUGCUAAGCAAAAGGAGGAAAACCCCUCAGAAAACCAUCAGAUCUCAUGAGAACCCACUCACUAUCACAAGAACAGCAGCAUGGGAGUAACCACCCCCAUGAUUCAAUUACCUCUCUCCCAUGGCACGUGGGGAUUAUGGGAACUACAAUUCAAUAUGAGAUUUGGGUGGGGACACAGCCAAACCAUAUCAGGUCCCUGGCUUUUCCAUCUUUUCUCCAUCUUCCAGAAUCUCUUAUGUAAGUUUUAUGUAUAAUGCCCAGGGUUUUUUUGUUGUACUUAAUGAGAGGAAUAGGGAAAAGUACAAAUACUCUAUCUUCCUAGAAGUGGAAGAUUCCUUGUAGAUUUUUUUUGUAGUUCCAUCAAUUACUGAGGAAAAGGUGUUAAAAUAUACACUGCUUUAGGAUUUACUUAUGGAUCGUAUGUGUAAGAUACCUAGCACUGUGCAUGGCACAGGUUAAGUUCUUAUUAUUCAUUCACCCAACAGAUAUUUCUUGAGCAACCAUUACAUGUCAGGCAAUGUUCAUCAGAUAUUCAACAGUGAGCAUAACAAAGUCCCUGCCCUUAUGGAACUUAUAUUUUAGCAGAAGGAGACAGAUAUUAAACAAAUAAAUUACUAGUUAAGUGGUGCCAUGGACAGAUAUGAAACAAAUCAAGGAGAUAAGAAGCAUAACUGGCAGGGUAGGGAGAAAUGGUUGUUUUUUUAUACUGGGUGGCCAGGGAAGGUCUCUCUAAUAAGGUGUAAUUUGACCAGAAUCCUAAAGACAUUAAGGAGCAAGCCACAUGGAUAUCUGGGUGAAGAGCCUCUGCUUUGGUGAAAUGACAGAUUACUGACCUUAUUUGUAAGGGAAGAAUGUCAUCAGAACCUUUUGCUUGUCAGGGUAUGGUGGAACUCAGAACAGUGUAUUGUUUCCAGAAGGAAGAAUUAGAUGAUCAUGCCCUAGGUCUGGCUUUCGCAUCUAUUAGUCAUACAACUUUUGACAAAGCACAAUCUUCUUUGUACCUCAUUUUCCAAAGGAUUCUGUUAUCUCACAUGGUUGUGAGAAUUCAGUGACUGACAAAUUGCACAUGAAAAAGCAUUUUACAAAUGAAGCAAAGGGUUCUAUAGAUAUAAGAUAUUAUGAUUGCAUCAUUAUUACUGCCAGUGCUAUCUAACUUGGAAUCAAAAACAUUUAGAUUAGAUUUUAGAGAUUAUUUUUAGCUCAACCUCCUAAUUUCAUGGCUAAAGAAACAAGCCCAGAGGAGCUGCAGCCUAAUUUAUAGAUGUAAAUGUGGGGCUAUAGAAUACAGCAUCUGAUUUCUUUGUGAAAAAAAAUGGUAAUAUAAAGCUGUGGUUUUCAGAAUGUGGUCCCUGCAUCAGCAUGACGUAGGGAAUUGUUAGAAAUACAUACACAUUCUUUGGCUCCAGUCUAUACCUACUGAGUCAGAAAUUCUGGAGAUGGGGCCCAGCAGUCUGUGUUUUAACAAGCCCUCCAGAUGAUUCUGGUGCUUGCUAAAUUUAAGAACCAUUGAUUAAUAGGGAGGUUCACAAACCCCUUCACUCAUAAAGAAUGACACUGGAGAAUUUAAUGCCCAGGGUGAGCCUUCAGCAAAAUUGUGAUUAAAUGGCCUUUGUAGGGGCAUUUAAAAAUCUUCCCUCUUUUCCUGCUUCAGGGUUACCUUUUCUUCAGGCACAUCUCAAGGAACCUCUUUCCUUAGAUGCUUUCUUAGUUGUUUGGCCAAUAACUCUAGUCAGGGUGUUAGUUGAAAUUACUACAUCUUCAGAUUAAUAAGAGAGUAAAUAAAAUGACCAUCCUUUAGGGUCCCAAGAAUUCAGAUUCUAAUAGAUUUGGAUAUAAGACACAUAGAAGAGGUAAUGCUCUGGAGUAGAAGGAUCCUGAGAUUUCUCCUAUUCUUAACACCUGUUUGGUUAUUUGAACACUUAUGAAUGGAGUGGAAAGAAGAUUUAUGAUAUUUCCAGUAUCAGUCACAGAAUUUGCUUCUAGUAACCAUGGUUUUUAAGUUCUCAGAACAUAGAGAAAAAAAGGGAUUGGCCUUAUUACAGAUUCUUUUUUUUUUUUUUUUUUUUUUUUUUUUGAGACGAUGUCUUACUCUGUUGCCCAGGCUGGAGUGCAGUGGCGCGAUCUCGGCUCACAGCAAGCUCCACCUCCCGGGUUCACGCCAUUCUCCUGCCUUAGCCUCCGGGAGUAGCUGGGACUACAGGCGCCUGCCACCACGCCCGGCUAAUUUUUUUGUAUUUUUAGUAGAGACAGGGUUUCACCGUGUUCGCCAGGAUGGUCUGGAUCUCCUGACCUCGUGAUCCACCCGCCUCGGCCUCCAAAAGUGCUGGGAUUACAGGCGUGAGCCACCACGCCCGGCCAAGAUUUUUAGGUUUUAUUAGCGUCAUGAUGCUUGACUUACCAAAAACACUAGGGUGUGGUCAUCUUUGCCUAGUUCUCUGUGUGUACACUUUAAAUAGUUUUAUCUGUAAGUUAGAGAAGAAGUCCCUUGCUUUUUUUUAACAUUUCAAAGUCUUUUUCCAGUCUCGUUUUCUUUCUGUCACACUAAGUGUUAGUGUUACAAUCAGGUAGGAAUUGAACUUAAACUACCUCUAUUUGUCCUAAUUCAGACUUGUGUGUUCUUGGAGACAGCCUCUGCCUUCUCCUUGCAUGCAUCCUGUUUAGGUUCUCAGAUCCAGCAGCACUAGAUUAGAAACAGUCACCAAAUCUCACUAAUACCUCGUAUCAAUUAAAGGAAAGUUGAAGAGUGCUAUAAGCUGUCCUAGAUUAUUAUGUGUGGCUUUAUUUUAGUAGAUAAGGAAAUACGUCUAUAAAUCAGCUAGUCUGUGAGGAAGAUGAGGAAGAAUAUUGACCAGAAUAACUGUGACUCUAUAUGCUUGCUCCUUUAAUCAGGAAACCCGUAAUAAUUGACCCAUAUGUAAUAGAAUACACUCUUGACUCUCUACAUAAGCAAUUAUUUAAGUUAGGAGUCAGAAUAAUAAAGCAAUUGCCCAGUGCUUUUGAGGUCAGUAGAUUAACUCUACAGAGCUUAAUUAAAAAGCGAUAAUAAAUGCUUGCUCUAGGGAGGAUAUUUCAUUAGUCUUCAUCAUGGCCUGGGUGAAGUAUUCCUGAUAAUUAUUUUCUAGCCCUUUAAAAUUCUCCUCUUACGAAGCAAACUUCUCACUACUAGUUAGGAUUCCCACAUUGGGGAAGGAGAUUUCCCAAAGCAGCUCCUCCAUUAGAAAAGACUAAGUUUGAAAAGACAGCACCACUAUAAAGAAUAAAUUGGUAUUCUCUUAUUUUUGGAAGAAGCAAAAUUUUAAACUAAGAAAAUAUCAAAGAAAAGAACACUAUGGCAAUGGCUAUGAUAAAAUUUUGGAAAUACUGUUUUUGAAAUUAAGAAUUAGAUUUCCUUUAUGGUUCCUCCUUAAAAUAUGCAAGAUACUGAGAAAAGUCAGGCUCCUUUUCUGGAGCAAAAAUGGACAGAACUUUUUGGAUAAAUCUUUCUGUUGACCUUCUAAUUCUACAUACCGUUAGAUUUUUGGAUAAAUCUUUCUGUUGACCUUACAGUAAACAGAACUUCAUCUUCAUCAUGGCCUAGGUGAAGUAUUCCUCAUAAGUAAGCAGAACUGUAUGUAGAAUUAGAAGGUCAACAGAAAGAUUUAUCUAAAAAGUUCUGUUUUUCUUGUAGAAGGAGAAAGUUCAGAGGAAAAUAACUUCUUCCAAAAGGAAAUGAAAUCUGUAACCACAAAGUAACUGGGAUGUUUGAAUGCUGUGAAACUGUUUAACUUCUUCCAUUCUUUCAAGCCCUUUUCUUUAUACUGUGUUAGAACUGUGCUUUCCUUCUGCAUUCUUGUUUAUUUCCAUCACCAUCAUCUCUAAUUUUGACCAUUUUAAUAGCCUCCUAAACAGUCUUUGAAGGCUUUGAUCUUUCCCACCUUACUCAUUCCUCCAUACUGCUGCCAUAAUUGUGUCAAUUCUCCUCUUCAAGAAAUUGGACCAAUUUGAUGUGUGUCCUUGUUCCUUAGCACUACAUAUGAGGACAUACCCUUCACAAUCAGGCCUUAUCUUCCAUAUCUGGCCUCAUCUGCUCCCCUUUGCUCAUGAAGCCUGUGCUAAAACUAUGCUGAAAUCUCAUGCUUGUUUUCUUUUCUUAGAAUGAUCAUAAUUUUUUUUCUCUUUCACCUGAUAACUGUCUGGUCCUCUUUUAGGAAUCAGCUCAUAGUCUCCUUUGAGAAGCCUUUCUGGAUUUCCAAAGUUAGCAGCUCACUCUAUGUUAUUGCCACAUUUGUUUUUCACACUCAUGUCAGAGUAUGUAUGUUGCACAUACAUACAGCGUAUAUCUUUUUGAACUGCCGUCUUCCACACUGGAUUGAACUUCUCAAAGACAGGGAUAACUGUCACAUCUUUCGUGUCCAUUUCUGUACCAGACAUAUAGUUGAUACUCAGUAAAAUUGGUUGAAUGGAAUUGAGAGUGCGUUUGUCACCUUCAUGUCUUCUCAGAGCACCUUAUUUCAUUUACCUUCCAUUAAAGUUGGGUUCACUGCCUACAUUCAUUUUUGUUAUUAUCUCUGAUUGCACAUAUUAGGAACUCCACAAAUGUUGAAUAAAGGAAUUAGUUCUAAUAGCACUAAAGAGCUUAUAAUUAAGAGACAAAUGUAUUUUUAGAUGCAAAAUUAUCUAAAGAUUUUAUUUCCUUGAUAUACAGGACAGUGACAAAGAACUUCACAUUUCGUGCAUUUCUUUGGUCACAUUUUCUUUCAUUAGAAUGAAUUACUCUUCACUUAUGACUUUUGUGUGAACCUCCCGACUCUUCACUCUCAGCUUGUUGACUUGGGACUCAGCAAUGUCAGCCCGUUCCUUGGCCUCCUCCAGCUCGUGCUGGAGCUUGCGGAACUUGGCAAGGUUGACAUUGGAUUGUUCCUCCUGAGAACAGAGAUGCAUUUGAGAUAACAAGAAAAUUGGACAUUUCCUGAUUGUUAUUGCUUUUGUUACUUCAGGAUUUGCCUCAUGAAUGAGAAAGAAAAAGGCUCCGUUGUCCAGGCAUGGUGGCUCACACCUGUAAUCCCAGCACUCUGGGAGACUGAGGCGGGUGGAUCACCUGAGGUCAGGAAUUCGAGACCAGCCUGGCCAACAUGGUGAAACCCCCAUCUUUACUAAAAUUAGCCCAGCGUAGUGGUGGAUGCCUGUAAUUCCAGCUACUCAGGAGGCUGAGGCAGGAGAAUCUCUUGGACCCAGGAGGCAGAGAUUGCAGUGAGCUGAGAUUGUGCCAUUGCACUCCAGCCUGGGCAACAAGAGCAAAACUCUGCCUCGAAAAAAAAAAAAAGAAGAGAAAAAGGCUUUAUUAUUUAGUAACAUAGUUAUUUGAGAGCAAGGCAUCCCACAAACUCGCCUAUGUAAAUGAAUGUGCUUAUGACCCUCCUCAAGUCUCUCUCUCACUUGACUCUCUUUCUGGCAAACUGAAGAGGCUGCAGUGAUAACUGGAAGAACAAAGUAGCAGGGAUCUGAAUUCAAUCUUGUUUCUAAAAAAGAAACUUUAAAAAAUAGGUGCAGUAGUGGCAUUUGGUGCCAAGAACCCUAAGGAAGGUUUCAGAAUUAACAGAAUGAAAAAGAUAACUGCAGCCAAAUUGAAAAAAAAAGUCCCAAGAUGGAUUUAUCAUGAAGUUAAAUGAAGCUUAGAAUUCAUACUCUCAUUUGCACAGGUCCAUAUGAGUGCUGGGGGUUGUAGAAUGUUCUAGAUAGGGAGGGAAGUGGAUUGCAACUAAGAAACAUUUGUAUGUUAACAUGUCUGGAAAAUUGCUUAAAGAGGUCUCAGAAGAAAUAAACUCAAAUCUAUAAGGCUCCAGUAAUUUAUGGUUCAUUUUUCUCAUUCUAAAUAUUCAUGUUCAUACCUAAUUAUGUAUUCCCAAUUUAAAGAAAACCCCCUAAAUUCUAUAAACUUUAGGCCCCAAAAAACCUGGAUGUGCAUCUGAACCUUUCAUUUCCACUGUGGAGAUACUCACAGCCUCUUCAGCUUGUCUCUUGUAAGCUUUGACUUUGGUUUGCAAUUUGUCCACCAAGUCCUGCAGCCUGAGAAUAUUCUUGCGGUCCUCCUCAGUCUGAAAGAGGUGCAAGUAGAUGGUGCCAUUAUUUUAAAACAACUCAUGAUUUUCUUGAAAACUAUAGGCCUGGAAGAUAUGAAAACACUGGUCACCUGGUAAGUGAGUUCCUUCACUCUUCUCUCAUGUUUGCGAAGACCCUUGACAGCCUCAACAUUGUGCUUCUGUUCACUUUCCACCUCACUUUCAAGCUCUCUCACCUGGAAGGGAACAAAGACGUUUACCAGUUUGGCUGUAACUGGCCACAAGGAAUUGAGUGAAGUUGUGGAGACCUACCCUGGCCUCCAGUUUCUGGAUCUGCUUCUUCCCACCCUUCAGCGCCAGCUGCUCAGCCUCAUCCAGACGGAGCUGCAGAUCCUUCACGGUCUGCUCCAUGUUCUUCUUCAUCCGCUCCAGGUGGGCGCUGGUGUCCUGUUCCUUCUUCAGCUCCUCAGCCAUCAUGGCAGCCUAGUUAGCAAAUAAAUUUUGAAAAUAAUGAAUUCUGAUGAUAGCAGGCAGCAUGCAUGUGUCAGUAAGACAAAUGCUCAUCUUGCUUACAUCAGUGAUGGCCUUCUUGGCCUUCUCCUCUGCAUUGCGGGCUUCCUGGACGAUGUCCUCCAUCUCUCCCUGGAUUUGGGAAAUGUCUGUUUCCAGCUUCUUCUUGGUGUUGAUCAGGCUGGUGUUCUGUUUCAAAUUAAUGAAAGAGAAGAGAAGCACAUUUACUUAUAACAACUCACAUUGUCAUUUUACCUAGUGUACACAGGCAAAAAUUAUUGAUCAUAAGAAAUGUUUAGAAUAAAAACCAAAUUAGAAGAUAAUUCUAAGUUUAUGCCUUUUCUCCUUUCUAUAUAUAGCUCUUUAAUCAAACUUCUAAAUUUAAUUUUUGAUGUCAAACAUAUUCAACUAUUACCAUUGCCAUUUGUAAGCAUGAAACACAGCCCACAAAACUCAAAGUGCUGUACCAUGGAGCACCACACCACAGCUCAUUUAAAAUGAAUCAGUAAUUUUUAGCUAUUAACUCAUGUUGGUUGACUCCAUAUUUAUAAAUGCAUAAAUAGUUGUCUUGUUGGCUGGGCGCAGUGGCUCAUGCCUGUAAUCCCAGCACUUUGGGAGGCCGAGGUGGGCAGAUCACGGGGUCAGGAGAUCGAGACCAUCCUGGCUAACACGGUGAAACCCCGUCUCUACUAAAAAUACAAAAAAUUAGUCGAGUGUGGUGGUGGGCGCCUGUAGUCCCAGCUACUCGGGAGGCUGAGGCAGGAGAAUGGCGUGAACAUGGGAGUCGGAGCUUGCUGUGAGCCGAGAUCGCACCACUGCACUCCAGCCUGGGUGACAGAGUGAGACCCCUUCUCAAAAAAAAAAAAAAAAAAAAAAAAAUAGUAGUCUUGUUGGGAUAAAAAUGAGCCAAGAAUCCCUUCUGUUUUUGGCAAGUUGAUGGUGUUUGGAAUAGUCAACUUCAGAUACUGUUAAUAAGAAAAAUGUUGCAUAUUAAUUUGAUUUUAAAAUUAUAUAAAGCAUGCAAUUUUAACACUUCUAUAAUAGUUAUGUUUAUAUAGUGCAACUUUCUGAAGUAUACAGUACUAUAUAUUUAUUGUAAAAGAUAGUAGAACAUACAAAUUAGCAGACAAGAAACAAAAAAUAAUUACUGUGCUCUCACCAGAGAUAAAGGAUAAACUUUUAUUUAUCUUUCUGGAUGUUUCCUAUAUGUUUAUACGGGAAAAAAGAUCACACAGCCUAUAUUAUUUUUAAGUUGCUUUUUUAACUUACUAUAAUAUAAACAUCUUCCCAUGGCAAUAAAUUCAUACUACAGUGGUUACAUAUUAGCCAUUGUGAGGAUAUACCACCAUUUAUUUAACAAAUUCACUAUAUACAACAAAUGCUAACUAGUAUUAAUAAUGGCCUCCAUGAAUUUGAACUAAAGAGCUUCUCUUUGUAUCCCAUGAGGUUAGCAUUCUGUGCAUAUGUGAUACGUAAAUAUUAUUUAGUGGCUUUUUGUUUUUCUCCUCUAUUUUAUUUGCCUAUCUUUUUGUAGCUUAGAGUUGCAUAAGACAAGACAGCUACAAAUGUUGUGUGUAUGUUUAUUUGUAGAUGGUCUUCUGUGCUUUUUAAAUAAAAGUUUCUAGAAUUCCAGAUUAUUUCAACUCAACAUGAUUAUGCCAGCCCAUAAAUAUACUCGUGAACCAGCUAGGUCCCAGUAAAUCCUUACAGCACCCUGUACAUUUUCCAGAGCUCCAGGAAGGGACGAAGAUUACUUUUUACUUUAUAAACAAGCUUAUCUUCUCAAAUUAUCUUCAGCUUCAGGGAGUACAUUUUCUAAACCAUAGUCUUGAACCUCACCUGAGUGUGCAGAAGUUGCACACGUUCACUGGCAUCCAGAAGCUCUUGCUCUGCCAUUUUCCUGCCUCUCUCAGUCCGUUCCAGGGAUGCCCUGAGCUCUUCAACUUCAGCCUGCAUCAGGUUAGCUCUGCGCUCAACCAUUGCCAGUUGUUCCUUAAGGUCAUCUUGGCCUCUGAUGGCAUCAUCCAAAUGUAGCUGAGUGUCCUACACAGAAAGAGAAAAAGCCUCUUACUCAUGCUGCACUUAAAGCAAAUGCAAACUUAUGGUCAUGUACACUCUUUGAUCUUAAUGACUUAGAGUAUGAUUAGAUAGGAGCAAUCGGCAAGUACCUUUAAUAAUAAAUUCUUUGUAGCUGAGGGUUGCAGUUCUACUCAAAAGAACAUGAUGUUUUAUUAUUUUAGACCCUGAAUCAUUAAAAAAUACCAUGGCUAGCUCUACAAAAUUUUGGAUCAGGAAAGUAUCCUUAGACUUCAGCGAGUCCAGUGGUGCUAUUUUACAUAUUAAGCAAAUGAAGUCCAGAUUAAUGAAGUGAUUUAAGCAGUGGCAUGUAGCCAAACUCUUUCAUCACUUCCUCUAUCUCCCUACCCCUCACCACAGUGCUUCUCUGCAGAUAACAAAGCAAACUCUGUCCUGGGCCUUCCAGAAUUAAGCUCUUUUUCAGUUGUGUGUGUAUAACUUUGAACUUUGAACUGAUUACCAUGUUGCUUAGGUGAUUUAUGACACAUAGUCCUCGUAAAACAUUAAAAUUUGAGUUACACAGUAGCACUGAGACUGUACAACACUAUGUGUAUUUACCCCAGCAUACCUUCAGUAUUCCUUGUGUGUUUCUAAGAUUCCUUAGUGCCUCAGCAGCCUGGCGGUUGGCAUGGUUCAGCUGGAUUUCCAUUUCAUUAAGAUCUCCCUCCAUCUUCUUCUUGAUCCUCAGAGCAUCAUUUCUGCUCCUGAUCUCAGCAUCCAGUGUACUCUGCAUUGACUCCACAACUCUGAGAUGGUUCCUCUUUAGCUGAUCGAGUUCUUCAUCUUUUUCAGCAAUUUUUCGGUCAAUCUCAGAUUUCACCUGAUUUAGCUCAAGUUGAAUGCGAAGAAUUUUGCCUUCUUCAUGCUCAAGAGAUGCCUUAAUAAAAGCAACAUUUAUUUAGGUUACCUAAAGAGCUUUUUAUUUCUUUCACAUUAUGAUAAUUUCCCCAAGAAGGCAUUAAAAAACCCAUAAACUAUCAUACGUCUUAAUGUAGCCUAUUAGCUCUGCAUUCUCAAGGUACAAUUCAGUAUUUUUCACUGAAUUACUUGUGUUAUUCCCUAAAGAUUUGCAACAUGAUAGAGAUCUCAGUUGCUAUUAAUUUUCAAUUUAUUUAUAAUGCAGAGCUAAGCAAAUGAAAAAUGUACCUCUGCUUCCUCUAGGGAAGUCUGUAGUUCACUCUUCUCAUGAUCAAGUUGUUUCUUUACUUUCUCCAGUUCAUGGAUAUGCUUUCCACCCUCUGCAAUUUGCUCUGUCAGGUCAGAAAUCUCCUCUGUAAUAAUAAAGUACCAAAUUUCAGUUAAGUAGAAAGAAAAAUUGAAAAGAUGUCUCCCUACCAUUUUUGAAAUAGAAUGAUUACAGUGACUCACGUUGUAAGUUCUUAUUCUCUCGCUUUAGAGUUUCAAGAUGAUCCAGGGAUUCCUCGUAGGCAUUCUUCACCUUGAACAGCUCAGUGCUGAGAGAACGCGACUCCUUCUGGGAGGCCUCAAGUUCAGCCUGAGUUUCCUCAUACUUCUGUUUCCAUUCUGCCAGAACCUGGAAGUAUAUAGAAAAUAAGCCUUUGAAACCAAGAAUGAUGUCAGUUUCCCCCAAGGGGAGCUGGUACUGUGGACCACCUUGUCAAAGUUUCUUUGCUUCUUAUCGAGAGCUAUGCAGGCAGCAUUAGAUCGUUCCACAUCAAUCAUGAGGUCCUCUACUUCAUUCUGUAGCCUCUGCUUUGUCUUUUCAAGAGAAGCACAUUUGGAAUUCACAGCUUCUACAUGUUCUUCUGCAUCCUGCAGACGCUGGGCUAGCUUCUUCCUGAAAAUUGGGUCAGUAUGAGUGACCAAGAGCAGACUCAGAGUCACCACAGUGCCCUUUAUAAAGCUGCUGACUAGGAAAGCAUAUUUCCCCAAGAGUUGUCUACAAGUUGUUGAAUUUUUCUAAACAUUUUCACUCUCUUAGAAUUCUGUUUUCCCUGUUGAGUUCUUAUUUUUAUCCAUCUCAGGUAUUGCCAAACAUAUUUACGAAGCACCUGUGUGUGUGUAUGUGUGUGUAUGAGAGAAAGAGAAUAUAAGUUAGCACUAGAGCUGAGUGAGCAAUGUGAAAAUUUGCUCCUCUUUCUUUGUUUUUAUUUCACUAAGCUGGCCCUCUAUAGUGUGGCACAUUUUCUUGAACUUUGCCUGGGGUGAGAAGUAGAAAACAGGAAGAGACAGUACAUUUCUCUUUUGAAACCUGGGAUUUAGAGAUCUGUAACUACUUGUGGAAAAGGGCUGAGUUUUAUUUACUUUGAGGAAGAAAUGGCAACCAUGAACAGGAAGCAUAUCACCAAGGAAUGGUAGCAUUGAGUAGUAUCUUUAAGCAUUUUCUAGUAUGGUUCUGUUUAUUUUGCAAAUGAGGAAACUGCGGCCCAGAGUGAUAUGUUCAAGGUCAUACAAUGAAUCAGUAACUUUCUGGAUUUGGUGGCCUUUGAUAAUAAAUAUUACUGCAUUAUUGCAUUUCCCAAAUUUCCUCUAAAAUCUUGUCUACUACUCUUCACCAACCUAUGUAAUUCAUGACCUUUCCCAGCCCACACUCUUAUCUAGAACUCUCUCUGGAAAUGCUUGCUACAAACUCUUUCAUCCUGUUUAAUUCUAACAACUACUGAGAUAAAUUAAAUUUAGAAAGGCUUCUUUCACUAGGAGUAUAAUGCUUUUUUUCCUUCUAUGUGUAAAUCUGUAAAUCUCAUGACUUGUAGUCCGCAAACAGUACGUGUAAUUAGUGAAUACAUCCAUUGAUAUAGGUUGUUAGUUGAAAUAAUGACAGCAUAUGACAACCUUAAUAUAAACAUUCAAUACUCCAUCUGAGGAAAAACUGAUUAUUGUUAAUUGUAAUACUCAUAAUAAUUUACCAGAGAGUCUCAAUGUCUCAAUUUUUCCUUCUAUUAAAAGAUACUAAUUCUAUUUAAUUCAUAAAUAAUAUUCUGAUAAUUAAUAAUCCAUCUUGGUGGAAAGAAAUUUAAGAUGCUUCUGGACAAGAAUGGGUGGAGGGAUCUGGUCUCAUUCCAUUCUCCAGUGGACAUACACUGGGCUUUAAGAAGAAGAAUAUGGUGGAAUCCACCAACCUAUAAUAAAAUAAGCUGAAGUCUUUCAUGUGUCCCCAAGCCCGGAAUAUUCUCUUUCUUCUAUUUUUCCUUCACUGCCUUUACUUUUAUUUCUUCCUGCUCCCCUGCACUAAAAGCACAUACUUGGCCUCCUCCAGCUCCUCUGUGCGCUGGAUGGCGUCCGUCUCGUACUUGGUCCUCCACUGGGCAACCUCACUGUUGGCCUUGGACAUUCCCCUCUGCAGCUCAGCCUUGGCUUCCUGCUCCUCCUCAUACUGUUCCCGCAGCAGGUCACAGUCAUGGCGGGCUGACUGCAGGGCAUGGGCCAGAGUGCUCUUGGCCUAGACCAACCAAAAACUAUGUGAUAUAAGUUUAUCUUCUGAUCAUUGAAAUUCUCUAUGCAAAGUUCAAUAGUGUGUUAUGUUGCACGGUUCAAGUGAUUGAAAGUAUCAGCUGGAGAAUUCUCACCUUAGUCUCCUCUUCUAGCUGCCUCUUUAAUUCUUCAAUCUGUUGUGUAAAUGCUUGUUUGCCUCGGGAUAGCUGAGAAACCAUAGCAUCUUUUUCAUCUAGCUGUCGUGAAAACUCACCUGUGGAAGACAAAACAUCAAUGAUUUAGUUCUGUUGUCUAGGUAAACAAUAAUUUAAAGAAUGGAAUAACAUUGUAACCCUCUUAUUUCAUAUGAUGAAAAAACCCCUCAAGAUUUUCAGUGAUGUUGAGAAGGUUAUUUCUUGCUUUUUAAAAAAUGUAUGAGUUUUCUUUGAUAUUUUAGAAUUCGAGAACUUUUGAGUAAUGCUGAGUCACAAAAAAUCUCCUGAGCCCAGGGAGCUUAAUUCUUUUCCCCAAUUGUCGCUUAGAAUCAUUGCAUUUUACUGUCUCAUAAUAAAAAGAUGGAGGAAUAAGUAAGACAUGAUAAAUGAAUGUACAGAGCUUGAGAAAUUACUUGUAUUUGAUAGGUAGGUAAAGGCUUGUCUUUCAUUCGUCACCUCUCCGAAGGUUGAUGCUAUUUAUUUACUGACCUGAUUCUGUGUGUAAACGUGCCUUCUGGGCUGACAACUCAUUUAUUAAGCGUUGUUGCUCUUCUUCCUUUGUUUUUAUUUCACUAAGCUGGUCCUCUAGGGUGCGGCACAUUUUCUCAAAGUUUGCCUGGGGUGAGAGGUAGAAAACAGGAAGAGACAAUACAUUUUUAUUCUAGAGGCUGGGAUUUAGAGAUCUGUAACUACCUGUGGAAAGGGGCUGAUUUUUAUUUACUUUUCUAUCAAUCUUGCAUGGUGGCUAUAAAGUAGUAGAGGCAUUUAAUUUGGCUAAAUAAUGAACACAUGAUUAUCAAAAUUAUAUUCUCUUUGAAAGUGUGAACAUCAUUUAAAUUCUGCAUCAUUUAGAGUAUGGUUUUUAGAUAAACCUUUUUUGUAAUUACAUUUUUUUUCAUGGUAAUAGUAUCAAAGGUUAAAGUGUUUUCUACAAAGAAGUUAAGAGAACUUAAGUGAUUCAAUACAAUAAUGUGUACUAGGAGUAAGUUUAAGCUUCAGAUGCCAUCUAAUGUUUGUGUAAUUUGGCUAAAAAUAGUCAUAUAUAAACUUGGUCAUUUUGAAUUGUUGCAAAUAAAGAUGAAAAGGGCACAAGUUAAUGAAGACCUUGGCUUUGGAGACAGUCUCCAUGUUACUAGCAAGGUCAUUGAUCUCCAUCUUCAGCUCACUCUUUUCCUUCUCCAGCUUCUGCUUGACCCGCUGAAGGCUGUCAAUCUGCUCCCCAAGCUCAGCCACACUAUCUGCGUGCUUCUUCCGAAGAGCAGCUGCCGUGGCUUCGUGCUGCAGGGUGGACUCUUCCAGGUCCCUGCGCAUUUUCUGGAACUCAGCCUCCCGCUUCUUGUUCAUCUCAAUCUGGGCUGAAGUGGCCCCACCGGCUUCUUCCAGCCUCUCACUGAUCUCCUCCAGCUCCCGGGAGAGGUCAGAGCGCUGCUUCUCUGCUUUGGCCCGGGAGGCCCGCUCUGCCUCGAUUUCCUCCUCCAGCUCCUCAAUGCGGGCCUGGUUGUGAUAUGUCAACAUUAAUGUGAAUUUAUGUCAGUUUUGUUUCCUGUAAUGCCCAGAAAAGGUGGAGGUUAUAACUUACCUGUAAUUCUUUGAUCUUCUUUUGUAGCUGUAUUGCAAGGGCUUGUUCAUCUUCAAUCUUGCCUUGCAGAUUGCUCAUUUCAAACUCUUUCCUAUUAGAAGAGCAACACAUUAGCUUAUAAUCACUUCUCUUACCAAUCUUCUUUUCUAUGUAUAAUCUAAGACUUUUUUUAUACUGCUGGUGUUGAAGGAGUGAGUAGUACAAUGUUUUACAGAUUAAUAAUUGUAUUAGUUUAAUUAAAUAAAAAGGUCAAAGAUGUCAUUAUUUUUUUCCAUAUGUCAUGAUGUAACAUUUUGGAGAUCUUUUUAGCGUAUGUUUCAUUUGCAUUGACAUACAACAAGCAGGUUAUAGCUGAAUUAUACCAUACUUACUUUUUGAGUUUCUCAUUAAGUUGCUGUUUGUCAUUUUCUGUAUCCAUUGUGGAUUCUUGGGCCAAUUUUAGGUCACCCUCCAGUUUUCUCUUGGCUCUUUCUAAGUCCAUGCAAAGUUUCUUUUCUUGUUCCAGAGAUCCUUCAAGCUAAAUUUAUGAUGCAUUUUAUUUAUUUCAGCUCUUAAGCACUGAACCCUAUGCUAGUAGCCUUCAAAGAUACAUAAGAAAAAAAUUUAAAGAUACAACAAAUAGCACAAGAACUUUAUUCACAGACCAAGCGUUAAAGGCUUAUGACUAUCAGUGCUGGUUUCAUGUCACAAUUGUUUAUUUCAUUGCAAGGGGAAACAUUUUCUUUUUCACACUUACAUCGUCCACUUGCUGUUCUAGCUUGGUUUUAGCUUUGGUCAGGGUGUUGACUUUGUCCUCCUCCAUCUGCAGGUCAUCCAGGGUCUGCUGGUGGGCCUCCUGGAGAGCCUUCUUCUCCUUGGUCAGCUUAGCAAUGGUUUCAUCCAGACCUGCCAUCUCUUCUGUGAGGUUUUUCACCUUUAGAUUAGAACAGAUGACCAGAAUGUCAAUGACAACGUAUUAUCUUGAUGAAAAACAUGAUGCUGUAGUAUCUUAGGAUAAUGUCAGCGUAAGAUGGAAAAUGAGAACCAGGAGCUAACCCAGGCCUAUAAUGGCUGAAAAAAUAGGAGGUAAAGGUCAAGUAAGUACAUUGAGGUGGUGAAGACUAAAGAGAUGAAAUAGUUAUGACAGUGGUAUUUUUUAUAUUCAAUCAUCUUAAGAUUAAAUUUUUAAUUAAAAUACUUCAGUAUCAAGGUGCUUAUAAAUAUUCUAAAAUGGAUCAUGAUUUGUACCUUGUUCUCUGUGGCAUGUUUCUCCUUCUCAACCUUGGCCAGUGUCAGCUCAAGGUCAUCAAUGUCUUUCUUGAGCUCUGAACAUUCAUCCUCCAGUUUCCUCUUCUUGGCUGUCAGCUCAGCAUUGAUCUCUUCCUCAUCCUCAGCUCUUUCAGUUACCUCUUUGAUUUUGGCCUCAAGUUGGAUUUUGGUUUUAAUCAACUGAUCACAUCUUUCCUCUGCAUCAGCCAAGGCAUCUGCUUCCUAAAGGGAGAAAUUAAGCAUUUUCAUUUGUCUGAGCUAUAUCUAUAAGCACACAAUAAUUUAUUAUAAGGUGGAAAUUUCAGUGACUACCUGUUUGGUCAACAUGUAUACCAGUUGCUAACUUUUAAAAUGAAACAGACAAAAUGUUAAUACUGUUAUCUACUGAUCAAGUAUAAUAACAAAUUUCCUUCAGAUAUUCAUGUGUGGCAGGCCAAAUCAGGAAAACUAGCCCUUUGGCAAAAAUCUGCCACUUUACUAACCUUUGCAACUUUGGAAAAAUCGCUUGUUCAUUGUAGGACUCAGUUUUCUCACAUUUAAGAGGGGAUUAACUUAGCCAUUUCUCUGCCCUGAUAAAAACAACAUAACUUCUAUUUUAUGCACAAAAAUACACUAAAGAAAGAAUAAUCUGAUCUGAGAGAAAGUUCCAUAAAUAAAGGAAAAUGUCUAUUGAUAUUUUUAUGAAUUUGCUCACUGAUGACCAAACUGUGUGUGAAUGCACAUAUGAACGUGUGCAGCAUGAUAUGUGACUUUGCAUCUAUUGCUUCUUUAUGCCCGAGUCUUGGUGUUUUUGAACAGCAAACAAUCAGAACAAAUGUUUCAGUGGAAACCAUUCAUUUUAAAACGUUAAAAGUAAUAAGAUGUGGCUGAACUGCAAUGUAUAAUACUUACAGCUUGAACUUGGAGUUGUAAGUCAUUUUUCUCUUGCAUUAGCGUCACCAUCUUUUCUUCUAGUUCUUUCCUUUUUGCCUCUGUCUUAGCCAGCUCUUCUUUGGUUUUCUCAAAUUCUUCCUUCAUGUUGGCCAUCUCCUUCUCUGUCUCUGCACUCUUGAGGAGGGGCUUGAUCUUGAAAUACAGCUUCAUCCAGGGCCAGUGCUUCACAUUCAUGAAAGCACGGAUGUUGUACUGAAUGCAGAAGAUGGACUCUCUGUAGGAAAAGAAAAAAAGAUGCAAAUGGAGAAUAAUGUGGAAAGUGAUCAUCACUCAACAAAAGUAAUGACUGCAGUGGAUUCAUUUAUGAAAGUGUGGAGCAGGAAGACUUGUGUGUGGGCUCUCACCUCCUCUCCAUCAUCUUUCUGAACUCCACUCUCAUCAGGAACCCUCUGCAUAUGGCUUGAGUGCGCGUGAUGAGUUGAGCUAGCUUUUCAUCUCGCAUUUCCUCUAGAGUUCCCAGCAGGCCAGCUUUGAAGAAAACCUUAUGAAAGAACAAGUUAAAUAUGUUAUUUCCACUUACAGGAAAGUCUAAAAGUGAUAGAAUUAUGACAGAUAGAAAUUUGGACUGGUGAUACCUUGGUAUGACCGAAUUUGUACUGGGUGUGGUCAAUUUCAAUAGACCCUAGAAGUUUCUCAGAAGCCUUCUUGCUGUCAAUGAACUGACCCUCUGGGAUAGCACUCGCAUUUAGAACCUUGUAUCUGUCAGAAUAAAAAGAAUAUAAAAAUGUGGUUUUUCUUCACUGAAAAAAACAGUAGAACAUUUGGUAGCUAUCAUUGAAAAGAUGAUAGAUUAAGUUUUGGUGAACAAAAUGCCAUUUAAAAAGUCAGUGCUUUAUUUAAAACUUCGGAAGAUAUGAUGAAAAACUUAUGAUAAUAUAAACCUAAGCUUCUUUCUUUUAUGAUCAAUUUUCAAAUAAUUGCAUGUCAUUUUUCAAGGAAAAGUUUAAAAAUGUUGGAAUUAUAUAGUGAUUUUGUGUAGACUAAGACAUUGGAAGGGAAAAAUAAUGAGACACAAACCUCUGUUUGAAGUCUGCAUAAAGGAUUCUGCUUGGGAAGCCUUUCCUGCAGAUGCGGAUGCCUUCCAGCACACCGUUACACCUCAGCUGAUGCAGGACAAGCUCAUGCUCCAUGGCACCUAAGAGAAUGAAUCCACAUGCCAUACUUCGUGGUCUAUCGCACACACACUGGAGCUUGUCUGGAUAUCAGAAAUGUCUUACCAGGAGUUUUAGUUUCAUUGGGGAUGAUGCACCGCACAAAGUGGGGGUGAGUGCUCCUCAAGUUGGUCAUCAGCUUAUUCAAAUUCUCCUGUGGAACCAUAUGAAAAGUUUUAAAAUCAUUUCUAGUUGCAUCGACAUGAGAGUCCCUAUCAAUAUUUGUCUUUCAUUUCACAUUUUAAUGAGCUGUCUCAAGGAAAAACAAAUUAUCAUAACAGAGAGGAAUCAUAUAAGUGGAGCACAGGUAGGAAAUUACAGAUUACACAAAAUCAGUUAAUUUCAGUUUGUUAUUCUCAAGCACCACCAGUCAGAGAAACUUUGUAUUGCGAUUUUUGUCACAUGAAGGAGAUGUAAUUGAAUACAGUGGUUAUUUUUAAAAGAGCAUUUGAUUUCAUGUGAAAUUUGUACAAUACCAGAUCUCUUGGAUGUAGGGCUCAGGGGCAAUGGUUCACGUAUCAUAAAGAUUGAUGUGAAGAGAUAUGUAGUUUGUUUUUUUGUGCUAAUUUUUUUUCCUAAGCCAUUUAAAAAGUUUACAAAACCUUUAGUAGUAUACUAAAAAGUAUACUGUACUACUUUAUUCACUUUCACCAUAAAUAUCUUUUAAAAAAUUUUCUGUUUUGAUGGUUUAGUUUUUUAAUGAAAGUAUUUAUCUGUAAUUCAAGAAUAUACUGUACCCUGAAAAGAGCUGACACUGUCUGGAAAGAAGAACCCUUCUUUUUGCCACCUUUCUUUCCACCACCACCCUCUAAAAAACAAAAUGGGAAAAAUAAAGUUAUUUGCAACUGCCUUUUAAGUACUAUCCAUAAACAUCAGGACUGCCAAAAUUCCCUUUAGAAUUUAAAUUUGCACUCAUUCACUUGCAUCAUUCCUAUUCUUUCCAUAUCUCUCCUCCCUCAAUUGUAGAUUAAGAAAGUCUAAGAUUUGGCUGACUUUAUAGUCAUUCAUGAAAAAACCAACAACAAAAGAAUUGUGAGUGUAAGGGGUAGAUGUGGGUAGGGGAUGGGACUCCCCUACUCCAAGUCAGCAAUGUCUGUUCUCUGAAGGAAGGGCCAAGGAGACAGAGUAGUAAUGCCUUGUUAGUGCAGGCCUCACUUGGACAACAGGCAGAGUUGCACACUUGGUCCCAGGUAGGUGAGCCUCUGCUCACCUGCAGGGAAAUCCUGGCUCCCAUUUGCCUGUGCUUCCAUGGUGUUACUUGCACAUCUGGUCUUAGAACACUUAAGAGAACAGAACUUCAGUUCCCCAAGCACUAGGGCCCUGACAAAGGAUUUCCUUAUCUCCAGCCUAGCUGGAGAACCUUGAAAGAACCAAUACUAUUAAAAUGAUAGAAAUGAGUUUUAUGAUCCUGAGCAAAUCACUUAACCUCUCUGAGAUUCUUGUUUUCUCAUGAGUGAAAUCAGGCUGUGGGCUAAAUGCUCCAUAGUGUCACUUAGCUCUGAAAGUCUGUGACUGUAAGACUGUAUCACAGUUAUUAAAUACACUUUCUUUCAUUAGGCAUGUAUUGGCCAGUGUUUUUGUGUCAGGUUUUGCUGUAACUACAUUUGUCUCUGUUGAACAGUGUAUAUCUAUUUUGUGACUCUUGUAACAUAUUAGUGCUAUUAAACAUGACCUGCUUCAGCAGUUUGUGCCCCAGAGAAGAGGAAAGCCAGAGUCUUCAUUGCAGACUUCUGGUACAGCCCCACCACAGUCUCAUUCAGGGGGUCCUUGUUUUUGUCCAGCCAGCCGGCGAUGUUGUAGUCCACGGUGCCGGCAUAGUGCACCAGUGAGAAGUGAGCCUCAGGCUUGCCUUUGGCAGGCUUGGGCUUCUGGAAGUUGUUGGAUUUUCCAAGAUGUUGUUCAUACAGCUUGUUCUUGAAGGAGGUGUCUGUUGCCUUGGGGAACAUGCACUCCUCUUCUAGGAUGGAGAAGAUGCCCAUAGGCUAAGAAUAGGAAAAAAGGGAUGAUAAUGAUGAGUCCCUCAGAAAGUUAUGCUCCAUGUAAUUGAUGGAAAACUGAAAAUACAAUGUUUCAAAAGAAGACUUUGAAUGAUAAAUUAAAUAGGCAUGACAUGUGAAGCAGUCAUUAUGUACCCAGAACAUAUGGGAAAUAUACUUGCUAGAAAGACUCAGUUAAAAAAAAUACAUCUGAACUAUUUGGCACACUUUAUGUUCAGUGUAUAAAAUCAGAUUCUGAAAACAUCACUUCAAAAUUGAAUUCUUUAUUCCAUAAAUGUAUAUAUCUGACUACUUUCUUUCCUACUGACAAUAUAACUUCCUUUACCUCGAAUCUAGAGGUGACAGAAGUAUGAAGGGAAGAGAGAUUAUGUGUAAGGACUAAAAAUGAUCCAUUCCUAGGAGGAAAUUGCAUCUUAUAUUGUAUCAUUAAAAUUCUGUACUUUAACCUAUAUUCUCUACCACUGUGGAGUUAAGUGAUAGUAAUUUGGUUUUGCUUUCUAAGAGUUUGGCUUUUUUCUUAAUGUAUUUGAUAGGAAAGACUGAAAGAAAAUUCAACAUUGAUGAUUUAACAAAUUCACAAAUUGUACCCCUAAGACUAUUUUGGUGAUACAGAAACUGAAAUACUAGAGAAUAAAAUAAAUGCCUUUUCUGAAGACCAUAAAGUUUUCAUGAAUAGUAGAGAUAUUAUAUCACCAGAUUAACGUAUCUUUUCCCCAAAUUGUGCAGACCUAGUCUGCUUUUAAACUCUUAUCUUUCAUAUUUUUGUGAAUUUUAACCUGAGUAUUUUAAGUUUUCCUAGGUGGCAAUUGCAUUUACGCUUCCUUUCCCACUGCUUAGGGUAGGGUUCACACAUACACUUUAUUGAUAUCAAUAAGUAUAUGACAAGCUCCCAAGAUACUUUUGGAAGUGUUUAACGAUUGCUUGAUGAGUGUUAACAUAUCUAGAUCUGAUGUAACUAUUGCUUCACCCCCUUAGUAAUGGGGAAUUCAGGGCCCAUUUUCUAGGUAAGUGAUACAGAGGUUUGGUGUUUAUUCAGUAGUUAUCAUGAACGGGGAAAGACUUAAUGACUGCAACAGUUGAAGGACUAACCUUCCAAUCUUUAAGACGUGUUGACAUAGCCUGCCUUGUUACACAUGAGGGAUGAUGAUAAAUGCACAAUACACUGUCAUGGGUACACCAGGGUUAAUUACACAACCCAGAGGAAUAGCUGUAAUUUCAUCCCUUUCUCCCAUAUGCAUGAAAUAGUGUAGGAAGAAAAGUGAGGGAGAAUUAAGUUUUUAGAGGGAUAAAUGCGAAUCCAUAUGUGUGUGAGUGAUAAACAUUUUUCUACAAACUGCUCUACUUAUUAAUAACAGAUCACUUGGAACAUACCUCACAACCAAUCAGAAUAUACGAGUGUGUCAGGAAACAGCACUGCUUGUUCUUUGAGAACAGGGAGUGUGAUUAAGCACAGGGAGGCAAGCAAUUUGGUUUUCAUGUUUUGAAAGCUAGAAAAGUCAUAUGAACCUUCUCGAUGAGCUCGAUGCAGGCAGCCAGGUCCAUCCCGAAGUCAAUGAACUCCCACUCGAUGCCUUCCUUCUUGUACUCUUCCUGCUCCAGCACGAACAUGUGGUGGUUGAAAAACUGUUGCAGUUUCUCGUUGGUGAAGUUGAUGCACAGCUGCUCCAGGCUGUUGAACUACAGAACAAGAUAAAUAUAGGAAAUUACGCAUAACAAGUAUUCUAUCUACAGAGUAUCUAUUAGUAUUUUCUUCUGAAUUUAAGGCAUUUUGGUUUAUUAAAUUAUAAACCUUCAGAUUGUUUUCCUAUUAUAUAGUUCUAAACAAAGUAGAAUUGAUUCUUUGAAUACUUAUUUUCCAAGUAACUGCAUGAGAUCAUGCAUACUAGGCAAAAUACUGUUAAAUGAGGACUCUGAAAUAUUUCCUUAGAGUAAUUUUAAAAAGGUGUUCUCAUGCUCAUCUGCUUGGAUCCAGGAUAGAUUUUGACUAUUUUAACCUCUCAGGGAUCAACUUUUGAGACUUCUAGACUCAAAAGAAUAGAAUUUUCUCUUUUCCUAUUUAUACCUAUUUACUUUUCAUAUCUUUUCAAAGACUCCUUUCAGUAGGAAUUACAUUUGUAUAUUUUGUAAGGUACAUUUUGUAAAUGUGAUUUUGUAUGCUCUAACAAGAGGAUUUGCACUGGCUAAUUUUCUGUCAGUUCACUACUCACAUCAAAGAUCUCAAAGCCAGCAAUGUCCAAGACCCCGAUGAAGUACUGCCUGGGCUGCUUGGUGUCCAGCUGCUGGUUGAUGCGGGUGACCAUCCACAGGAACAUCUUCUCGUAGAUGGCUUUGGCCAGAGCACCCACUGCAUUGUACACCUUCAACAGAAGUGAUAGUUUAGUUUUUUAAAUUGAAAACAGUGAUGAACUCCUGAGUCACUUGCGGUUCAAAUAAAUCAGACAAUUUAAGUCAUGUUUACCUGCUGCACAGUCUGGCCUUUGGUUACGAACUCAUUGCCGACCUUGACUCUGGGAUAGCAGAGAGAUUUGAGCAGGUCAGCAGAGUUCAGACUUGUCAGAUAAGCAGCUUUGUCAGCAACUGUGUGAACAAGGUGAGAAUGGUGAAACUGACCAUGGCUUACACAAUUUAAAAUGUAAAUGAUGAUGACAAAGAAAAAAGGUUUCACUCAAAAAGUAAGAUGUGCAAAUGUCAUUGAAACCUUUUCAUUUGUUCAUAUUGCCUCAAAAGCAUUGCCACCACUUGCACUAAUUUUAGUCAUUUCUUGUGAUGAUAAAUUGGAGGUUGGGGAAUCGAUGCUGUCUGUGAUAUUUAACCUGGCAAAAGUAGACCACAGAUAAAAAUAAUUUGAGAAACCCUAACCUAGAGGAGUAGUGACAGAAAUAUUCAGAUCUCUGUUUCUUUCAGUGCCUGUGGGCACACAGAUUAUCCUGAAAUAAAAUAUGUUUUAGUCAAAUAGCAAAUAUGAGCUUAUGAAAAGCCAAUGAAUAAUGGAAUGAGCAGAAAUCACAAAUCUGCUAAAUAAUGUAAAACGUCAGGCAGUGUGUAAUUUCCUUCUCGUAAUACUUUUGCCCUUCACGAGCUAGGUCAGAGAAAGUAAAAACACGGUCCCUGCCUCUGAAAAGUUCACUAUGUCAGCUUUGUCAAGUGGAAGAUACCAACAGGGGGUGGUACCUUCCGUGCCAUCUGGCUCUGCCUGCUCUUCCCUUUGCUUUUGCUUGAAUUUCAUGUUCCCAUAAUGCAUCACGGCUCCAGUGAGCUUGUAAAUGGCCACCUUUUCAUCAGCAGUGAAACCCAGGAUGUCCACAGCACUCUGUCAAAAGAGUUGAAUUUGCUCAUCCCCAAUUAGCACCAUGGAAGAAUCCCUCAGAACACCGGGGCUGUCUCCCACUUUUUUCUCAUCACGCCUUGCCUUAUAUUUGACUAGCACUUUGCCAUCUUCAAAAGGUACUCAUAUGCUUUACCUUUUGAUCCACAUGGCAACACGAAGAGGUAUGCAUCAGUCUUUCCAUUUGAGUCAUGAGUCCAUUUGGUCACAGCAUAUGAUGUGACUUGUCCACACUCACUGAACCAGGACUAAGAGCCAUGACUUUUGAUGCCAAGGCCAGUGCUUUGCCCCUUUUCUCCACCCCAGCCCCCCUUUGCUUCUCAGGCACAUGCUCCUCUUGGUCUUUUGGCUAUUUUUGUUUCUUUUCUCCAGUCUCACGAGUCUCUCUGUUGCUCCUUCUUCUCCUAUUUGUCCUAUCCUAAUGCAUAAUCCCAGUCUACCUUCCCCUGCUAAUGGGCAUGAGUGAUAAAGUUGGAAAGAGGGUAUGAGGAGAACAGCAAUGGUUGUGAGUCUUUCUCCACAUGCCUCUCUGAUAGCAAGCCACAGCUCAGCGACCACGAGAUGCCUGGGGUAGCAAACUUUACCUAGUUAUUUAUUUCUCAUGCAGAGAAGAGACAUUUAUGAAAAGAAGGAAUUUUGCCAUUUAGUAUAAUAUUUCUGUGUCUUUUUUCUCUAUCGAAUUUUGAUUACCUUUUUAGUUGCCCACAUAGGCUUUGAAAAGGCUUAUAAAUGGGGGCAGGAUUCAGAGCAGGCAGAGGAAAAUAUGUUUAUUUACCAUUCUUACCUAAGACUCUUUCCCCAGAUUAUUGACUUCCACUUCCAGCUCACUAACUCUACCUAUUUACAGAAACUAGACAUUAUUACGGAAGUCUUAGAGCAAGACUGCUACAUUUUUUUAACCUCGCAGACCAGGGUGUGUUUCUUAACUCCCUAUCACUUUUGGACAUACAAAGAUAAUAAUAAGUUAUAGAGAGUUAAAGCUGAUAUUUAUAAUAUAAAGCCACACAAAUGAAUUAUUGACUUCUUGAAAAUAAUAUUUUAAUAGAAAAAGCAGUUUUGCAAGCACUGUCAACUCUAACUUGGGGGUAUUGGGAUAGUCCCACUGAUAUUAAAGUUAAAAAUAAGGAAGAUUAUUCAGAAAUCAAAAGAAAGCAUGAAAUAUACAUAAAGUUUACAUAUAAAGAAAGUAAGCCAAAAAGCAAUAAUCCUUAAAAAAGAGGUGAUGGUGGGGAGAGAGUGCGUUGUUUCAAAAAUAAAUAUAAAGGCUUAUGGAGUCCCCAAAAUGAGUGUUUUUGAAGUAGACAACCCACUUCUUCUAAUGCUGCUUAGGGAGUAGAGAGGGAUAUAUCAUUGGCCCACAGAGGUUUAUUCAAAAUAAGGCUUAUGUUUACAUGUGACUGUAGAAGAACAGUGGGAGUUCCAUGUUUAGUUGUAAUAAUAUUGCAGCUCCUUCCCAGAAUCUUGGGUGUGAGGUGUGGCAUAAAAUAGCAGAGAAACAUUAAUAUUGGAGCAUAAAUAUCAACCAAAAAUGACUAAUAAGAAAGAUAGAAUGAAAGGAGCCUACUAGCUAAGGAAUACUAAAGACCCAACAUUUAUUACAGGCAGUGAAAGCUUUUUAACACAUGUAGGGGGAGGGUAUUGAAAUAUCCUACAAUUUUUUUCCAAAAGUAAGAAAGCCCAAAGGGUUGUAUUACCUAUUUAUAGUCUUUCUGCCACUGCUUUCCACCCUAAUAGAGGAGAGUGUUGUACACUGGAAAAUGAAUUUACUUUUUACUACUUUGUACCUAUUACUUACAUCUGUGGCCAUCAGCUCUUCCUGGUCAUCAAUGCUGGGCACAGUAAUUUCCCCUUGGCUGACAAAUGCGAAGUCAUAUGGGUUGGUGGUGAUCAGAAGCAUUUCUGAACACAUGGAAAAGAACAGUAUAUAGACAGCAUUGCUUUGGUCAUCAAAAACAUUUCAGAGAGGCUUCUUAGAAGGGCUGUUAUUCUUUGGUAGAAAUAAAUCAAAGAUGUGUCUUACCAAUGAGCUCUGGUUUCUUAUUGGACAGGAUUUGAUAAAAUAUGUGGUAGCUUCUUUCAGCCUUUAGCUGAAAAGUAACUCGGGACUUCUCUAGCAGAUCUGGAAGUCAGAUUAAGCUCAUUUAAAAGAAGAUGCCACAGUGAAAAAUUAAGUGUUUGAAAAUUUCACACAACAGAAAUAAGUACAAGAUUUUCUAAUAUGUACCCACAAAGAAAAAGAUUCUCAAUCACUAAUAUUUAUUAACUUACAUGUUUCAAUAUCUGCAGAAGCCAGUUUGCCUGUGGCACCAAAAUGGAUCCUGAUGAAUUUACCCUUAAAAAAGAAAAGGAGGGAUUAUUAUACACAUUAAAAUCAGAAACUAUUUCUUUAGCUGUGGACCAAACAGGUGGAAAAAAUAUUGACACCACAUGCACACAAGAAUCAGUGCUGAUCCUCAAGAAAAUGAAGAUCAAGAGACUUACAAAGCGAGAGGAGUUGUCAUUCCUCACGGUCUUGGCAUUGCCGAAGGCUUCCAGUAGGGGGUUAGCACUGAUGAUUUGAUCUUCAAGGGUCCCCUUAAGAGAAAUGAAUAAGACAGACAAAGAAAAAAGUUGCAGUAAAUAAUUUCCCAUUGACCUCUUUCCCUUCCCCAUUGCCCCUGCACAGUAUUCUGUAACUUUGGGAAAGGCUUUCUAAAAUGAGUUAAAAAGAAGGUAAAUCGGGAAGGGGAGUGGGACACUCCAGUGAUGUGGUCUUGAUUUCUGCAUCCCCCAGGCCCAGAAAAGCACCUAAAAAAUGAUUGUGAGAAUUUUUGCCUAUUAUACUUGCCAAUACAUUGCCCUAUUCAUCUCAUUCUCAUGAGCUCUUCCAAGAGUUAUUUUCCAAAUUCUGGCAUCACUUGCAAUUGGCUGCUAUGAUUUUGAAGCACCACAGUCAGUUAAAAAAAUUAACCUUUAUUUUGGAUUCAGGGGAUACAUGUGCAAGUUUGUACAUGGGUAUAUUGCAUGAUACUGAGAUUUAGGGUAUGGAUGAUCCUGUCAUCCAGGUAAUGAGCAUAGAUAGUACCCAAUAGGUAGUUUUUUGGCUCUUGCCUCCCUCCUACCCUUCCCCAUCUAGUAGUCUCCAGUGUCUAUUCUUCCCAUCUUUAUGCCCAUUCAUGCUCAAUGUCUAGCUCUCACUUAUAAGAGAACAUGCUGUAUUUGGUUUUCUGUUCCUGCAUUAAUUCUCUUAGGACAAUGGCCUCCUCAUGUUGCUGCAAAAAAUAUGAUUUUGAUCUUUUUUAAGGCUGCAUAGUAUUCCAUGGUGUAUACGUACUACAUUUUCUGUAUACAGUCUACUGUUGAUGUGCACGUGGUUAGAUUUUAAAAUCUGUUAUUCUGUCCUUAGAUGAAUAUCAUGCCCACCUGCAUUUUGCCAGAGGCAGGUUCCUCUUUUUUCUUCUCUCCAGUAACUGCAAUUGUUGCAAAGUACUGGAUGACACGCUUCGUGUUCACAGUCUUCCCUGCACCAGAUUCUCCACUAUCAAGUUCAAACAGAAGAAAAGGUCAGAAUCUAAGGUAGUAGUAGCCACUACAAUGAUCAAAACAGAAAGAAAGUAACGAAAUCUACAUACGUAAUCAAGAUUGACUGGUUUUCACGAUCUGUAAAAGAGAAGCCAAAGAUAAUAUUUAGAAAAACACACUUAACACAUAGGUCAACGCAGUACUUAUAAACUCAAAAUUGUCUUUUAAAACUCCCCAUUUGCAAAAAUAACUAUAUGAAUUUGUGCUUUGCUUCUCAUAAGGUUUUUCUAAAAAUAAGUAUCAAAGAUGUGCUAAUUAAUAAUCCCAUUACCUUUCUAAUGUAUAGACUAUGUAAUGCAUCAUUUUACCAUUUUGUCCAUGAGAAUAAUCUAUCAAUAUCAGAUUAAUAACAAUUUUGUGUCCCAUCCAGUCACCUGGUUCAUAGUACAAAAUUAUGUCAAUGUCCAAUUUAAAGUUUUGUACUGUGCUUGUGAUAACUUGUCACUGUGAGUCUUCAAAACUUACUUUUUAGGAGAGAUUAUGUAUUAUCUAUAAUCCAAAUGCAGAGUUGAUGCCUAAAUUUAAUUAAUUUUGAGGUGGAACUAGCAUUAGUUAAUUUGGAUUUUAGCAUAGAAAUCUAAGCAAAAUUUCCUCUAUUUUUGGAACUAGUGCUUAGCAUAGAAAUCUAAGCAAAACUUCUUCUAUGUUUGGAACUAGUACAUUUUAUUCUAAAUAUAUUUCCCUAAUUUUAUUAUUUCUGUUAUCAUGUUUGUGCUGAACAGUUAUUCUCAGAAUACUAGCCCUAUGUUUUUUCUGAUAUCAGUAUACAACUAUUUUACAAAUGGCUAUGGAAAUUGUAAUUCUCACUCACCAGUUAGCAUGAACUGAUAGGCAUUGUCAGAGAUGGAGAAGAUAUGGGGUGGGGCCUCCUGGCGCUUUUUGCCUCGGUAGGCUGUCACCACCUCAGGGUUGUACACCGGCAGCCACUUGUAGGGGUUGACGGUGACACAGAAGAGGCCCGAGUAGGUCUGUGGGAAAGGACGGGGUUCCUCGAUCAGCAAUCACCUUGUUUAUCUAUCUUGGAAAUACUGUUUAAGGGCAAGUAGAGCAGGACCUAAGUACUGUGUUAGUUCUCAUAAAGUUUCAUUCAUUUGUUGCCUCCUUCCAUCAUUGCUGCUGCACAAAAUGCUUCAGUUUUUCUUUUUUUUUUUUUUUUUUUUUUGAGACGGAGUCUCGCUCUGUCGCCCAGGCUGGAGUGCAGUGGCGGGAUCUCGGCUCACUGCAAGCUCCGCCUCCCGGGUUCACGCCAUUCUCCUGCCUCAGCCUCCCAAGUAGCUGGGACUACAGGUGCCCGCCACUACGCCCGGCUAAUUUUUUGUAUUUUUAGUAGAGACGGGGUUUCACCGUUUUAGCCGGGAUGGUCUCGAUCUCCUGACCUCGUGAUCCGCCCGCCUCGGCCUCCCAAAGUGCUGGGAUUACAGGCGUGAGCCACCGCGCCCGGCCCAGUUUUUCAACUAAUUCAGUUAAGUAAAUGGUUUUCCACAUGUACAUUUUAAAACAUAUCAGAGUUUACAACAUUAACCAAACAAUUGGUCAUAAAAGAACAGUUCAAUAGCCAAAUGUAUUGAAACCCCUUAAUUUAUUUUAGCUAACAUGUGUAGAAUGUGGAGUGAGUGAGAAAUAGCGUUGAAAGGGUGCUCACGUAGAUCAUCCAGGCUGCGUAACGCUCUUUGAGGUUAUACAGCACAGCAGGCUCAUGCAGGUGAGUCAUCAUGGCCAUGUCCUCGAUCUUGUCAUAUUUGGGAGGGUUCAUGGAGAAGACUUGGUCUUCUUUCACAGUUACAGUCUGUUAAGAAAAGAAAAAACAAGUGCAUAUCAAAUAAGUAGCAGAAAAAGCCAGGUCAAAAAAAUAUCACCUAAAUUAACCCAAAAUGAGGCAGAGUCUAAUUAGCUCCAGGUGUUUUUACUCACAGCUCCAGCUUCGGUCUUGGCUGUCACCUUCCCCCCUUCCCUGCUCUGCACUAUUGCUUUCACGUAGGACUCCUUAGGGUCCACCACAAAGACUGAUGUCUUGGCAUCAAAAGGCUUGUUCUGAGCUUCAAUUCGCUCCUUUUCAGACUUUCGGAGGAAAGGAGCAGCCUCCCCAAAAAUGGCCAUCUCAGAGUCAGAACUCAUGGCUGCAGGUUAUUGAUGGCAGUACUGGACUAGGUAUACCUAGAGGAAGAAACAGAGCCAAAUGAUGAUUCAGGGUUGGGGUGGAGAAUUGUUCUGUUGAUUUCAUAUUAAUGUGCUUAAUUUUCCAUGCUUGUUUCCUCACCCCUGCCUUUAGGGACCACUCCUGUAUACUAUGUCAAGGAGCUGAGAGAUCAGCUCAUUGAUUUGAAAGCACUAUGUUGAUAGCUUAAUUUUUGUGAUACUUUAAGCCUAAGUUCCAUCCUCUAUGUUGUAAACCUUAGUUGAGAAAUGUGGAGGAAUCAACAUUCAAUCAGCAACAUUUGUGAUGCUCCAAGCAUGUUCAGAAUUUUUUCUUUUUCUUGCUACUUUUCUUUUCUUUCUUAUUUCCAACUUCCCCCUCUUAACAUCGUGAUGAUACAAAGAAAUGGACAAUAACUGUUUCCACUGGCUUUACAAUAUAAAUGAACCUGUCUUAAAAACUCAAAUACAGAUCUUUAUGCAAAUUUUCCUCUCAUCCCAAAUUAUUAAAAUUGGAUGUCAGAUUUACUAAAAUUGAAUGUAGACAGAUACACCUGUUCUUUCCGGACAUAAGUCCAGAUCUAAUCAUUACAAAUAAACACCUAGUUAACUGACAGGUAUUAGGUAAGUAAAGGAAAAAAUAACUACAAUGAAAGCUGAAUAUCCAACAUAUAAUUUUGCCCUAAGUUAAAAUUAAAAUCUCCUUUAUUAGUUUUGAAAUUGUUUGAAAGUCAGAAGUAGUAUCUAAACCAAAAACAACUUUAAAAGAUUCUUGGAGAAAAGGAACUUCUUAAUUUUUAAUAAAAUUUUAUAGUGAUUGUAUGUGUUGAUCUGUAUUUCUCUUUGUUUUUAGUUGGAUUUCAACCUAACAUAUUUUAAAAUCUGAUUCUUAUUUUCUUAGGUUUAUAAUCUCGUUCUUUCUUCUCCUCUUUUUAAAAAUACCAACCAGUCUUCUAAAUAUUUUUCUGAAAUGGAUAGCCAGUAUAAAGUUUCAAGCCAAAAUGAACUUAAAAAAUUUUCCCUACUGACAAAUUAAUUAUGAGAAAAUAAAAUAAGUCCUGCUGUCCUGAUGGCAAGGACAGGGUGAGUGGCCAGAAUAAAAGAAGGUGACCUCUGUGGAGCAGAAGUGUCUUGGUUGCCAAUGACAAUGACAGCAAUGAUGGCGACAACAGCAAUAGCCACCACCUUCUGUAGGCUUUCCAGAGUCUUGAUCUUUUGUCAUCAGCAUUAACUUUCCCUCAACUUAAAAUGUUAGCUAUGGAAUUUCCACAUACUCUAUUUUCAAAAUCAGUCUUAUCUGUAAAAGUGUCCUGAUGACACUGUGAAACUUAGACAUAUUUUCAGGGGAUAUAUAUUGGAACAUUUAAUGUCAGGUUUUUUUUCUUUGAAGAAGAAAUGUUAUUUAUAUUACAUUAUAUUUUGUUUCUGUGUUUGUUUUUACACCAGGCAACUUGAAUUAACAACACACUACCACGUGGAGGUUACUAUAAUGCAGUGUAUCCAGGAAACACAGAAAGAUGAUUGCUACCCUUCCCAUCUCCUGUCUUAUUAUAGAUUAAUUGUUUCCCAACUUGGGGAUCAAGCCCCAAUAGAGCCUCAGGUUGUUGCAGGGGGUUCUUGAAUCCACCCACACAGUGAUCAUUGCCUCAAGUUUAAGGAAGGAACAUUUCCACAUGAACAGUGUUUUCUGUUCUUUUCUAAAUGAAUAUAGCUGCUAUGUUAAAUAUAAACUCAUUUAAAAUAAUUCUUAAGUGUAGAAUAGGUUUUCAUGAUUAUAUAUAUCCUUAACAUCAUACUAAAAGUACAUGUCUCCACAUGAACAAUUAGCAGGAUUCCAUUAGUUUUGAUUCUCCAUUAGCAGGGUUCCAUUAAAUGUUUUGAUUCUGUGGAGGAGUCCUUGAAAACCACUGACGUCAAUCACAGUUGGCAAGAGCUGGAAGGACCUUAGCAGUCAAUAGAAUCCAGCCUCCUCGUUUACUGAUGAGGAAACUAAGGCCUAGAAAGGUUCAGGGUCAUUCAGUGUCAUAGUGGUGGGUGAUAAGUGGCGGUACUGGGACAUGAGUCCUGUUCCGCUAAAUGCAGGUUUGUUAAUUCCACUUGCAACACACUGUAUUUCAAGAUACAUAAAGGCUAACUGGCUUGACCCAGGCAAAUAGAAUCAGUGAAAAGCCUGGAUUGGCACCUAGAAAUAUCGACUUCCAGAUAAACACACCUUGAUUUUAUCAUGCGGUCUCUCUGAUAUAUCUUUAUGGGUUAAGUUGGAGUAGUAGUUCACAUUAAAUAUUACAUAUGAUGGCUGCAUUCUUUCUGUAGUUCUAACAACAUGUGAAAGAGAAGUUUCAUUAAGUUUUGUUUGAUUAAGUGGCCUGAAAAGUCAAAAUUUUAUGAGAAGGCAUUUUUAAAGAACAGCUGCCCCGAUAUCCUAUUCCCAAUACUAAACUAGGAAAUAAAAUGGUAGCUCAUUAAGAUGUAGCAAUAUAGAGAUUCCUUUGUUCUUUAGAGUGUAAUAAUAAAUUAUUCUUACCUCUUGUAUUAUCAGAUGAAGAAGGUGGCAGGCUCAAAGCAGACAACUACUGUUGAAAGAAAAAAGAGAAUGUGGGAUGCUUUUUUUUCCCCAUUUAAUCACAAAAUACUAGUAACUAUAUUGUCUACAAUGUCGUCCUUAAGAAUGUUGGAAAGAAUAAUUAAAAUUUGGGAAGCAGUAGACAUCCCUUAAAUGAAAAAUCAUCAUCAUCAGGAAUGUAAAAGUAAGUGUUCUUCCACAUAUACAUACCUUCAAGAAUUUUGAGGAAGGAUGGGAAAGAGGCAUCUCAGCUCCACUUUUAUAGAGACCAUUCUGCAAACACAGCAGCCACCUCAGCUGUCCUAGCUGGGAACCUACUUGGCAAAACCGUUUUUGGCAAUCUCUUUGCACAAUAUUCACUGACUGUGGCUGUGAAUGGAUAUAAUUAGAAAUAUUUCUUGACACCCAUAAAUAAUUUAACAGAGGAUGAUCUAGGGUUCUUUAUAGGCAUUUGAUAGGGGAUGGGGAUUCAGGGCUUCUAACACUGUUUCUCCAGUUUGGCUGUUGCAUCAUUCAUCACAGAAUUCAAAGCCAGAUUCCCACUUACUCCUCUGCCUAUAAAAUUGGUCCAACAGAAUGAGUCUGAUGUGAGGAAUUUAGGAUUAAUUAAUUUGUUGGUUCUUAGAGCCAUUAAGGAGUCUGGAAUGAAUUUUAGACCUGACACUAUGAUUGGAAGCAGUGAGCGAUGGAUUUUAAGACAACAUUCCUAGCCACAGUCUGGAUUUUAGAAAGACUGGCGAUAGAUUCUUUUAAAGUCUGAAAGUCUAAAUAUGAAGGUGAAAGUGAAUUCUCAGAUUAGGCAGUGGUGAUGGACCACUGGGGGAGGCAUAAGGGAUUUAGAAUAGAUAUAAACACUUCUGUUCUUUUUCUGGAGGACUUUCCAUGGAUAUCUCCAGCUUGUAUGUUUUCACUGAAGGAACAACAGGAUGCUGUGUGAUGUUCCAUGCAUGUUUCCUCUGCAUAAUGGAAGGAGACACAAACAUGCAUUCCUAGUUCAUGGGCAGACUCUCAUGACUAGCUAUAGCUCUAAUGAGGUGGGAACCACAUAUUUUUAUUUAAGGUGGGAGGAAAGUCAUGGUAUCCACGAUAUUCUCCCUGUGGAUUGAAAAGAUGGAUGGGCCAUCACAUAUGCCCAUAAUACUCAUAAAUUGGCUUUUGAUGGUUUUGCUACAUACACAGCUGUUACUGAAUAUGGCAGGAAAUAUACCUACUCUAAGUGUGACCCUAACUGAGCUCUGGUGAGAUAUUUUCAACUAUCAUUAGCUGGCUUAAAUUACCAAUUAAUGAGAUCACUGUUUUUAUAAUUCUGUUGACUUAGAAUUUAUCUUUGACACAUUGAUAGAUUGAAUCUUUUAUACUUUAAAAAUUUAUUUUGAUAAAAUUCUAUGAAAUAGGUCAUCAGGCGUUAAAAACAAAAUCUCCAUGAAAAUAACUCACCGAAGUCUAGCGACUUACCCAAAGUGCUAGGCUCUAGGCCAGAAGGAAACUUGUUCUAUUUUUUCUCUCAGAUUUUCACAACUCAUUUAUUUUUACUUCUUUUGGAACUUAACAUCUGACUUGCAGACAUAAUAAGUAUGUAUUAUAUUUACUGUAUUUGAAGUUGAAAGAUGAAAGAAGAAAAUAUGAAUGAGACCAAGAUACAUAGAUGAGUUAUAGGAUUACAGAUAGUGAGGACUCUUUACAUAAUAGUUAAAACUCUGAUCAAUUACAGAUAGACUGAUCACUCAGAUUUUGAAAGCUCUGAAACAAGACCAUAAUAUUCUAGUGGGACCCCUAUUAUGGGCCACCAGGAGUGGAUCAGAGAACCUUGCAGAGCUUGGACAAGGAGAGAAGAGAAGCAGCACUGGGUGAGGGAGUACACAUUUCCCUUAGACUUGCCUCUUAAAGGAUUGUCUACAUAGAAAACACAGGAGAUUAAUGCGAAGGCUUUUGUAUUUGUAUGGUUCUUUGUGAUUAGAUAUGAGUGGGAAGAAUGGCUCCAAUCUAAAUAAGGAGAAUUAUUUUGGAAACUGUCUUUAAGCAGUCUGUGUAAAAGCUGCUCGCUCUCUACUUUCCUCAGAUUAGGAAAUAUUAUAGGCUUCUAUAACCUUGCAUUUCCUUAUCUAUUAAAAACAUAAAUGUGGUGAAAAUCAAAUACUGCCUUCACCUUACGGGGUUGUAUGAAUUAAAUUAGAUUUUAUAUAUAUAGGUAUCAGAAAUUAUAUUAUUAUAUCACAUAUGGGAGAUUAUGUAUACUUUAUUAUAUGCAAUCUUAUGUAAUUCAUACAUGCACGUAUGUAAACUGCUUAGGAUAGUGUCACCAGGGGCAGCUGAAGCAAACAUUUCUUCACUAGAGAUGAAGGUCACAAUGGCUUGCUGGUAUUUCUCCCAAAUAUACCCAGGGAGUUAAAGUGGUAGUAAAGAGCUGAAGACAGAUGGUAGAUAGGAAAUGUCUAAUGAACAAGAUUAUUUUUUUUCUUUUAAAAAUUUUGUUUAAAAAUACAGUUGGGACCUAGGUUGGAGAUGUUCAUGUCUUAGCUUCUAUAGUGUCCAGUGUGGCAGCAUGACAUUAAUUUAAAAAACCCUUAAGAUUCAGCAAGUCAGACUGGUGUUUGUCUUCUUUUAAAUUUCUCUGAGACUCCAAAGGGCCAUCACUACUGAAAAGAGGUUGUAUAGUCACUUUCAAGUCAACUACUUUUAUUACAUUCUACAUAGUUAUAUUUCAUCAUGUGGGUAGGUCAUUGACUCACUUGUUUGCUCAAUACAUACUUACAGAGUGUCCGCUAUGUGUCAGCUGUUGUUAUAGCACAGGGGAUAAUGCAAAAAACUGGCAAAGCCCUGCCCUUAUGGCAAUUUCAGUCAGCAGGGGUGGAUAUACAUAAACAAAUAAACAAGUAAAUAUGUAGUAUGUCAGAUGGUAUUAACUACUAUAAAAGGAACAAUAAAGCAGAGUAAGGAGUAAAGGGAAUACUGCACCAAGGGGAGUGACCUGGAUGGGCUUCUGUAUUAAGGUGUCAUUUGAGUAGAAGUUUGAGAGAAGUGAAGGAGCAGGCCAUAUGAAUAUCUGGAAGAAGAAUUUUCAGACAGAGGGAGCACAAAGUACCAAGUCUCUAAAGUAGGAGUAUGCCUAAAGUGUCUAAUUUGUGAUAACACGUAUGAACCUUGAGAAUAUUAUACUAGUGAAAUAAGCCAGGCACAGAAAGACACAUACAACAUGAUUUCACCUAUAAGUAGAAUCUGAAGUUGAAUUCACGGAAGCAGAAUAGAAUAGUGAUUACCAGGGAUUGAGGGUUGGGAGAAGGAAUUAGAUGUUGAUUAAACGAUAUACAAUUUCAGUUAGGAGGAAUAAGUUCAAGAGAUCUAUUGUACUGCAUCAUAACUAUAAUUAAUAACAAUGUAUUGUAUACUUGAAAAUUGGUAAGAAAGUUGAUUUUAAGUGUUAUCACCACAACAAAUAAGUAUGUGAGGUAAUGCAUAUGUUAAUUAGUUGAAUUAAGCUAUUCCAGAAUGUAUACUUAUUUUAAAACAUCAUGUUGUACACCAUGAUAUGUGUAAAUAUAUAUAAUUUUUAUUUGUCAAUUUAAAAAAGCAGCAAGAAAACCUGUAACAGGAGCAAAAUGGGCAAAGAGGAGAGUGGCAGGAGAUGAGUUAGGAAGGGUCAGGUAAUGUAGGUCCUUAUGGGACUAUAGGGACUUUUUGGCUUUUAAUCUGAGUAAUAUGGGAAGCCAGUGAGAAUUUUAGGAAGAGAAGCAAUAAAAUCUGACAGAAUGUAAAAAUCACUCUGCUUUCUAUGUUGAGUGUAGACUGCAGGCAUCAAGGGUAGGCCAACAGUGGGCAGCAGGGCCAAGGAUAGAUAGGCAUUGCCACAAUGCAGAUGGAAUAGAGUAAUGGCUUGGACUGUGUCCUAGUGACUAUAGCUGCAUAACAAAUUACCCGAAAUAUGGUGGAUUAAAACAGCCAUUUUAGAAGGCACAUGCAUUCUGUGGGUCAAUAAUUUGGAAAGGACACAGUGUUCUCUCUGUUCUCCAAUAUCUGGGGCCCCUAAGAUCCCAAAUCCUGGGGGUGAUUCAACACCUAGGGACAAGUACUUAUAAUAAUGAUUAGAGAAAAAAAGGAUUGUUGAGAAGGAUAACAAAUAAAUGAAGUGGUAUCUGGAGGCAGACAUGGGGUCAAGAUAGGAAAAACUAAGCAUAUUGUUAAAAGAUGGGCAAGAUUAAAUAUAUUUGUGUUGGGGAGAAAAAUUCUGUGAGUUAAACAAAUUGAUAAUGCAAAAGAUGGAGGGGCUAGAAUCCAGAGGCUAAAUGGAAGGGUUGGACUCUGAUGGGAACAGGAACACUUUGUGUAUUAGGAAAGAAGACUGAGAGUGAAGGCAAGUUUUAGCUUAGUAGAUUUGAUGCUGAAAAGAUGAGGGAGUUGGUACUUAUGGGACAGUAGGGACUUUGGCUUUUAAUCUGAGUGAUAUGGGAAGCCAUUGAGAAUUUUAGGAAGGAAUUCUGCUUGCUUCUGUUUUCUCAGUGACGUACGCAGCAAAGUCAUUGACUGAGUGGAAGGCAGGGGAGGAGAUGUAGUGGGUAUAUAGAGAGAAGAUGUGAAGUGUUCAUUUUGGAGAGUGAAAGGUAUACUACAUGUCCCCAGAGUACUGAGAGAUAAUCAUGAAAUUAAAGUGAGACCUGUUUAGCAAAGUUACAUGCUUUUUUCCCACAACUUUGUUUGCUUGGAUGUGUCCACAGAAAAGAUGAAUAUUUGGGUUUAACCAAGGUAAGAGUUUAUCGGGUAAGUGCAAUAGAGGGAGAGAUGGGCAAGGGAGCUAAGAAUCUUUUCAAGUGUGUAAUUGUAAUAAUGUUCCAUAAAAUUUAAGCUUGAAUAAGGAAGGAAGUGAGAAUAUGAGGGGACACACCAGAACAAUGAAAAAGUGGAGGGGCAUCAAUGGAUAGAAGGUCUUGAUGAUAUCAAAGAAAUUGUAGGGAUGAAAAUCUGGAGUAGGUGAGCUGGAAGAACAGAAGGUAUUGGAUAGAGAUUGAUUGUAAUAAAUCCCAAUUGGUUGAGAUGUGUAACUCUUUUUAUACACUGUUGGAUUUGAUUUGCUAAGAUUUUGUUGAGGAUUUUUGCAUCUAUGUUUAUGAGAGAUAUUGGUGUGUAUUUUUUCUUUCUCAUAACAUCUUUAUUUGGUUUUGGUAUGGGUCAUGCUGGCCUCAAAGAAUGAGUCAGAAAAUAUUUUCUCUGCUUUUAUGUUCCUGAAAUUAUUGUGGAUAAUUAGUAUUAUUUCUUCCUUAAAUGUUUCGUGGAAUUCGCCAGUGAAACCAUCUGAGCUUGGUGCUUUUUUAGGGAAUUCUUGAUUCAACUUCUGCAAUAGAUAUAGUCCUAUUUAGAUUAUCUGCUUCUCCUUAUGCAAGUUUGUGCAGAGGCUGAAUAGUAUGAUUGAAAUUGAGGUUUUGGAGAAGGUACACACAUAGUGAUGAUGAUUAAGUCAAGGAUGACUAUGUGCUGAAUCUAAACUCUGGGGAGUCCCAGAGGCCGUUUUCUAUACAUGCAAACACAUUUUUGUGCACACAUAUAUAGUGUAUAUAUUUAUACAAAUGGGAUUGUAUUAUACGGAUGGUGUUUAUACAAAUGGGAUUGUGUUAUACAAGUGGGAUUGUAUUAUACAAAUGGGAUUGUAUUACACGGAUUUUUUUUUCAUUAUACUGUAUUUUGAGCUUCUUUCCAUGUUAGUAUUCACUCGUUCAAUUGGUAUUUAUUGAGCAGAUAUACAAUGGUUUAAAAACCAAAGUGCUUGCUCUGAUAGAACUUACAUUUUGAUGGGGGUGGUAGUGGAGACAAUAUGCUCAUAAAAAUACUUAAAGAAGAAUUUCAUAUUCCAAGUGCUAGACCAUGGAAGGUAUAAAUUAGAGUAACGAGAUAGAGAUUGAUGUGGGGAGAGGACCACAAGAGGUAGGCUUCUUUCAGCUGUGACUUGAAUAAUGUGAAAUAAUUAGCCAUGCAAAAAUCUAAAUGAAGAGCAUUCCAGGUAGGGAAAAUUUGGGGGAAGUGAGUGAGAAAAAAAUAGCUCCGUAUUUUGAAUGCCUACUACAAACCGUGUGUGUAUUCUAAACAUUUGAUAUACAUUGCUUCAUGUUAUCCUCACACAAACCCGAAGAGUAGAAAGUACUAUUAUUACCAUAUACUGAAAAGGAAUUGAGCCACAGUCUGAGUAAGUAAAUUGCCCAGGCCACAUAACUCUGGUGUGUGGUAGAGUUAGUGCUCAGCUCAGGCAGGUUUAUCCCAGAGACCAUGGCAUAUCCUUUUUUCCCUCCCCUCCCCUCCCCUCCCUUUGCCUCCCCUUGCCUCUCCUUUCCUUCCCUCCCCUUCCCUUCCCUUCCCCUCACUUUUUUUCUGAGAUGGGCUCUCACUCUGUUACCCAGGUUGGAGUGCAGUGGCACUAUCUCGGCUCACUGCAACCUCUGCCUCCCAGGUUCACGCGAUUCUCCCACCUCAGUCUCCUGAGUAGCUGACCACAGGCACGCACCACCAUGCCCAGCUAAUUGUUUGUAUUUUUGGUAGAGACAGGGUUUCGCCAAGUUUCCCAGGCUGGUCUUGAACUCCUGAGCUCAGGCAAUCCACAUGCCUCAGUCUCCCAAAGUGCUGAGAUUACAGGUGUGAGCCACCAUGCCUGGUGCUUUGCCUAUCCUUUUACUGUAUGGCCUCUAAGGGCCCUUCCAACUCAAAGAUUCUAUAUUUAUCUAAUGUGGUAUUUUAUUGACACAGUAAAGGCAAUGCCAGAAGUAAAAAGCUAACAGGAUAAUAAGUGAGGGACCUCCUGUAAAAUGACUUACACUUUAUGAAAACCUACAUGUAUGGGAACUUCAUGUGAUGUUAUGGUAUCCAGUUGUUGAACAUACCAUAAUUCUUAUCCACCAGAAGCAGACAUAUUCAAAACCAGGAUGCCACAAAUAAAUUAAAAUCAUGACACAUAGAAAUAUGGAAAUUACAUGACUCUGAAAGAUAGAAACGUAUAGAGACUUAUGUUUUCUUUACUACAGGAUAUAAGUAGAGACUUGAACCUGUUUUUCAAAACUUCUAUCUUGGUGACAUAUUCAUCAUUUGGCCCCAAUACACGAAACAGUUUUGCUCACUCACCACUUACCCCUCCUGGCUGUCUACACCUUUCCUCUUACUUCUUCCAUUGUAUGAAUAGAGAAGUGUAAAUGUGAUGUUAUAAUAACUCAGAGGCACACAUUUUCUUGGGCAAGCAAGUCUCAGUGGGAAAAAAAUUGGAGAGAUAGAAUCUUUCAACUCUUUCUAGUUAUUCUGUGUUAUUAUUUAGGACCUGGAUUCCCAAGGGUCGAUACUUAUUUGUGUGGCUUACUCUUAUUUUCCUUCCUUGUUGUUAUCUGACAUUUCUACCCUAAGGUAUGAAAAAUCAUAUGCUAGCUCCACUGCUCAGGCAACAUUAAUACUUACUAUUUGAGAAUCUGAUUUUCCAAGUAUUGAUGAACAGUAGUACAAAUAAAUCAGUGGACAAAUUUAAUUAUAUCUUCGAUUUCCUUAAAUUCUCACCUCUUCCUCAGUUCCAGUUAGAGAGCAAGACUUGCUUAGGCAUCUUGCUCCAGGAGGUAGACUUUUAUGUUAAAAGUCAUGCUUCCUUUCAAGAAUUUUAUUUGUGUUCAAGUUUUGGGUAUGGCGCUAAGAUACCUUUAAUCAAGAAAAGAAGUACCGGGAAGUCACUGCUGUUCCUGCCAACAGCUAGCAUCUCCUGUAGAGUUGGCAUUAGAGAUAGGAAGAGAAUACACUCUGUUUCCAAGUUGUGGGAUAGCAAUGAAAGAUAACUGUAAAAAGAUAAGAGGCAGUUAUGUUGGGAAAAUGGAUUAAAUGUUUUCUUUUUCAUGUACUAGUUGUUUGUGAGUACUUUGGAUUUUUAUAAAUUUUACUGGGUAAACAGUAGCCUGUUGAUUUUGACAGUGUUGAAACUAAGAGAAAAGAUUGAAAAAAAUAAUUGUUUCUUAAACAUAGGUUGUAGCUGGGGAAAAUGCAGAAGUAAAAUGUGGAUAAAUACAGAUAUUUUUCUUUGAACAAGUAAAAUGAAUGUAUCAAUCUGAAAUCUGGAUUUGCCUUGAGUAACAGGAGAAAUAAGACAGGAUGCAAUAAUUGAAGAGGAGAGGCAAGUCAGGAUGCAAUAACUGAAGGUAAAAGAUAAGACAGGAUGGAAUAACUGAACAGGAGGGAUAAGACAGGAUAUAAUAAUUGAAUGGGAGAGAUAAGACAAGAUACAGGGAUUGGAGAGGAGAGAGAAGAAAGGAUGUGAUAAAUGAAAAAGACAAGACAGGAUGUAAUAAAUGACAGGGAGAGAUCAGACAGGUACAACAAAUGAGAGAGAAAGAGAGAGAAGACAGGAUGCAAUAAAUGGAUAUGAGAGGUGAGACAGGAUGCAGUACAUGAGCAGGUGAGAUAAGACAGGUUACAAAAAUGAGUGGAAGAGACAAGAUGGAAUAACUCAAUGCGAAAGGUAACAUGACACAAUAAAUGAAAAAGAGAGAUAAGACAGGAUACAGUAAGUGAACUGGAGUGAUAAGACAGGAUGCAUGUAGUAAAUGAGCAGGAAAGAUAAGACAGGAUGAAAUAACUAAAUAGGAAAGAUAAGACAAGCAGGAGUAACUGGUCAGAAGAGAUAAGACAGGAUGCAGUAAGUGAAAUGGAAAGAUAAGAUAGGAUGCAAUAAAAGGGCAGGAGAAAUAAGAAAGAGUGGAAUAUCUGGAUUGGAAAGUUAAGACAGGAUGCAAUAACUAAGCAGGAGACAUAAGACUGGAUGCAAUAACUGAACAGGACAGAUAAUCAGGAUGGAGUAAAUCAAUAGGAGAUGUAAGAUAGGAAGUAAUAACUGAAAGGGGGAAAAUAUUAGCUUAUUACAGACAGAUUCUCCUUCCUACUAGGGAAUGCUUUCUGAAGCUGGUAACAUUGAAGGAUGAGUAGGGUGGACUUGCAAAGAGGAGGAAAAAGCAUUACAACAGGAGAAAGAAGAAUAUGACUGUGAUAUUAAAAUAUGGGAAAGGCAGCACUUCAGUCUACCUGGGUAUCAUAGAAUUUAUAAAAGUGAAUACUUUGAUGCCUACAGAAAGCAUGAAAGUUGGGUAAAAAUUGGAGACAUUCAUUUACUUAUACUUUCAAAAUACAAGUAUUGAGCAUAAACUGUUCAAGGCACAAUCCCAAGUGGAAGGAUACAAGAAUGAACAAGUAAGACCCCCAAUUUACACUCAUGUAGCUUGUAUUUUAAUCAGAGAGAAAGACAUUAUUAUAGUUAUUAUAAGUAAUAAA
rnacentral:lncRNA from 1 species